ACCGGAUCGCUAACUCAGUUAGUGAUUUGACUCGUCCUUACGGCAGAAGGGACCCGGGUACGAAUCCGGAUAAAAGCCCAAUUAUGCAAAAGGCGAAAGAUUGGUGCGAAACCGAUUGGUGAUCCCACGAACGAUAGGUAAUUGCCCUUAGUGGCAAUUGCGGGCUUAUGCCCGCUACAACCUAAAUAGGUCGUGGUGCAGAAGUCCGAUUUAGUGGCGAGGUCCAAGGUUCAAGACAAGGCUCAAGAUCCAAGGCUCGAGGAGGAGCGCCAUGGCUCCUCGGUUUGCACGAACUGGCAGUGCUCCACUACUAUAACGCGGCGUUUCCCUAGCUCGAUAUGCUAGGUGUGCAGGCUUGGAUGUAGUGGACUUUGAAGAGCAGCCUAGGACUUGGAGGCUGUAGUUUCGGAGGUUGUGACUCUUUCGUGGUGAGGCGUCAGCGUGAGGGGGGCGGGCCCUCUCGCCCUAGUCACCUUGCCCCGUUAAUCCAUGCCAGGCCCUAUGGGCCGGCGUUGUAAUUAUUAUUAUUAUUCCCACGCCCACGUGGUGGCGGAGUCCGGGCGCACAUGGGUAAGCAGCGCCCGGGUGAGGAUCUUCCAGGGUUGCCGGCCUGGCUGGGCAAGGAGGGCGAAGGUCUUAGCUUGCAGGGCAGACAGGAACGCAGGCAGGUCGACGUGGUUGACACCCCCGUCCUUGUACGGCAGACAGGCCGUUUCCCGCUUUGGCAGCAGGAGCGGGUUCCCGUGCGACACCAGGCUGGCGUCCUCAGCGUGCAUGGAGCGCACAGCAAAGUGGUCCACCAGGUCGGUGAGUUCCUUCAGCUGCGCCGGCGACGGGUUUAGGAAGCUGAAGUGGUAGGCCAGCUUCGCCGCCAACACCUGCUUCGCAAUGUGCACACGGCCAACGAGAGUCAGAGACAGGGCAGCCCACAGACGCGCCACAAACGCCAUGCCGCGAGCCCGCCGGGUGUACAAGUCAGCUGCAGCCGCAUCAGAGUCCCAUGACAGGGGCACACCCAGGUGCGUCACGGCGCCAGUGGUAAACGGCACCCCUGUGUGUGGGCAAGGGCCCGUCAGGUGCGCAAACCUGCCAAGGCCCAUGGCCUUGCUCUUGUCCGGAUGGACACGGGCGUUGGACGCGCGGCAGAACAGCUGUACUGCCGCCAUCAGGACCGGCCCGUCCACCGCCGGGUCGCGCGCCGUGAGGGUCGUGUCGUCAGCGUGGUGGGCAGCCGGUGGCGCCUGCUCGCCACUGGGUAACAGGGGCGUGCGCAGAAAGGACGUCAGUGGCUGCAUCUGGAUGACCCACAGGGGUGGUGAGGCGGUGCUGCCCUGCGGCAAGCCGUUCAGCACUGGGAAGGCAUCAGAGAGCAUCCCGUUCACACACACGCGGGUCCCGUACGAGGUGUACAAGGUUUUCUGGGCACUGCUGGGCCCGCGCUUGUGUGCUGCUGCUGCCGCUGCCUUUGCUGCCGCUGCAGACGCCCACGAUGGCGGUGAAAUGGCGGCGGCGCUGCCCGCCUCCUGGCGGGAGGGCAUCAUCACCCUCAUCUACAAGGGCAAAAGCCUGGACCGCGCCGAGCUGGCGUCGUACCGGCCCAUCACGCUGCUCAACUGCGACUUCAAGAUGGUGUCCAAGGCCGUCAGCGCCCGCCUGCAGCCCGCCCUGGAUGCAGUUGUGGAUGAGCUGCAGACCGCGUUCAUCACCGGCCGCUGGAUUGGUGACAACGCGCUGUACCUCCAAGGCCUGAUCGAAUGGAUGCGCCUGGACGUGGGCGCGGACGGCACGCCACGGCAGGGUGGUGCGCUGUACUUCUUGGACAUAGAAAAGGCGUAUGACCGGGUGCACCGGCAGUGGCUGUAUGCAUCCGCGGAGGGACUUGGGUUUGGGCCGCGCAUGCUGCGCUGGAUCCGCCUGCUCACUGCCAACGGCUCUGCCCGCGUGUGUGUGAACGGGAUGCUCUCUGACGCCUUCCCAGUGCUGAACGGCUUGCCGCAGGGCAGCACCGCCUCACCACCCCUGUGGGUCAUCCAGAUGCAGCCACUGACGUCCUUUCUGCGGCGGCAGGUGGAGCAAGGGGCACUGCGCACGCCCCUGUUACCCAGCGGCGAGCAGGCGCCACCGGCUGCCCACCACGCUGACGACACGACCCUCACGGCGCGCGACCCGGCGGUGGACGGGCCGGUCCUGAUGGGGGCAGUACAGCUGUUCUGCCGCGCGUCCAACGCCCGUGUCCAUCCGGACAAGAGCAAGGCCAUGGGCCUUGGCAGGUUUGCGCACCUGACGGGCCCUUGCCCACACACGGGGGUGCCGUUUACCACUGGCGCCGUGACGCACCUGGGUGUGCCCCUGUCGUGGGACUCGGAUGCGGCUGCAGCUGACUUGUACACCCGGCGGGCUCGCGGCAUGGCGUUUGUGGCGCGUCUGUGGGCUGCCCUGUCUCUGACUCUUGUUGGCCGUGUGCACAUUGCGAAGCAGGUGCUGGCGGCGAAGCUGGCCUACCACUUCAGCUUCCUCAACCCGUCGCCUGCGCAGCUGAAGGAACUCACCGACCUGGUGGACCACUUUGCUGCGCGCUCCAUGCACGCUGAGGACGCCAGCCUGGUGUCGCACGGGAACCCGCUCCUUUUUUUUUUUGAGGAAUCAUCCUUACAAGGUUGAACAGGGGCAGACACGCUGCCCCCCUGCUGCCUGAAAGCAGCCUGGUCCCCGAGACCAGAACCCUGACAGGGCAAGAAGAGAAGAGAAGAAAAGAAAAACAGAAAACAAACACCUCGAAACUCCUGCUGCCAAAGCGGGAAACGGCCUGUCUGCCGUACAAGGAUGGGGGUGUCAACCACGUCGACCUGCCUGCGUUCCUGUCUGCCCUGCAAGCUAAGACCUUCGCCCUCCUUGCCCAGCCAGGCCGGCAACCCUGGAAGAUGCUCACCCGGGCGCUGCUUACUCAUGUGCGCCCGGACUCCGCCACCACGUGGGCGUGGGUGUACAGCGACACGCCGGCGCCAGUGGGGCUGCCUGCCCGGCUGGCGGCCGCGGUCGGCCACAUGCAGAGCGCGGGCGUGGAACAGCAUCCACCGCAGCCAGCCACUCAGCCGCCAGCGGCGCCGCCACAGUGGCGGGUUAGCCUGGACCAGCUGUGGGUGGCUAACGCUGCGGGGGCUGUGUCCUACGUCCACUACACGGGGCGGCUCUUGGAGCCUGGGCCUGGCGUGCUGCCCCCGGCGGUGGAUGGGGCGUGGCAGCCUGCCUGUGUGCUGCAGCAUCGCAAGCCGCGGCACCUGUGGACCUUUGAAGAGCGGGCGGCGUACGAUGCAGCAUCACCAGGGGACCGGGCGGGGGCGUGGCCUCGGGCGCCGUACUUCCUGGCGCCGGAGGCUGGGGUGGUGGUGCACCCGGAGCACUGCCGGAUUGCGGGUGUCAGCUUAGCGGACUACACGGUGCGGGACGUGCGGCGGGCCAUCACCGCGGCCAACCCGGCCGCACCUCCGGCUCCGGCCCGCCCCGCAGCCAUGCCGUGCCCGGCGCCAACACAGCAGGCGGGGGGUUCGGGGCCCCAGCCAGCGGCACAGUCGCGGCUGGCGAAGCGGGAGGCGGAGUGGCAGCGUGCAGUGGCGCACACUAUAAGGACGGGUUUGUGCGUUACACCUGCUUUUUGUGCGUAAAGCAUGCGUUGGGGGUGGGACGCAUGCGUCCACGGAACGCAAGAAGCAUGAGGGCCGGGGAGGGCGGCAAACCUCUCGGUUGUGCGUGCGAAGCACGCAUGCGGAACGCAUGCAGACGCAUGCGCCCCACGAAUACGCAAGCCCCCGACGCAAGCCCCGUCAAAGCCUUCACCUUAAGUACUUGCUCAACUCACAGAGUGUAGACACAUAGCGAACGAUGACUUUGCCAAACCUCGCGAUCCCCCAACUGCACUGCAACGUGCAAACUAUUGCUUCUACAUUUGCUGCGUUAACAAACAGUAUAUUAGCACGUAUAACGCAACUGCCAUGAGAAAGGCGUUAGGGAUGGGCCUUGUUAUGGGGCUGUUUCCACUGAGCGGUAAUUAAGGUUUGCUUAAAUAUCGAGUGACAUCGGCUUUGUAGGGUGCCCAAAUACUAUUUUGUGCAAUUGCAUUUUGGCUUUAUGCGUGAAGCUGGAUUGGUCGCAAAGUCGGGUCCGCAGGGUCGGUCACACCCAGGUCGGCCCUUCGGGCCUCUUUAAACGCAUCGAUUGCAUUUAUGGGACAUAGAUGACAAAAUAAUAACGUCACAAAAGCGGCGCGCCUUAAAUAUGAUGUUUAACCCCUGUCGGGGUACAGGGGCCAGAAAGUUAGCAUCCGCGACCGAGAAAUUGACACAAAGCAUCCUUACACGCUAUGUAUCUUUAAAUACUUUUGGGGGCGUACGUAGAAUUAAGGAUGUAUGCGCACGAUCGAGGCUGAAUUGCGCGCUUAAAUACUUGAGCAAUUACGCGUGUCCAUACUUGCGGGUAAUUAGCCCAGUAUUUAAGCUAAUUACCACCUUAAUUACCAAGUGGAAACAGCCCCUAUGGAUAAGCAAAGGCAAAGCAACGAGUGCCAGGCUCUAUGUUGUAUGUAUGUAUGAAGAGUUAAACCUAGGUACUAAGUAGUAAUCACGGUAAACGGGGGGAGCGCCGGCGGUGCGUGGCGGUGACUGUUCCAAACAGCCGCGGCAGAGGCUGUGGCUGCCGCGGCUGCCCAUGGCCAGCUGUCACCGGUUGCGCGGCCGCUGGUGGGGAGGAAGGCUGGCGACUGCCGCUGCUGCGCGCUGCUAUCAGCCCGGAAUCUGCAUGGGAGCGGGAGGCAUGGGCGGGCUAAACGGGAGCGGCCGGGGUUGCGGCGGUGCGUGGCGGUGACUGUUCCAAGCAGCCGCGGCAGCAGCUGUGGCUGCCGCGGCUGCCCAUGGCCAGCAGUCACCGGUUGCGCGGCCGCUGGUGGGGAGGCAGGCUGGUGACUGCCGCUGCUGCGCGCUGCUAUCAGCCCGGAAGCUGCAUGGGAGCGGGAGGCAUGAGCAGGGUAAACGGGGGGAGCGGCCGGGGUUGCGGCGUUGCGUGGCGGUGAUUGUUCCAAGCAGCCGCGGCAGCAGCUGUGGCUGCCGCGGCUGCCCAUGGCCAGCAGUCACCGGUUGCGCGGCCGCUGGUGGGGAGGGAGGCUGGCGAGUGCCGCUGCUGCGCGCUGCUAUCAGCCCGGAAGCUGCACGGGAGCGGGAGGCAUGAGCAGGGUAAACGGGGGGAGCGGCCGGGGUUGCGGUGUUGCGUGGCGGUGAUUGUUCCAAGCAGCCGCGGCAGCAGCUGUGGCUGCCGCGGCUGCCCAUGGCCAGCAGUCACCGGUUGCGCGGCCGCUGGUGGGGAGGGAGGCUGGCGACUGCCGCUGCUGCGCGCUGCUAUCAGCCCGGAAGCUGCACGGGAGCGGGAGGCAUGAGCAGGGUAAACGGGGGGAGCGGCCGGGGUUGCGGCGUUGCGUGGCGGUGAUUGUUCCAAGCAGCCGCGGCAGCAGCUGUGGCUGCCGCGGCUGCCCAUGGCCAGCAGUCACCGGUUGCGCGGCCGCUGGUGGGGAAGAAGGCUGGCGACUGCCGCUGCUGCGCGCUGCUAUCAGCCCGGGACCUGCACGGGAGCGGGAGGCAUGAGCAGGGUGAACGGGGGGAGCGGCCGGGGUUGCAGCGUUGCGUGGCGGUGACUGUUCCAAACAGCCGCGGCAGAGGCUGUGGCUGCCGCGGCUGCCCAUGGCCAGCUGUCACCGGUUGCGCGGCCGCUGGUGGGGAGGAAGGUUGGCGACUGCCGCUGCUGCGCGCUGCUAUCAGCCCGGAAUCUGCAUGGGAGCGGGAGGCAUGGGCGGGCUAAACGGGAGCGGCCGGGGUUGCGGCGGUGCGUGGCGGUGACUGUUCCAAGCAGCCGCGGCAGCAGCUGUGGCUGCCGCGGCUGCCCAUGGCCAGCAGUCACCGGUUGCGCGGCCGCUGGUGGGGAGGCAGGCUGGCGACUGCCGCUGCUGCGCGCUGCUAUCAGCCCGGAAGCUGCAUGGGAGCGGGAGGCAUGAGCAGGGUAAACGGGGGGAGCGGCCGGGGUUGCGGCGUUGCGUGGCGGUGAUUGUUCCAAGCAGCCGCGGCAGCAGCUGUGGCUGCCGCGGCUGCCCAUGGCCAGCAGUCACCGGUUGCGCGGCCGCUGGUGGGGAGGGAGGCUGGCGACUGCCGCUGCUGCGCGCUGCUAUCAGCCCGGAAGCUGCACGGGAGCGGGAGGCAUGAGCAGGGUAAACGGGGGGAGCGGCCGGGGUUGCGGCGUUGCGUGGCGGUGAUUGUUCCAAACAGCCGCGGCAGCAGCUGUGGCUGCCGCGGCUGCCCAUGGCCAGCAGUCACCGGUUGCGCGGCCGCUGGUGGGGAAGAAGGCUGGCGACUGCCGCUGCUGCGCGCUGCUAUCAGCCCGGGACCUGCACGGGAGCGGGAGGCAUGAGCAGGGUAAACGGGGGGAGCGGCCGGGGUUCACUAGGGCGCAGAAGUCGCGUCCAGCGACCUGCACCCCAAGGCACUCCGCCCAUCAAAUUUGAUACCCUCUAUUUACAGAACUGCCCCGCACUCUGUAAGCUGCUUCCUAGGCCGAGAACGCUUGCUGCCGUACCCCUAUUAAACGCACCGUCCUCCCUGCGCGUAUUGUCCAGCCUGCUGUACGGUUUGACAAACGCUUUCGAAUGGUGUUGAGAAAAGGCUACAGUCAGUGGCGGGUUUCAGGAAUGCCGGUUUUUCCCUUGCGCUUCCCAGCCAUGCCAGCUAAAUGCCUGGGUAUUGGGAUUGAUAAUCCAGUUGAUACCUGGCAGCAGGGCAGCGCGGUGGGUAGCUGCUCCCCUCGCGCAUUGCAUGGGUGCAAAUUCAUGCUUUUGCGCAGGGGGCAGGAUGCCCUCAUAAAUCCUACGCGCGCAAGGUUGGGAGUCAUUGCCCACCCGUACCCCAACAAGCUAUGCAUACCCAAGCUGCUACACCACAGGGCUGUCGCCGGCAACCCAUGGCGCGAAAGCUGGCUUGCUGUCACAAUGGGCCUUUUUCCCAGCCUCGCAGCGUGGGCGUGGCUACCUAGAACCCGCAUGCACGCUGGAGAGCGCCCAGGAACAUCUGCGCUAUGGAAGGGGCCUUGGGGGUACUGUCCCACGAUGGGACUUACCGGGUCGGGAUCAACGCGCUCCCGCGCGGGAGAGGUCGGGCUGGCGCCGGUGUCUGUUUGGACGCGACUUUUGCGCCCUAGUGGUUGCGGCGUUGCGUGGCGGUGACUGUUCCAAGCAGCCGCGGCAGCAGCUGUGGCUGCCGCGGCUGCCCAUGGCCAGCAGUCACCGGUUGCGCGGCCGCUGGUCGGGAGGGAGGCUGGCGACUGCCGCUGCUGCGCGCUGCUAUCAGCCCGGAAGCUGCACGGGAGCGGGAGGCAUGAGCAGGGUAAACGGGGGGAGCGGCCGGGGUUGCGGCGUUGCGUGGCGGUGACUGUUCCAAGCAGCCGCGGCAGCAGCUGUGGCUGCCGCGGCUGCGCAUGGCCAGCAGUCACCGGUUACGCGGCCGCUGGUGGGGAGGGAGGCUGGCGACUGCCGCUGCUGCGCGCUGCUAUCAGCCCGGAAUCUGCAUGGGAGCGGGAGGCAUGGGCGGGCUAAACGGGAGCAGCCGGGGUUGCGGCGGUGCGUCGCGGUGACUGUUCCAAGCAGCCGCGGCAGCAGCUGUGGCUGCCGCGGCUGCCCAUGGCCAGCAGUCACCGGUUGCGCGGCCGCUGGUGGGGAAGAAGGCUGGCGAGUGCCGCAGCUGCGCGCUGCUAUCAGCCCGGGACCUGCAUGGGAGCGGGAGGCAUGAGCAGGGUAAACGGGGGGAGCGGCCGGGGUUGCUGUGGCGCGUGGCGGUGACUGUUCCAAGCAGCCGCGGCAGAGGCUGUGGCUGCCGCGGCUGCCCAUGGCCAGCAGUCACCGGUUGCGCGGCCGCUGGUGGGGAGGAAGGCUGGCGAGUGCCGCUGCUGCGCGCUGCUAUCAGCCCGGAAUCUGCAUGGGAGAGGGAGGCAUGGGCGGGGUAAACGGCAGCGGCCGGGGUUGCUGCGGCGCGUGGCGGUGAUUGUGCCAAGCAGCCGCGAUGGAGCCGAAACCAAACUGGUGCUUGUCAGCACCUUUAUUGACAGUGUCGGGCAGAACCACGGUGACCGUGUGCAUGUAAGCCUUACCCCGUAUCCAGCCCGGCGCACCAGGCGUUCCGUGUCUUCAUGCGGCGGUGGGCGUGAGCGGAGGUGCGUGUGCAUGGGAGCCCUACACCGUAUCCAGCCCGGCGCGCCAGGCGUUCCCCCGGCGUGUCUUCAUGCGGCGGUGGGCAUGAGCGGAGGUGCGUGUGCAUGCGAGCCUUACACCGUAUCCAGUCCGGCGCACCUGGUGUUCCCCCGGCGUGUCUUCAUGCGGCGGUGGGCAUGAGCGGAGGUGCGUGUGCAUGGGAGCCCUACACCGUAUCCAGCCCGGCACACCAGGCGUUCCCCCGGCGUGUCUUCAUGCGGCGGUGGGCGUGAGCGGAGGUGCGUGUGCAUGGGAGCCUUACGCCGUAUCCAGCCCGGCGCACCAGGCGUUCCAUGUCUUCAUGCGGCGGUGGGCGUGAGCGGAGGUGCGUGUGCAUGUGAGCCUUACACCGUAUCCAGCCCGGCGCACCAGGCGUUCCCCCGGCGUGUCUUCAUGCGGCGGUGGACGUGAGCGGAGGUUGCGUGUGCAUGUGAGCCUUACACCGUAUCUAGCCUGGCGCACCAGGCGUUCCCCCGGCGUGCAUUCAUGCGGCGGUGGGCGUGAGCGGAGGGUGCGUGUGCAUGUGAGCCUUACACCGUAUCUAGCCUGGCGCACCAGGCGUUCCCCCGGCGUGCAUUCAUGCGACGGUGGGCGUGAGCGGAGGGUGCGUGUGCAUGUGAGCCUUACACCGUAUCCAGCCCGGCGCACCAGGCGUUUCCCCGGCGUGUCUUCAUGCGGCGGUGGGCAUGAGUGGAGGUGCGUGUGCAUGGGAGCCUUACACCGUAUCAAGCCUGGCGCACCAGGCGUUCCCCCGGCGUGUCUUCAUGCGGCGGUGGGCAUGAGCGGAGAUGCGUGUGCAUGUGAGCCUUACACAGUUACACCGUAUCAAGCCUGGCGCACCAGGCGUUCCCCCGGCGUGUCUUCAUGCGGCGGUGGGCAUGAGCGGAGGUGCAUGUGCAUGGGAGCCCUACACCGUAUCCAGCCUGGCGCACCAGGCCUCCCCCGGCCUUCCUUCAUGCGGCGGUGGGCGUGAGCGGAGGGUGCGUGUGCAUGUGAGCCUUACACCAUAUCCAGCCCGGCGCACCAGGCGUUCCCCCGGCGUGUCUUCAUGCGGCGGUGGGCAUGAGCGGAGGUGCGUGUGCAUGGGAGCCUUACACCGUAUCCAGCCCGGCGCACCAGGCGUUUCCCCGGCGUGUCUUCAUGCGGCGGUGGGUGUAAGCGGAGGUGCGUGUGCAUGGGAGCCCUACACCGUAUCCAGCCCGGCGCACCAGGCCUCCCCCGGCCUUCCUUCAUGCGGCGGUGGGCAUGAGCGGAGGUGCGUGUGCAUGUGAGGCUUUCCCCGUUAUUGAGAAAGCUGUAAAGAAGAACCAUGCGAAGCCGAGAAAGCCGGCAUCCAGCUUCAGGUGGUUUCCUAAGCACAAGCCGCGGAGGCGCAGGCGGAGGCGAGACCCGUGCCCGGACCGGCGCUGAAGACUGACGUACCGGCCUGCUGUAGAUUAACUUAAGGUCUGACCGGAGCAUGCACAGCAAAUCAAGACCCAGCAUGGAGCGCGUUCCUUGUUGCAUGGGGCUGCAUGGGGCUCAUAUAUUUCGGGUUCAGUUCUUCACUCUUCAAGCAACCUGUCUUUGUCACAUGUAAUAAUAAUAAUAUCUACGCAGGGCACAGGUGCCCGCGUGUCUUAAGGAGGAGUGAGACAAGCUCACCCCACCAUCGGAAAACUUGAUUUCCCUACCCCGGCUCCCCUGCGCGGGGGCCGCCAUUGGCGGUCCCCUGGGUGCGGCCUCCCGGGCGGCAUCGGGUGUUGGCAAUGCCCAUCUCUCGCUCUAGCCGGUAGUACAGGUUUGCGGUGCCCCGGAGUGUGGUGACGCUAUGCAUGUGGAGACGUGUGCAGCAGGCCUUGGCUGCCUGCGGUUUGGCUCCUAGGUCUUUGAGGAGAGUUUCAAGGGUACGGGGGACAGUGCCACCGUGGCCCAGUGUAAUAACGUGUUGAGUAUCGUAGUGCACAGUCCACCCUGCAGCUCGCAUGGCAGUGGCAAGGGUGGCGUGCUGUGCUUGUUUUUGAAUGAGCUUCUCGCUGUGGUGCAGGUCAGAGGUGUAUCCAACUUCAAGGAUGUACACUGGGUAGGCCCCUUUGUUGGCUGGUGGGGAUGUCAUGAAGCGUUCUGCUUCGGACCUGGGAAGGUUCGGGAUAAACACAAUGUCAGGCCGCAUCCUGUUGAGGUCUGCGGCGGGCACUUGUGGGCAGAGCCAUGACGGCGGCCGCAUGCCCGCACAGUACUCAGGCAGUUCAGCUCGGGAGGUGGCAUCCAUUAUCAUGUAGCCACCACCAUUGUGACCAUGGUGUAGGCAUUCGGCAAUCGUCCGCACUGCAGUGUUGUGUUUGGCUAUCCUAGCGCCAACGAGUUGGGGGUGCGCGCAGUGGCCGGCAAGGUGACCUGCGGUGCCACGCUCUGGGUCAGAUCCGCGGCUGCGCUGGGUGUGGGCACAGAGACCACAUUUGUCGCUAUCUCGUAGUUUAAACAAAGCCAGCCGGGCCGGGCAGAUGAGGCCUCCCUGACGAGCAUUCUGUAUGAACCGGCGUAGGCCGUGGCUGGCGUCCGAGUUCGUCAUGUACGCGUUACUGGCGCGUGGGUCAAGGCUGGGUGCUGCCUCGGCCCAUUUCUCAGUGUACAGGGUUUUGUUGGCGUAUCCACCACGGCAGCUGGGGGCCAUUGCCCUGGUGAGGCCCCGGUUUAGGUCCGACACGUAGUGUGUGGCUGUGCUAUCGUCGUCCCUGGUGACCGUGAAGGUCGGCCACCAGUGCCGGGCGUGCGGGUCGUUGUCGGCCGGUUCGGAUACAUCGGCGGGUUUUUCCUGGGUGGCGACGGCAGCCGCCCCUUUAUCGGCUUCCUCGUUGCCGUGUAGCCCGGUGUGCGAGAUCACUUUAAUUAGAGCGGUGGGUGCGCCCCGAGCGUGGCGUGCAUGGAGCAAUGCCACGAUUGAAUCCAGGAGGUCCCGAUGUUUACUCAGAUGCAGUCGCCGAGGCUCGUUAAUAGCUCGUUUGAUUAGGUACAAGCUUGCAACAGAAUCUGAUGCAAUAGUGAGCUUCUUAGUUGCAAAUUCUUUACCUUCGCCACCAAAGUCUGCGAGGGCAGCACGAAUUGCUGCCAGUUCAGCUCUCGUAAUAGUGUUUGUGCACCCAGCGCCAUUUGGAUUCACGUAGACAACGCGAGAAUCGCUGAACCAGGCGCAGGCACCGGCAACCUGGACUUCUUUGCCAUUUUCAGUUUUGAUUUUGCUUACCGAACCAUCUGUCCAGACAGUGCCAUUCACGUCGUGGGCCAGAGCAUGGUGGGUCUGGAAUCACGCGUUAGGAAAGCGUCGUGCUUCGUCAGCCAUGGCGUGUAUCGUCUUUGGGUUAGCGUGUUGAUAUUUGGCUUGCUUUAGAAGUGAGUUUGGGAGGGCCGGGCAGGUUGGGGCCGUGGCCGUGUGUGUCCACGUGCGCGGGUCGCUGAUGUGCGUGGGUGCGUUCGCCCCCCGUUUCAGUGUGUCCACGAGCCGUUUCAGGCGGGGGGCAAAGCACUGGAGUCCGGCGGGGUUCCCAACAAUGACCAGUCGGAGCCCCUUCUGGCGUUCAGCCUGGGUGUUGGUGCCAAGUCCUGUGUCGAGGCCCGCGGUGCCCGCGGACCAGUUGGCCAGCUCGUGGCAAAGUGGGUGUUGAAGCCACUGCGUGUGGGGGAAAGUGGCCGCUUUGGGGAGCGCCAAUACAGUAAGGGUUGGUUCCUGUGAGUCACGCAUAGCCUCGGCGCAUGCGAGGGCCCACAUGAGCGCCUUCCGUGCAUCGUGGGGGGUAGAGGGGGGGUGGGCAUAUUGCAAGCCGGUCCAUGCGGUCUGGUAGGCAUCGUGCAGUGCGCCAAAGGUCCCAUCAGCAGGGUCUCGUGUCCAGUAUUAAUAAUAAUAAUAUCUACGCAGGGCACAGGUGCCCGCGUGUCUUAAGGAGGAGUGAGACAAGCUCACCCCACCAUCGGAAAACUUGAUUUCCCUACCCCGGCUCCCCUGCGCGGGGGCCGCCAUUGGCGGUCCCCUGGGUGCGGCCUCCCGGGCGGCAUCGGGUGUUGGCAAUGCCCAUCUCUCGCUCUAGCCGGUAGUACAGGUUUGCGGUGCCCCGGAGUGUGGUGACGCUAUGCAUGUGGAGACGUGUGCAGCAGGCCUUGGCUGCCUGCGGUUUGGCUCCUAGGUCUUUGAGGAGAGUUUCAAGGGUACGGGGGAUAGUGCCACCGUGGCCCAGUGUAAUAACGUGUUUAGUAUCGUAGUGGACAGUCCACCCUGCAGCUCGCAUGGCAGUGGCAAGGGUGGCGUGCUGUGCUUGUUUUUGAAUGAGCUUCUCGCUGUGGUGCAGGUCAGAGGUGUAUCCAACUUCAAGGAUGUACACUGGGUAGGCCCCUUUGUUGGCUGGUGGGGAUGUCAUGAAGCGUUCUGCUUCGGACCGGGGAAGGUUCGGGAUAAACAGAAUGUCAGGCCGCAUCCUGUUGAGGUCUGCAGCGGGCACUUGCGGGCAGAGCCAGGACGGCGGCCGCAUGCCCGCACAGUACUCAGGCAGUUCAGCUCGGGAGGUGGCAUCCAUUAUCAUGUAGCCACCACCGUUGUGACCAUGGUGUAGGCAUUCGGCAAUCGUCCGCACUGCAGUGUUGUGUUUGGCUAUCCUAGCGCCAACGAGUUGGGGGUGCGCGCAGUGGCCGGCAAGGUGACCUGCGGUGCCACGCUCUGGGUCAGAUCCGCGGCUGCGCUGGGUGUGGGCACAGAGACCACAUUUGUCGCUGUCUCGUAGUUUAAACAAAGCCAGCCGGGCUGGGCAGAUGAGGCCUCCCUGACGAGCAUUCUGUAUGAACCGGCGUAGGCCGUGGCUGGCGUCCGAGUUCGUCAUGUACGCGUUACUGGCGCGUGGGUCAAGGCUGGGUGCUGCCUCGGCCCAUUUCUCAGUGUACAGGGUUUUGUUGGCGUAUCCACCACGGCAGCUGGGGGCCAUUGCCCUGGUGAGGCCCCGGUUUAGGUCCGACACGUAGUGCGUGGCUGUGCUAUCGUCGUCCCUGGUGACCGUGAAGGUCGGCCACCAGUGCCGGGCGUGCGGGUCGUUGUCGGCCGGUUCGGAUACAUCGGCGGGUUUUUCCUGGGUGGCGACGGCAGCCGCCCCUUUAUCGGCUUCCUCGUUGCCGUGUAGCCCGGUGUGCGAGAUCACUUUAAUCAGAGCGGUGGGUGCGCCCCGGGCGUGGCGUGCAUGGAGCAAUGCCACGACUGAAUCCAGGAGGUCCCGAUGUUUACUCAGAUGCAGUCGCCGAGGCUCGUUAAUUGCUCGUUUGAUUAGGUACAAGCUUGCAACAGAGUCUGAUGCAAUAGUGAGCUUCUUAUUUGCAAAUUCUUUACCCUCGCCACCAAAUUCUGCGAGCGCAGCACGAAUUGCUGCCAAUUCAGCUCUCGUAAUAGUGUUUGUGCACCCAGCGCCAUUUGGAUUCACGUAGACAACGCGAGAAUCGCUGAACCAGGCGCAGGCGCCGGCAACCUGGACUUCUUUGCCAUUGUCAGUUUUGAUUUUGCUUACCGAACCAUCUGUCCAGACAGUGCCAUUCACGUCGUGGGCCAGAGCAUGGUGGGUCUGGAAUCGCGCGUUAGGAAAGCGUCGUGCUUCGUCGGCCAUGGCGUGUAUCGUCUUUGGGUUAGCGUGCUGGUAUUUGGCUUGCUUUAGAAGUGAGUUUGGGAGGGCCGGGCAGGUUGGGGCCGUGGCCGUGUGUGUCCACGUGCGCGGGUCGCUGAUGUGCGUGGGUGCGUUCGCCCCCCUUUUCAGUGUGUCCACGAGCCGUUUCAGGCGGGGGGCAAAGCACUGGAGUCCGGCGGGGUUCCCAACAAUGACCAGUCGGAGCCCCUUCUGGCGUUCAGCCUGGGUGUUGGUGCCAAGUCCUGUGUCAAGGCCCGCGGUGCCCGCGGACCAGUUGGCCAGCUCGUGGCAAAGUGGGUGUUGAAGCCACUGCGUGUGGGGGAAAGUGGCCGCUUUGGGGAGCGCCAAUACAGUAAGGGUUGGUUCCUGUGAGUCACGCAUAGCCUCGGCGCAUGCGAGGGCCCACAUGAGCGCCUUCCGUGCAUCGUGGGGGGUAGAGGGGGGGUGGGCAUAUUGCAAGCCGGUCCAUGCGGUCUGGUAGGCAUCGUGCAGUGCGCCAAAGGCCCCAUCAGCAGGGUCUCGUGUCCAGUAUUCGUGGGCUGCAGUGGAGGAGUUUAGUGGGGACGCAAACAUUUCCCGAAUGUGUACUGCUUGUGUGACCCGCAGGCAUUGGACGAUGGCUGCUACUGUGCCUGCCGGCAGCGACACCUGGUGCAUUGGCAUGGCCUUGCGGUCCUGCUGCGCCGGGUCAUAGCGGUAGCGCAUGAUGAGGGCAGCGACCGCUUCCUCAAAGGCGUUGGGCCGCUGGUUGCCGGUGUGCCUGAAGCGUUCCCACAGGGUAAGGAGGCGGGGGUAGGUGAUGGUGCCCAGCCAGCGGCCACUGGGUUCAUGGACGUGCGCCUCAGCUGGGUCACGGCGGGUGCCACCAGUGGUGGUAAUUGUGACCCGGACCGGCGCUGAAGACUGACGUACCGGCCUGCUGUAGAUUAACUUAAGGUCUGACCGGAGCAUGCACAGCAAAUCAAGACCCAGCAUGGAGCGCGUUCCUUGUUGCAUGGGGCUGCAUGGGGCUCAUAUAUUUCGGGUUCAGUUCUUCACUCUUCAAGCAACCUGUCUUUGUCACAUGUAGCUACAUACCUAUCGUUCAGCACCAUGUAGAGACUUCGUGGUCCUCUUCCAGUCGGCCAUGGACUUGCUUUCAAAGUUGGCGCUCAAGUCUACAGGGCGAGUCUUCAAGUCCUGCUAAGCCCUGGCAUCAAUCUUUGGAAGGUAUUUUAUGAGCUGCUGGUGCUGGGGCUGGGCUGCGCUGUCGCAGGGGGUGUCGGACCCUCGUUGACCGGGUCUACAACUAAGCCAGGUCUUGACGCUGCUGUUACAGGAUGUAAAUCAAGCAUCAGAGACCAAGUCUGGAAUCAACAGUGCCAGGUGAGGCAGGUCAGGACACAUAGCGACAGCCAUUUCAGGGGGUCGACAAGCGACAACAAAUUCAGGGGGUCAAGCGAGCUAGCAUCCAUGCGCAGUAUGGACGAAGUUGUAAGAGCAUAAGCAGAAAUUCAGAGUGUGAAGCUCCCCCCUCCCCCUCCCCUUGUCUCCUCAGGUCCGGCACUGGAAUUCGACUCGGGGCGCGGCGCGCGUAAAUGCGUGGCCCUUCUAACCCUCACCAGGCAAGUUUGAUCGGAAGUUGCUACACAACUCAUAAUAGGAUGAAUGAUAGGAUUUGAAUGACGUACAUGGGAAGUGAGUUCUAGGGGACUGAAUGCGGUCUAGGCCCUGCCCUGCAUGACACCGUGCCACCAUGCACUGACCAACUUACCCCAAACACCAUGCAGGCCGAGCUCAAGUAUGGAGGCGGCUAGCGGCAAGCGGCAGACUUCAGGUGGCGGCAGCGGAAUUGGCAGGCGGCGCUGUGCGCGCAUGGUGUUAUGGUGUGAUCGGCGGGUGGCUGGGUGUAGUGCUGGCAGGGGAUCCGUAUCGGUUGCCUUCACACUUGCCUCGAGACCCUGAGUAUGCCUGGUCUGUACGUUUAGUGUUGUGUAGCAAUGGUAGGCCUUGCAGAAUGUGUGCGUGCAGCACGUGGUGGGUUGCGGGUCGUGUGGACGGAGCGGGCGGGAGAGCCAUGCGGACUUGCACCAUUUUGGCACACCACGACACCAGUACGAGGGGCACGUGUCGGAGCGCAGAUGCAUGAACUGUAACACAUCAAGAGAGCUUCAGGUGCCUCAUGUGCCCCAUUUUAUGUGCCGUGCGGGACGCGCACAGUAUCGGGUGGGACGCACACAGCGCCGGGUGGCAGCUUGCUUUAGGUAAAGCACAGGCGUGCCGCAUGCGUGAGACUAUGCGUAGAGCUCUAAGCAACCGGCAUUUUUGCUUUAUUUGUGCUUAAUCGUGCGUAUGCUAAGCAUGCAUACGCAUGCGUGCCAGCCAGAGGGGAGCGGCGCGGCAAGUCCUGGCAACUACCAUGCGUUAGCUAACGUAAGUGCUUGUCCUUGACGCAUGCGAGCGGUGUGCUUCCUCCUGCGUACCGCACGCACGUUUCGUGCUUGCCGCAUGCGAAAUUUCCAUGCUUAACGCAUGCUAACGCAUGCCAUAACGCACAAACCCGUCCUUAUAGUGGCAGCUGACCACCACGGCGGCGCAGCAUUUCCACAAUAACCCGGUGGCUCUGGACCCCUGGCUCCACCGCACCUCCGCGGCAGCCGGGCUGCAGAACACGCCGGCGAGAGAACUGCAGUUGUAUGCGUCCCCGUCCCAGCAGUCGGGUGAGGGGCCGCGGCGGUCCGCGCGGCUGCAGGAGCAGGCGGCGGGAGGGGCGGGACCUAGCACUGGGCCUGCCACGGCGGCGGCGGCAGCAGCGGCGGCGGUGGAGGGCGACCCUCGCAUGCCGCCCCCGGAUGCGUCCCUUCUGCGGGGUACGUGGCGGAGGCUGUGGGACAGCCACGCCAGUCGGGGGGCAAAGGUGCUGGUGUACCGGCUGCAACAUGCUUACCUGCCUUGCGGGCUGUACAGGGCGGGCAAGGGCAUUCGGCCACGGGUGACCACGGGGUGCGGGGGGUUGGGGGCGCACUUUUUUUUUUUGAGGAAUCAUCCUUACAAGGUUGAACAGGAGCAGACGCGCUGCCCCCCUGCUGCCUGAAAGCAGCCUGGUCCCCGAGACCAGAACCCUGACAGGGCAAGAAGAGAAGAGAAGAAAAGAAAAACAGAAAACAAACACCUCGAAAACCGCCACCAACCACCCCCAUCCAUCCCACCCCACCCCACCCCGACCCGGCAGCCAGAGCAGGAGGCUGGCCCCCCCGCCCCCCGGGAGGGGUUGCACAAAAACACCGCCAGACCUAACCCAAGCACCAACCUACACCACAGCCUAACCGCAAGAACCACCACCACCGCGCGCCAGAAAAAGAAACACCAGCGCUACGCACUCGCCCCGCCCAAACCCACCCCACCCCCACAAGUCGGUUGCUUAAGCAACACCCCAGGAGAACCGGCAGAGGAGGCGCAAGCAGAAAACUAAACGGGCCAGAUGUGGCGCUGACUAAGCGGGCUCCAGCCCGCUGCAAGACGCGCUGUGCAGGAAGUCCCACAGCCGCCCAGGCGCUGCGACGCCAGCCACAGCUAAAACACAUGGGCGCCAGAUAAGCUGAUGACGAUAAACGCCACGCCAGCGCCUGGAACGAACCGCCGCCCAAAAGGAAACCUAGGGGGCCUGCACAGGUGAUGCAAGCGUCAGCCGCAAGUUCAACUUCGGUGACCCACCCUGAACCUCCUCCACUUCACAAAGCGCGCCACCCGCCAACCAGAUGGCCACAAAGUGCUCCAGCUUAGCCGCCUUGAGCUGUGCGGUGAGAAGCUGAGUGGGCAGAGCCGACAGGGUUUCAGGGGUUAGCGUGGCGGCAGUGAAACGCAGCUGCAUCACCCUGCGCAGCUCGCUGACCACCUCCCGAACCACAUGCUCCGACGUCUGCUUAGCAGGCUCGCGGGACCAGUACGCACACCAGACGGCGUGUGUCCUACGUCCACUACACGGGGCGGCUCUUGGAGCCUGGGCCUGGCGUGCUGCCCCCGGCGGUGGAUGGGGCGUGGCAGCCUGCCUGUGUGCUGCAGCAUCGCAAGCCGCGGCACCUGUGGACCUUUGAAGAGCGGGCGGCGUACGAUGCAGCAUCACCAGGGGACCGGGCGGGGGCGUGGCCUCGGGCGCCGUACUUCCUGGCGCCGGAGGCUGGGGUGGUGGUGCACCCGGAGCACUGCCGGAUUGCGGGUGUCAGCUUAGCGGACUACACGGUGCGGGACGUGCGGCGGGCCAUCACCGCGGCCAACCCGGCCGCACCUCCGGCUCCGGCCCGCCCCGCAGCCAUGCCGUGCCCAGCGCCAGCACAGCAGGCGGGGGGUUCGGGGCCCCAGCCAGCGGCACAGUCGCGGCUGGCGAAGCGGGAGGCGGAGUGGCAGCGUGCAGCGGCGCAGCUGACCACCACGGCGGCGCAGCAUUUCCACAAUAACCCGGUGGCUCUGGACCCCUGGCUCCACCGCACCUCUGCGGCAGCCGGGCUGCAGAACACGCCGGCGAGAGAACUGCAGUCGUAUGCGUCCCCGUCCCAGCAGUCGGGUGAGGGGCCGCGGCGGUCCGCGCGGCUGCAGGAGCAGGCGGCGGGAGGGGCGGGACCUAGCACUGGGCCUGCCACGGCGGCGGCGGCAGCAGCGGCGGCGGUGGAGGGCGACCCUCGCAUGCCGCCCCCGGAUGCGUCCCUUCUGCGGGGUACGUGGCGGAGGCUGUGGGACAGCCACGCCAGUCGGGGGGCAAAGGUGCUGGUGUACCGGCUGCAACAUGCUUACCUGCCUUGCGGGCUGUACAGGGCGGGCAAGGGCAUUCGGCCACGGGUGACCACGGGGUGCGGGGGGUUGGGGGCGCACUGUCCUCACCCCGCCUGCGGGCCACCUGGCCCGCGGGCGUGGGCCAGCCUGACGCACAUCUUCCUGGAGUGUCUGGCUUAUGCGCAGGCGAGGACGUGGCUGCAGCAGCUGUGGGCCUGCGUUGCGCCCCAGGCAGCGGCGCCGCCAGUGACGGACGCGGGCUUCAUGCUGGGGGACCGCAUGGGUUUUUUUUUUUUGAGGAAUCAUCCUUACAAGGUUGAACAGGGGCAGACGCGCUGCCCCCCUGCUGCCUGAAAGCAGCCUGGUCCCCGGGACCAGAACCCUGACAGGGCAAGAAGAGGAGAGAAGAGAAGAAAAACAGAAAACAAACACCUCGAAAACCGCCACCAACCACCCCCAUCCAUCCCACCCCACCCCACCCCGACCCGGCAGACAGAGCAGGAGGCUGGCCUCCCCGCCCCCCGGGAGGGGUUGGGUAUGUGGGCCUCAGGCCCGCGGGGGGCGGGAGCGCUGCUAUGGAGCACUUUGCGGGCCACCUUCUUGUACGCCGUCUGGUGUGCGUACUGGUCCCGCGAACCUGCUAAGCAGACGUCGGAGCAUGUGGUUCGGGAGGUGGUCAGCGAGCUGCGCAGGGUGAUGCGGCUGUGUUUCACUGCCGCCACGCUAACCCCUGAAACCCUGUCAGCUCUGCCCACUCAGCUGCUCACUGCACAGCUCAAGGCGGCUAAGCUGGAGCACUUUGUUGCCAUCUGGACGGCGGGUGGCGCGCUUUGUGAAGUGGAGGAGGUUCAGGGUGGGUCACCGAAGUUGAACUUGCGGCUGACACUUGCAUCACCUGUGCAGGCCCCCUAGGCGGCGGUUCUUUCCAGGCGCUGGCGUGGCGUAUUAUCGUCAUCAGCUUAUCUGGCGCCCAUGUAUUUUAGCUCUGGCUGGCGUCGCAGCACCUGGGCGGCUGUGGGACUUCCUGCACAGCGCGUCUUGCAGUGGACUGGAGCCCGCUUGGUCAGCGCCACAUCUGGCCCGUUUAGUUUUCUGCUUGCGCCUCCUCUGCCGGUUCUCCUGGGGUGUUGCUUAAGCAACCGACUUGUGGGGGUGGGGUGGGUUUGGGCGGGGCGAGUGCGUAGCGCUGGUGUUUCUUUUUCUGGCGCGCGGUGGUGGUGGUUCUUGCGGUUAGGCUGUGGUGUAGGUUGGUGCUUGGGUUAGGUCUGGCGGUGUUUUUGUGCAACCCCUCCCGGGGGGCGGGGGGGCCAGCCUCCUGCUCUGGCUGCCGGGUCGGGGUGGGGUGGGGUGGGAUGGUUGGGGGUGGUUGGUGGCGGUUUUCGAGGUGUUUGUUUUCUGUUUUUCUUCUCUUCUCUCCUCUUCUUGCCCUGUCAGGGUUCUGGUCCCGGGGACCAGGCUGCUUUCAGGCAGCAGGGGGGCAGCGCGUCUGCCCCUGUUCAACCUUGUAAGGAUGAUUCCUCAAAAAAAAAACGGCGUACAAGAAGGUGGCCCGCAAAGUGCUCCACAGCAGCGCGCCCGCCCCCCGCGGGCCUGAGGCCCACAUACCCAUGCGGUCCCCCAGCAUGAAGCCCGCGUCCGUCACUGGUGGCGCCGCUGCCUGGGGCGCAACGCAGGCCCACAGCUGCUGCAGCCACGUCCUCACCUGCGCAUAAGCCAGACACUGUUCAUCCUGUUCAACCUUGUAAGGAUGAUUCCUCAAAAAAAAAACUCCAGGAAGAUGUGCGUCAGGCCAUGGGCCUUGGCAGGUUUGCGCACCUGACGGGCCCUUGCCCACACACGGGGGUGCCGUUUACCACUGGCGCCGUGACGCACCUGGGUGUGCCCCUGUCGUGGGACUCGGAUGCGGCUGCAGCUGACUUGUACACCCGGCGGGCUCGACGCCAGCUCGGCGCGGUCCAGGCUUUUGCCCUUGUAGAUGAGGGUGAUGAUGCCCUCCCGCCAGGAGGCGGGCAGCGCCGCCGCCAUUUCACCGCCAUCGUGGGCGUCUGCAGCGGCAGCAAAGGCAGCGGCAGCAGCAGCACACAAGCGCGGGCCCAGCAGUGCCCAGAAAACCUUGUACACCUCGUACGGGACCCCGUCCGACCCAGGCGCUUUACCAUUGGCGGAGCCAGCCAGCGCUGCCAUCAGCUCGGCAUCACUGAGGGCGCCGUCACCGGACCCCUCUGCGGCGGCCUGCAGAUCUGCCGGAACCUUGCGGUCAAUGGCCGCCAGAAGCUGCUGCUGCAACGCCGUACAGACCGGCUGCACGCGGAACAGGCCGGUGGGGCUGGUGCUGCUGUACAUGGCUGCAGCGGCUGCGGAGACAGUGUUGCACGUGCCCGGCCCCGUGAGCGCCACAGGCGCCGGUUGCCCCGGCACCUUCAAGUGCGUGAUGGGCUCCUGCGCACCGGCUGCUGGCUCGUCAGCCUGCCGAUGGAACUAGCGAGUGCCCCGCUCCCCAUGCUCCUCCAUCAGUGCCGCGCGGGCAUUGUGGCUGGCCGCUGCGGCAGCUGCCCGCUCCUCCCGCACCGCCAAGUUGGCCAUGGCCGCAGCCUGACGCUGCGCGGCGCUGGCACCCGACCCGUCGGCCAGGGCAGCGGCCGUGUCUGCGGCCAGCACCACGCCAUGCAGCCCAUCCCGGGUCUGGCGUGCAUGCCGACGGUGGAUGCUGGUGGCGGCCUCCCGCAAGAAGAACUUGUCCGCCUCCCAUUGCGUGCAAGCGCCGUCACCUGUACUGGCCACGGGAUUUGCGGCAACGUGCGCCUCCAAGCGCUGCUCGAGCUCCAAACGCAGCGAGGGGUGAAACAGCAGGUAUAUGGGGAAGCGCCACUGCUCCCGGUGCGCAUGUGGCAGGUCGGGCAAGGACAGGGUGAGCAGCACACUGUUAUGGUCCCCAGGCGCCCCAUACGUGCGAGCGACAUCCACCACCCACGGCGCCGCGGUGGCACUGACAUACCACCGAUCCAGGCGUGCAGGAGUGGCCGGCUUGGGCGUGGCCGGAUGCGUGUAGCCCUUGGCGCCGCCACGCUUGCUUGCCCAAGGGUCCACCAGACUGAACUGGGCAAGGAGGCCGGCAAGUUGCGGGGCACCUGCAGCACGUGACGGGCUAGGGGCCGCCUCCUGACUGGCAUCGGUGACACAGUUCCAGUCCCCACCAACAACAAGCACCCUGUCCGUGGCCAGGUGGGGAUGCAGCCCGGCAAAGAAAGCAGGCUUGUCCGCCACGGCCGUGGGCGCAUACACACACACGAAGCGCAGGCGCAAGUGACCCACGUCCCAAUCCCAACAUACCACACGGCCCGCCGCAUCCGUUGACGGCGGCUGCAGUACGCAGCCUGGAAGGGACAGCCGACUCCGCGCCAGGAUAGCCGCCCCACAGGAGUGUGUGUGUAUGCGCCCACGGCCGUGGCGGACAAGCCUGCUUUCUUUGCCGGGCUGCAUCCCCACCUGGCCACGGACAGGGUGCUUGUUGUCGGUGGGGACUGGAACUGUGUCACCGAUGCCAGUCAGGAGUAACUUUUACGUUACUCUUUUCUCUUGCUCUUCUUGCAUCCUCCUUUCCUUCUGCACAGCUUUGAAACAGUCGACGUCAUUUCUCUCGUGCUGUUUGACUUGCUUCCUUUUGUUUUAGGCUUCUUAAGGCCUACGAACCACUGUGAAGGAGUCUGCAUUUGUGGGCGUGCUCGUUUUUUGUCAGUCCAUUUUGCAGCUGUAGCGCGACACUCCCUCUCCAGCGCCCUUCAGCCUAUGUCGGCUUGUGCUUUGGAACUCGACACAGCUAUGGAAUAGGAUUCUGGCGGUUCAGGAACGUCGCCGUGGAGUUGGCGACAUUUCGCUUGUUGGCAUUUUAACAUCUCGGCGAGCACCACACUUCACCAGCUUGGAGCCGGCGGCGUAUCAACCUUUGUGGUUGGUCACUUGCAUCCGCGCGUGCAGCAGGGUGCUUUGGGUGUGGCGGUCGGGGGAGCCCUGCAGCACUUGGCUGUUUUUUUGGGGUGUGGCUCGUCUUCGUGCCCUUGUUGCCUGGUGCCUGGAUGCCUGGCGCCCGCCCUGCUGUGAUGCCCUGGGAGUGCUGAUCUUGGGCAGCUAUGCAGUUGCUGGGUGAUCCUUUUUUUUUUUAGGAAUCAUCCUUACAAGGUUGAACAGGGGCAGACGCGCUGCCCCCCUGCUGCCUGAAAGCAGCCUGGUCCCCGAGACCAGAACCCUGACAGGGAAAGAAGAGAAGAAAAGAGAAGAAAACAGAAAACAAACACCUCAAAAACCGCCACCAACCACCCCCAUCCAUCCCACCCCACCCCACCCCAACCCGGCAGACAGAGCAGGAGGCUGGCCCCCCCGCCCCCCGGGAGGGGUUGCACAAAAACACCACCAGACCUAACCCAAGCACCAAACUACACCACAGCCUAACCGCAAGAACCACCACCACCGCGCACCAGAAAAGAAAACACCAGCGUUACGCACUUGCCCCGCCCAAACCCACCCCACCCCCACAAGUCGGUUGCUUAAGCAACACCCCAGGAGAACCGGCAAAGGAGACACAAGCAGAAAACUAAACGGGCCAGAUGUGGCGCUGACUAAGCGGGCUCCAGCCCGCUGCAAGACGCGCUGUGCAGGAAGUCCCACAGCCGCCCAGGCGCUGCGACGCCAGCCACAGCUAAAACACAUGGGCGCCAGAUAAGCUGAUGACGAUAAACGCCACGCCAGCGCCUGGAACGAACCGCCGCCCAAAAGGAAACCUAGGGGGCCUGCACAGGUGAUGCAAGCGUCAGCCGCAAGUUCAACUUCGGUGACCCACCCUGAACCUCCUCCACUUCACAAAGCGCGCCACCCGCCAACCAGAUGGCCACAAAGUGCUCCAGCUUAGCCGCCUUGAGCUGUGCGGUGAGAAGCUGAGUGGGCAGAGCCGACAGGGUUUCAGGGGUUAGCGUGGCGGCAGUGAAACGCAGCUGCAUCACCCUGCGCAGCUCGCUGACCACCUCCCGAACCACAUGCUCCGACGUCUGCUUAGCAGGCUCGCGGGACCAGUACGCACACCAGACGGCGUACAAGAAGGUGGCCCGCAAAGUGCUCCACAGCAGCGCGCCCGCCCCCCGCGGGCCUGAGGCCCACAUACCCAUGCGGUCCCCCAGCAUGAAGCCCGCGUCCGUCACUGGCGGCGCCGCUGCCUGGGGCGCAACGCAUGCCCACAGCUGCUGCAGCCACGUCCUCGCCUGCGCAUAAGCUGGACACUCCAGGAAGAUGUGCGUCAGGCUGGCCCACGCCCGCGGGCCAGGUGGCCCGCAGGCGGGGUGAGGACAGUGCGCCCCCAACCCCCCGCACCCCGUGGUCACCCGUGGCCGAAUGCCCUUGCCCGCCCUGUACAGCCCGCAAGGCAGGUAAGCAUGUUGCAGCCGGUACACCAGCACCUUUGCCCCCCGACUGGCGUGGCUGUCCCACAGCCUCCGCCACGUACCCCGCAGAAGGGACGCAUCCGGGGGCGGCAUGCGAGGGUCGCCCUCCACCGCCGCCGCUGCUGCCGCCGCCGCCAUGGCAGGCCCAGUGCUAGGUCCCGCCCCUCCCGCCGCCUGCUCCUGCAGCCGCGCGGACCGCCGCGGCCCCUCCCCCGACGGCUGGGACGGGGACGCAUACGACUGCAGUUCUCUCGCCGGCGUGUUCUGCAGCCCGGCUGCCGCGGAGGUGCGGUGGAGCCAGGGGUCCAGAGCCACCAGGUUAUUGUAGAAAUGCUGCGCCGCCGUGGUGGUCAGCUGCGCCGCUGCACGCUGCCACUCCGCCUCCCGCUCCGCCAGCCACGACUGUGCCACUGGCUGGGGCCCCGAAUCCCCCGCCUGCUGUGUUGGCGCCGGGCACGGCAUGGCUGCGGGGCGGGCCGGAGCCGGAGGUGCGGCCGGGUUGGCCGCGGUGAUGGCCUGCCGCACGUCCCGCACCGUGUAGUCCGCUAAGCUGACACCCGCAAUCCGGCAGUGCUCCGGGUGCACUACCACCCCAGCCUCCAGCGCCAGGAAGUACGGCGCCCGAGGCCACGCCCCCGCCCGGUCCCCUGGUGAUGCUGCAUCGUACGCCGCCCGCUCUUCAAAGGUCCACAGGUGCCGCGGCUUGCGAUGCUGCAGCACACAGGCAGGCUGCCACGCCCCAUCCACCGCCGGGGGCAGCACGCCAGGCCCAGGCUCCAAGAGCCGCCCCGUGUAGUGGACGUAGGACACAGCCCCCGCAGCGUUAGCCACCCACAGCUGGUCCAGGCUAACCCGCCACUGUGGCGGCGCCGCUGGCGGCUGAGUGGCUGGCUGCGGUGGAUGCUGUUCCACGCCCGCGCUCCGCACGUGGCCGACCGCGGCGCCAGCCGGGCAGGCAGCCCUGCUGGCGCCGGCGCGUCGCUGUACACCCACGCCCACGUGGUGGCGGAGUCCGGGCGCACAUGGGUAAGCAGCGCCCGGGUGAGCAUCUUCCAGGGUUGCCGGCCUGGCUGGGCAAGGAGGGCGAAGGUCUUAGCUUGCAGGGCAGACAGGAACGCAGGCAGGUCGACGUGGUUGACACCCCCGUCCUUGUACGGCAGACAGGCCGUUUCCCGCUUUGGCAGCAGGAGCGGGUUCCCGUGCGACACCAGGCUGGCGUCCUCAGCGUGCAUGGAGCGCACAGCAAAGUGGUCCACCAGGUCGGUGAGUUCCUUCAGCUGCGCCGGCGACGGGUUGAGGAAGCUGAAGUGGUAGGCCAGCUUCGCCGCCAACACCUGCUUCGCAAUGUGCACACGGCCAACGAGAGUCAGAGACAGGGCAGCCCACAGACGCGCCACAAACGCCAUGCCGCGAGCCCGCCGGGUGUACAAGUCAGCUGCAGCCGCAUCAGAGUCCCACGACAGGGGCACACCCAGGUGCGUCACGGCGCCAGUGGUAAACGGCACCCCUGUGUGUGGGCAAGGGCCCGUCAGGUGCGCAAACCUGCCAAGGCCCAUGGCCUUGCUCUUGUCCGGAUGGACACGGGCGUUGGACGCGCGGCAGAACAGCUGUACUGCCGCCAUCAGGACCGGCCCGUCCACCGCCGGGUCGCGCGCCGUGAGGGUCGUGUCGUCAGCGUGGUGGGCAGCCGGUGGCGCCUGCUCGCCACUGGGUAACAGGGGCGUGCGCAGAAAGGACGUCAGUGGCUGCAUCUGGAUGACCCACAGGGGUGGUGAGGCGGUGCUGCCCUGCGGCAAGCCGUUCAGCACUGGGAAGGCAUCAGAGAGCAUCCCGUUCACACACACGCGGGCAGAGCCGUUGGCAGUGAGCAGGCGGAUCCAGCGCAGCAUGCGCGGCCCAAACCCAAGUCCCUCCGCGGACGCAUACAGCCACUGCCGGUGCACCCGGUCAUACGCCUUUUCAAUGUCCAAGAAGUACAGCGCACCACCCUGCCGUGGCGUGCCGUCCGCGCCCACGUCCAGGCGCAUCCAUUCGAUCAGGCCUUUUUUUUUUUUGAGGAAUCAUCCUUACAAGGUUGAACAGGGGCAGACGCGCUGCCCCCCUGCUGCCUGAAAGCAGCCUGGUCCCCGGGACCAGAACCCUGACAGGGCAAGAAGAGGAGAGAAGAGAAGAAAAACAGAAAACAAACACAUCGAAAACCGCCACCAACCACCCCCAUCCAUCCCACCCCACCCCACCCCGACCCGGCAGACAGAGCAGGAGGCUGGCCCCCCCGCCCCCCGGGAGGGGUUGCACAAAAACACCGCCAGACCUAACCCAAGCACCAACCUACACCACAGCCUAACCGCAAGAACCACCACCACCGCGCGCCAGAAAAAGAAACACCAGCGCUACGCACUCGCCCCGCCCAAACCCACCCCACCCCCACAAGUCGGUUGCUUAAGCAACACCCCAGGAGAACCGGCAGAGGAGACACAAGCAGAAAACUAAACGGGCCAGAUGUGGCGCUGACUAAGCGGGCUCCAGUCCUUGGAGGUACAGCGCGUUGUCUCCAAUCCAGCGGCCGGUGAUGAACGCGGUCUGCAGCUCAUCCACAACUGCAUCCAGGGCGGGCUGCAGGCGGGCGCUGACGGCCUUGGACACCAUCUUGAAGUCGCAGUUGAGCAGCGUGAUGGGCCGGUAGGACGCCAGCUCGGCGCGGUCCAGGCUUUUGCCCUUGUAGAUGAGCGUAAUGAUGCCCUCCCGCCAGGAGGCAGGCAGCGCCGCUGCCAUUUCGCCGCCAUCGUGGGCGUCUGCAGCGGCAGCAAAGGCAGCGGCAGCAGCAGCACACAAGCGCGGGCCCAGCAGCGCCCAGAAGACCUUGUACACCUCGUACGGAACCCCGUCCGACCCAGGUGCUUUACCAUUGGCGGAGCCAGCCAGCGCUGCCAUCAGCUCGGCAUCACUGAGGGUGCCGUCACCGGACCCCUCUGCGGCGGCGUGCAGAUCCGCCGGAACCUUGCGGUCAAUGGCCGCCAGAAGCUGUUGCUGCGACGCCGUACAGACCGGCUGCACGCGGAACAGGCCGGUGGGGCUGGUGCUGCUGUACAUGGCUGCGGCGGCUGCAGAGACAGUGUUGCGCGUGCCCGGCCCCGUGAGCGCCACAGGCGCUGGUUGCCCCGGCACCUUCAAGUGCGUGAUGGGCUCCUGCGCGCCGGCUGCUGGCUCGUCAGCCUGCCGAUGGAACCAGCGAGUGCCCCGCUCCCCAUGCUCCUCCAUCAGUGCCGCGCGGGCAUUGUGGCUGGCCGCUGCGGCAGCUGCCCGCUCCUCCCGCACCGCCAAGUUGGCCAUGGCCGCAGCCUGACGCUGCGCGGCGCUGGCACCCGGCCGGUCGGCCAGGGCAGCGGCCGUGUCUGCGGCCAGCACCACGCCAUGCAGCCCAUCCCGGGUCUGGCGUGCAUGCCGACGGUGGAUGCUGGUGGCGGCCUCCCGCACGAAGAACUUGUCCGCCUCCCAUUGCGUGCAAGCGCCGUCACCUGUACUGGCCACGGGAUUGGCGGCAACGUGCGCCUCCAAGCGCUGCUCGAGCUCCAAACGCAGCGAGGGGUGAAACAGCAGGUAUGUGGGGAAGCGCCACUGCUCCCGGUGCGCAUGUGGCAGGUCGGGCAAGGACAGGGUGAGCAGCACACCGUUGUGGUCCCCAGGCGCCCCAUACGUGCGAGCGACAUCCACCACCCACGGCGCCGCGGUGGCACUGACAUACCACCGAUCCAGGCGUGCAGGAGUGGCCGGCUUGGGCGUGGCCGGAUGCUUGUAGCCCUUGGCGCCGCCACGCUUGCUCGCCCAAGGGUCCACCAGACUGAACUGGGCGAGGAGGCUGGCAAGUUGCGGGGCACCUGCAGCACGUGACGGGCUAGGGGCCGCCUCCUGACUGGCAUCGGUGACACAGUUCCAGUCCCCACCGACAACAAGCACCCUGUCCGUGGCCAGGUGGGGAUGCAGCCCGGCAAAGAAAGCAGGCUUGUCCGCCACGGCCGUGGGCGCAUACACACACACGAAGCGCAGGCGCAAGUGACCCACGUCCCAAUCCCAACAUACCACACGGCCCGCCGCAUCCGUUGACGGCGGCUGCAGUACGCAGCCUGGAAGGGACAGCCGACUCCGCGCCAGGAUAGCCGCCCCACAGGAGUGGGGCGAUGCUGCCGGGCUGGCAGCGAGGCAGUGGCGCCACGGAAGGCACGCCCCCUGCGCGGCACGAAGGCAAGACUCCAGCGCCGUCGUGUCAGUAGCGUGGGUCUCCUGCACCAUCGCCACAUCCGCCCCAACUUGCUGCAGGUGCGAGACCAGCGCCCGCGCCUUGAGCGGCGAGCCCAGGCCGUUGACAUUCACUGUCAGCAGCCGAAGGUUCGCCGCUCCCACUGGUGGCCGCAUUAUGAGACCCCGCCGGCCACGGCAGCGCCGUGGCGGUUGCGGUUGCUGUUGCUGCUGUGGUGUUUGCCGCGGCGGCCGCCACUUUGGCUGGGGGGCGCGCCGCCGCUGCUGGUGCUCAUGCUAGCGGCGCCUGAGCUGGUGCCGCCGGGGCGCAAUGGAGCGCUGCCCAGGCUCAUGAGGCUGGAGGUACUGCGGCUGCGGUGCUGGCGUUGCCGGCGGCUGGGCCCGCUGGCCCCGCCGGGGUCCGCCGGCCCACGCUUAGCGGACCGCAGUGUGCGGGCGUCUAGGAGCACGUAGUCCAUGUAGGCCGUCUGCACCUGCUGCGCGGCGUCAUCCAGCUGCUCCGUCACGUCGGAAGGCAGGGGCGUGUCUGCAGGCUGGGCUGAGUAUAGGCGCCACCAGCCAGUGAACUCGUCGUGCAGCUGUGCCAGGACGGCGGUACGGCCGGCCGGCACGCGGCAGACGGCCCAGUCCGGUACGGUGGCGCCCUGGUCACGGAGGUAGGCGAGGAGGCGGCCACCAAGCGCAUCGCGGCCAAGCUGCGUCCACUCAUACCCCUGCACAUCUGCGCAGCGGUUCUGGUGCGUCACGAGGUCAGAGCCGAUGGCAACACACGUGUCACGAUUCAGGCAAACGGCCCCGUACUCCGCCUCACUGCCCGCACCCCCACCAGCGAGCCCAGCCGUGUCGGCCGAAACCCCAGCCGGCGCGCGCAGGCCCCUGCCCCUGUCCUUACCACCACCCGCCGGUUGUGAUGUCUGCAGUGGCAGCCCCGCCUGGGGCGGCGCCUGGGGCACUGCCCGCCCCGCUCCUCCACCCUGGCGCCCCGACCCGCUGCCCCCACCAGCCUGCUGUCCCCCUGCCGGCCGCCCCGUGGGCACGUGCGGCGGCGAGCUAGCCCCGUCCUGCGGGGAGGGCAGCCCGCCGCCCAAGCGCGCUGCCCUCUGCUGCGGGAGCUGGGCGGGGCCACAGCGCCCUUUGGAGCUGGGCUGUUGCUGCAGCAGCGGCGGCGGCGGUGCGUGCGCGGCUGGUUGCACCCGUCGCCCACGCCCGGACGCCGCCGUGGCCGCGCCAUCGCCCGCCCCGUCCUGUCCCCCCAGCGUUGCCAGGACCCCAAACCGGGAGCCGGUCCGGGGCCUGGGUGGCUGCACCUGGCGCUGCUGCUCCUGCUGCUGCUGUUGCUGUACCCGCCGUUGCUGCUGGAGAGUGAGUUCCGCCAAAUCGGCCAAGUACCGCCGCAUCACAACUUGCAGCUUCUGCUCCUGCCUAGCAGCUGCCCGCUGAUCAAAGGGCGGCUGUGGCGCGGGAGCCCCACUGGGCUGCUGCUGCACGCCAGCCGGCCCAGCACCGGCAGUGCGACGCCUGGCCGCCGGCGGCCCCCCAACACCUGCCGAUGGCUGCCCCCCGCUACGCCCUCCCGCUGCCACCCGCUGCUGUGAAGAGGGCUGCUGCUGCCGCUCGGCCCUCAGGGCAGCCGCAGCAGCACGGGUGCUUCCCCCCGCCACCAGAGCUGGCAGCGAGGGCGAGGCCACGGUGGGUGGUCCGUGGGCGCCACCAGCGGCAGCCGCUGCGUCACCCACACCCGCCGCCUCCUGCAUCUGCACGUCCCCCACGUGGUCAACUAUGUCAACACAUUGCCCACGCCGUGACGCCGCCACGCCAGGGCCACCGCCCGCCCCGUCCUGCCCCCCCCGCGUGGCCAGGACCACAACCUGGGAGCCAGUCCGGGGCCUGGGCGACUGCCCCUGGCGCUGCAGUUCCUGCUGCUGCUGUUGCUGUAACCGCCGUUUCUGCUGGAGAUCGAGGUCCGCCAAAUCGGCCAAGUACCGCCGCAUCACAGCUGUCUGCUCCUGAUCCUGCCCGGCAGCGGCCCGCUGAUCCAAGGGCGGCCAUGGCGCGGGAGCGCCACUGUGCUGCUGCUGCACGCCAGCCGGCCCAGCAUUGGCAUAAUUGGCAGGGCGAGGCCUGGCCGCCGGCGGCCCCCCCACGCCUUCCGCCGGCUGGACCCCGCUAAGCCCUCCCGUUGCCACCCGCUGCUGCGAAGAGGGCUGCUGCUGCAGCGCGGCCCGCAGGGCAGCCGCAGCAGCACGGUUGCUUCCCCCCGCCACCAGAACUGGCAGUAGGGGCAGGGCCCCGCUGAGUGGCCCACUGGCGCCACCAGCUGCAGCCGCCGCGUCACCCAAACCCGCCGCCUCCUGCAUCUGCACGUCCCCUACGUGGUCAACGAUGUCCGCUGCGGUCGCCAUGGCAGCCGCGGGCCUCACCCCACCCAAGGUGUUGCCACCCAGGUCGGCGACCCCGGCUGCAGCCGGAGCAGGGCUACCUGCCGCGGCUGUCGUGGCUGUCCCAGCCGCCUGGGGGGCGCCACGGACCUCCACCUGCAUGGGCUCCUCACCGGGCAUCUCAAACUUGGCACAGUGCAGGUGAGAGAGCUGCGGGUCCCAGCUGGGGCCCCGCACACAGGCAAAGAUGUGGUUGGUGAUGCCCUGGCCUGCGGGGGCCUGGGGCUCCCCCUUGGGGCCCACCGAUUUGGCGCACUGCUCUGAGACCACAUAAGCACACGCCAGGUUAGAGGGGUCCGAGGUGGUGGGAUAGCCGCCCGCCUGCAGCACCAAAUCGGUGCGACCGCGGAAAGCCCCCCACACAGGGCCCCCUACCAUCUUGACCGUGACGGUGUAGGUGCCCGGAAUGAUGGGCCGGGUGUCCACUGGCACGUGAACCGUGAGGACAGCCUGACCGCGCUGGAGCGGUACCGCCAGCGGUGACUUGCGCAUGAGCUCCGCUGUGAAGGCUGCUUUGCUGGCGCUGGUCGCGCGCCGGCUGAAGGCCAGCCCCGCAAACGUGCGGGAGGGGCGGCCUGUGCUGUGCAGAGAGUGGCCCUGCAAGAGCUGCGGCUGGUUGCCCUGCCUGCACAUGGUGUCCAGCACUGACAGGGCAGCACUGGUCACCUCCCGGACGCCGGCUGAGGACAGCUGCUCGCCCUCUGGGAGCCCCGUGGUGGCACCCACCAGAAGGACUGGGUAGGUAGGCAGGCUGGGGCCCUGAGGCUGCGUCGUCAGGUCCUGCACACCGUGCGCCAGGCUAUGCGUGGACAGGGCAAGGUGGAGCUGCAGCCCGGGGCUGAAGAACGGGCUGGCAGUGCUGCCCCCACCUGCAGGGGUGCGGUCCGCUGCCAAGUCUGGCAGUGGGCGACGAUGCCCAAACGCAGGCCCCCCACACGGCACGGCAUGUGCUGCUGCGGCCGCGCCGUGUGUGUGUGUGCUGCAUGGCUGGUGUUGGCCCCUGGUGUCUUGGCUGCGCUGAGACACCAGGCGGAACCGACCAGGAUCACCCAGCAACUGCAUAGCUACCCAAGAUCAGCACUCACAGGGCAUCACAGCAGGGCGGGCGCCAGGCAGCCGGGCGCCAGGCAACAAGGGCACGAAGACGAGCCACACCCCAAAAAGACAGCCAAGUGCUGCAGGGCUCCCCCGACCGCCACACCCAAAUCACCCUGCUGCACGCGCGGAUGCAAAUGACCAACCACAAAGGUUGAUACGCCGCCUGCUCCAAGCUGGUGAAGUGUGGUGCUCGCCGAGAUGUUAAAAUGCCGACAAGCGAAAUGUCGCCAACUCCACGGCGACGCUCCUGAACCGCCAGAAACCUAUUCCAUAGCAGUGUCGAGUUCCAAAGCACAAGCCGGCAGAGGCUGAUGGGCGCUGGAGAGGGAGUGUCGCGCUACAGCUGCAAAGUGGACUGACAAAAAACGAGCACGCCCACAAAUGCAAACUGCUUCACAGUGGUUCGUAGGCCUUAAGAAGCCUAAAACAAAAGGAAGCAAGUCAAACAGCGCGAGAGAAAUGACGUCGACUGUUUCAAAGCUGUGCAGAAGGAAAGGAGGAUGCAAGAAUAGCAAGAGAAGAGAGUAAAGUAAAGUAAAGUAAAGCAAAGUCGGUAAAGACCAGUAAAGUAAAUCCUGGUCGGUUCCGCCUGGUGUCUCAGCGCAGCCAAGCCACCAGGGGCCAACACCAGCCAUACAGCACACCCGCACACAGCGCGGCCACAGCAGCACAUGCCAUGCCGUGUGGGGGGCCUGCGUUUGGGCAUCGCCGCCCACUGCCAGACUUGGCAGCGGACCGCACCCCUGCAGGUGGGGGCAACACUGCCAGCCCAUUCUUCAGCCCCGGGCUGCAGCUCCACCUUGCCCUGUCCAUGCAUAGCCUGGCGCACGGCGUGCAGGACCUGACGACGCAGCCUCAGGGCCCCAGCCUGCCUACCUACCCAGUCCUUCUGGUGGGUGCCACCACGGGGCUCCCAGAGGGCGAGCAGCUGUCCUCAGCCGGCGUCCGGGAAGUGACCAGUGCUGCCCUGUCAGUGCUGGACACCAUGUGCCGGCAGGGCAACCAGCCGCAGCUCUUGCAGGGCCACUCUCUGCACAGCACAGGCCACCCCUCCCGCACGUUUGCGGGGCUGGCCUUCAGCCGGCGCGCGACCAGCGCCAGCAAAGCAGCCUUCACAGCGGAGCUCAUGCGCAAGUCACCGCUGGCGGUACCGCUCCAGCGCGGUCAGGCUGUCCUCACGGUUCACCCGGCGUGGGCGUGGGUGUACAGCGACGCGCCGGCGCCAGCGGGGCUGCCUGCCCGGCUGGCGGCCGCGGUCGGCCACGUGCGGAGCGCGGGUGUGAAACAGCAUCCGCCGCAGCCAGCCACUCAGCCGCCAGCGGCGCCGCCACAGUGGCGGGUUAGCCUGGACCAGCUGUGGGUGGCUAACGCUGCGGGGGCUGUGUCCUACGUCCACUACACGUCAGCGCCACCCGCCGCCCAGAUGCGCCGCUGCACGCUGCCACUCCGCCUCCCGCUCCACCAGCCGCGACUGUGCCGCCGGCUGGGUCCCCUGCAACCCUGUCGGCUCUGCCCACUGAGCUUCUCACCGCACAGCUCAAGGCGGCUAAGCUGGAGCACUUUGUGGCCAUCUGGGCGGCGGGUGGCGCGCUUUGUGAAGUGGAGGAGGUUCAGGGUGGGUCACCAAAGUUGAACUUGCGGCUGACGCUUGCAUCACCUGUGCAGGCCCCCUAGGUUUCCUUUUGGGCGGCGCUUCUUUCCAGGCGCUGGUGUGGCGUCUUAUCGUCAUCAGCUUAUCUGGCGCCCAUGAGUCCUAGCUCUGGCUGGCGUCGCAGCGCCUGGGCGGCUGUGGGACUUCCUGCACAGCGCGCAUUGCAGCGGGCUGGAGCCCGCUUAGUCAGCGCCACAUCUGGCCCGUUUACUUUUCUGCUUGUGUCUCCUCUGCCGUUUCUCCUGGGGUGUUGCUUAAGCAACCGACUUGUGGGGGUGGGGUGGGUAUGGGCGGGGCGAGUGCGUAGCGCUGGUGUUCCCUUUUCUGGUGUCGUGUCAUUCUGCCGGUUAUGAAUGUCUCCGCCACCUGUCCCGCCAUUGGGUUGCGCAUGCACUCUGGCCACCUGUGUUAAACCAGGCUAGGCAUAGACAUAACCUAGCUGGCCAGGCGAGGACGCUGCUUCACUGCUGGAGGAAUACGCGAGUUGCGGGUUGCUGGGACAAUGGACUGCCGUCGCAGUCCCCGAGUUGUGAGAUACCCCGGCGGUUCUCACUGGGCAUGCCCCCGAUUGCUAGCUGGUCCAAACGCUAGUCUUGCCUGCCGCUGAACACGCCUUGGCGUUCUCGCUCCCGCAGGUGAUCAGUCUGCUCUCAGCGAGUCACAAGAACUACACAUUAGUCGUCGUAAAGCCAAUAUGGAGUAACAGCGGACAGUGCCGCUCACAGGCGUCACUGCCUGCUACGUGCGCCGACCAACUUUUUUUUUUUUGAGGAAUCAUCCUUACAAGGUUGAACAGGGGCAGACGCGCUGCCCCCCUGCGUACUGUACGGCAACUUCUCACUCGCACCUUUCUCUCAGGCUGAUAGCAAGCAAGGUUAAUCCUACACCAAGCAGGCGAUACACAGCAGUCUUAGCUGCACGAGUCCACACGCAGUCACACACGCGACACAAAACCCUAGGCUACACACGCUCGUGCCGGUGGAAUGCAGUGCCGGCAGAAUGGCGUGACAGCUGUCGUGUCAUUCUGCCGGUUAUGAAUGUCUCCGCCACCUGUCCCGCCAUUUCCCCCCACAACCGAGAGAGGCCAAGCAUGGCAACCGAGGUUGGCUCACGCAGGGACAGGCUUGCACGCAUCAAGGUCAAUACGUCCAAAUUGUCAGUCCAUGUUUGGUCCCCUUCAGAGAGGCCACAAAUACGCAAUACACGUCAUCCUUAGACAUCUCAACCCAAGCCAAAUAGCGAAUGAUCGCUCCUCCCACCGUCAUCCGAAUCCACAAUACCAUCCUUCAUACCGCUUCGUCCCCCCAGCUGGGCCCUCCAUCCCGAAUACCUGCGCAACUAUCCAACGCUAGCUACGCCCUCGUCCCCCCAGCUGGUCCUUCCACUCUCCUUAUGCGCGCGCCCGCCUGCGCCGCACAUGCUCCAGAGUCCAGUACUCCAUCUCCACCUCGCCCGGCCACUUCACGGCAAAGUAGUGCGGCCGGUAGAGUGCGCCACGGAACUGCAGCAGGGCCUUCUGCUCCGUCUCCCCCGCGCCCUUGCCCCUGCCCGUCCGCACCCGCCUAGUCACCACCGUGCCGUCUAUCUGCCGGGCCUCAUCAUCCAACCUGCGCGUGCUGGCCUUGGGGAACAGCAGCUGGCCCAGCUGCUCGGGCCACUCACGCGUCGCCUCCUCUGUCGGUGGCUGCUGCGAUAAGUGCGCCAGGCACCUCGGACACAGCCAGGCGCCUGUGGGCACCUCCCGCAGCGGCGGCCGCAGGCAGUGCGUGUGCCACCCCUGGUUGCAGCCGUCGCAGAGCAGCAUCCUGGCCGGCUGCCCCGGCGAGCUGCACGCUUCGCAGGCCAGGUCCUUGCCGGGGCGAAACAGCUGCGGCUCUAUCGCCGGGUCCACGUCCAGGUGGCAGGGCGCCAGCUGCUCCACCCUCCGACGCAGCUGCUGCGUCCCGUCCCGUCCUAUGAGCACCGCUACACCCAGCGGCCCCACGCUCUUCACCCUGAGUAUUGUGUCGUAAUACUGGAAUUGCAGGGUGUUGUCCACCUUCAGCUUCUUGAUGUAAACGUAGUCGCCAGCGCUGAAUUCUGGCGUGUUUGUCAGGCGGCGCGCCGCGCGCGCGGCCGCAUAGCGCCGCGUAUCGCGAUGCUGAGCCACCAGCAGAUUGCCGGCGGCCUCCGGGUAGUGACGCUGCACCCAGGCCGCCCUUUCCCGCAGGCUCUCCGUUGCUGCCGCUGCGUCCUCAAAGCUCAGGGGCUCCGCGAACCCCUCCCUGACGGCUGCUGGCACCUGGGGCUCCACUCCUCCGUGCAGCAGCCUGAACGGCGAAUACUGCGUGGCCGCCUGCGGCGAGCACCGGUAGCCGAGCAGUAGAUGCGGCAGCGCCCGGUCCCAGCGUGCUGGGUCGGCGGACUCGUAGCACGCCUUGCGCAGCGCGUCCUUCACCACUCGCACGAUGCGCUCUGCAGCGCCAUCUGCUUGUGGGUGCCCGGGUGAGGCGUGUCGGUGAUCCACGUAGCAGCGCUCUAGCAGCGCUGCAAACUCGCCCUCAAACUCCGAUCCGUUGUCUGUCACCACCUCUGCUGGCGCCCCAAAGCGCGCCAUGAUGUCCGCAAACACCCGCGCUACGCGGUCUGCGGUCUUGUCCACGAUUGGCACCACCUCGAUAUGCUUACUGAAAUGCUCGAUGGCGAUGACGCAGUAGCGGUAGCCGUCGGGCUCGGUGGGCGUGAGCUCCCCGGCCAGGUCUACGCCCCAGCGGUAGAAGAGCCCCCUGACCGGCAGCGGCUGCAGCUCCGCUGGCCUCGCGUCUCCCGUCACACGGCUGAGGUCGCAUGCCCGGCAGUUGCGCACCACGUGAGCUGCUGUGGCUCCCAUGUCGAACCACCAGUACCCCAGCUGCAGCAGGGCCCGCGUGCGCCGGACACCGAGGUGGCCAAGCGAGAGAUGCAGGCGCUCCGCUAUUCCCAAUCGCUCUGCAGGCGGUGGGCAGACUCUGGCGCGCCCGUCCGACAGGCACCGCAGCAGCUGCUGCCCGUCCCACCUGUAGGAGCUGGCCCGCCGCACCGCGCGGCGGGAGGCUGCGGCUUGCCCCGCCAGCCCUUGAAUCAGCGCCAUCACCUCUGCGUCUAGCCACACGUCAGGCUGCUGCCCGUUGGCGGCCGCUAGCGCGGCCUCCGUCGCGUCAGUCUGCGCAGCCACCAUGGUGGCAAAUACCAGCAGGUCGCUGCCGGGCUGCCGCUGUAUCAGCAUUCGCGCCAGCUCCGUGUCCUCUGCGUCACUCCCCCCCAGCGGCAGUACCGGUUCUGCGUCUGCAGGUGCCAGCACUUGAGGCGGCGGCGUGUGUGUGUCGUGAGGCGUGAGGUAGUGGCGCUGCAAGACGACGGCGGCUGCUAGGACGGCGCUGAGGGCCAGCGGCGGCGGGGCUGAGCGCAGCGCGGCGAGCGCGGCGCUGGGCGGCAGGCCGGAGGAUGCUCCCGGCACGUGCCCCAGGAGCACUUCCCAGUCACGUGGCGAUAGCGGUUGAGCCGGCGCAUUGGCGUCCGCGGGGAUGCAGGUGGCGCCGGCGGGGAGGGCUGCAAGCCGCUGACCCGGUGCAUGGACCGGAACGUGCGGCAGCGGCUCGACUUGAGCGGCAACGGGCAGCCGCACGCCGGGCGCCACGAGCUGGGGUAGGCGUCGCUGGGGCAGGGGCCGCAUCUCGCGGAACACGGCGGUGAGGUGCUCUGCGGUGGCCAGGUUGGUGUAGAGGCUGCAUGCGUGGUGCACGCCGACGCCGGUCUGUACCAAGUCAAACGGCACCGGAAUGCCGAAUGGGAAACCCAAGCCCUGCUGAUGCUCGACAGUGGUGGGCGGCGCCAGCAACACGUAGGCGGGCGCCGGCCAGCGCCGUUGGAUGCAGUGGCGCUGCAGGGCGCCAAGCAGCCCAAGCACAUCGGUCUCCCCCCAGUGGUCGCUCCACCCCCAGCCGCCGAUGACCAGCCACUGCCCGCCCGCAGCAAUGGGUAGCUGCGAGAUGAGGGAAGCAGCGGCGGCGGGCGUCGCACUGCCGCGUGGCUGGUCCUGCCGUGCGGGCGCUGCCGGCGUCGGCGGCGGCAGCAGGUCCGGGUGUAGCCGUGCAAGGUGCGGUAGCAGCCUGCUGAGUGCCUCCCGCACCGUUCCACUGCUGUCGAGGUUGCAGUAGCGCCGGAUGCGCCAGCCUAGCCGCAGGCACGCCUGCAGGCCAGGUGCCAGCCCUCCUGGGACCUCCAGCACCGAGAUUGCAUCUGUUUCCGCGGCAAAGAUGAGCGCAUGUUGCCGCAGGAAGGUGCUGACUCCCACCACGCUGCCGUGCAGCGCUGAUGUACGCAGCCGCAGGCGCGGCGCAGGGCUGAGUGCGCGGAGGGCGCGCGACUGCUGGACGACUAUGAGCGCUGCCGUGCGCAAUGCGUGUUCGUCGUCCUCGUUGUGCAGGAGCUCACCGGGGCUGGGUACCGUGGUGUCGCCUGCCGGCGUGAGCGUGGCCUGCAAACACGCGAACUGCAGGCGUGACGCAGGCGCCCAGGGCUGCGCCGGGUGCAGCAGCAGCACGGCAGGCGUUGUGGUGGCGCUGCACAGCGCGGCAGCGAAGGGCGGCAGCACCGUGCGCAUGCCUGCCCGCGCCAGAGUGGUGACUGCCACGACUGGAGGCGCGGGUGUAGGGGCAUAUUGCGGCCAGCCCUUGCCAGGGUACGGUACGCGCUGCGGCGGCACUGGAAGUGGGUCGUCGUCGUUGUCGAGACGAGCGCCUGUGCUGUCAUGAGUGGUGGGUAGCGGGUCGCGGCUGAGCGCAUCGGCGUUCUGGUUGAGCAGUCCCGGCCGGUGUACGACCGAGAAGCUGUACUGCUGCAGUAUCAUCGCCCAGCGCGCAGCCUGUCCGGUUAGCUCCGGCUGUGACAUCAGCCACUCCAGGGGCGCAUGGUCUGUCACCAGCGUGAACGGCGUGGCGUGCAGGUAGGGGCGCAAGGUCUGAAUGGCCCAAACUGCCGCCAGCAGCUCGCCCUUGUAGCUGCCGUAGCGCCGCUCAUGCACGUUGCAGGUGCGGCUAACACAGGCGACCAUGUACUCCCGCGCGUCGUCAUCCAGCUGCCCUAGCACGCCACUGACGCCGUCCUCACACCAGUCCGUGUGCAGGAUGAGCGGCCAAGAGGGGUCGUAAGCGCGCAGGAUCAGGCCCUCGCGCGCAAACUCCGCCUUAACUGUGUCGAGCGCCAGCUGCUGCUCCGGGCCCCACGUCUCCGGACCCCACACCACGUCCUUCUUCAGCAGCUUGGUGAUGGGCGCCAUCUUGACUGCCCAGUGGUCAAUGUAGCACCGGUAGUAGUUGAGCAGGCCCAGCAAGCGUUGGCACGCGUUGAGGCUGUUGGGCGCCCGCAGCGCUUGAAACGCCGCGACGCGCGCCUGCACCGGUGACAUACCGCUGCCGGAGAUCUGGUGGCCCAGGUAGUCGAUGGAGUCGGCGCACAAGUAGGUCUUGUCGGGGUGCAGUUUGAUGCCGAUGUCGCGCAUCAUGGUGAAGAAGCGGUGCAAGUGCUCCAGGUGCUCCUCAAACGUGUUGGACACCAGCGCGCAGUCGUCCACAUAGAUGAACAGCACUCCCUCCAAACCGUACUCGCGCGCGUGUGAGUCGACUACGCGCUGCCAGUGGCUGGUGGCGUUGCGCAGGCCGUACAGCAGGCGCUUGUGCUGCCAGAGCUCCCUGCCCCACCAGAAGGCCGUCUUGCGACGAUCUUCCUCUGCAAGCCACAGCUGCGCGAAAGCGGCCCGGCAGUCUGCCUUGGUGAUCCAAGCCUUGGAAGCCACCGCGUCAAAGAGGUCUUCAAUGCGCGGGAUCUGGUAGCCGUCGCAUACAGUAGCUUCGUUCAGCCGUCGUGCGUCACCGCACACAUGAUAGCUGAUGGUGCCGUCCGGCUGCAUCUUGGACGGCACAGUCACGUUCAUUGCGUAGGCGUUGGUAUCUUCGGCCCGCUCUAUCAGGUUAGCGGCCUUUAGCUCGUUGAACUUCUUGUCAAUCUCCUCUCUCUCCUUGCCAGUGUAGCGCCGCGGCGGCUCUUUGAUGGGGCGGUCGUGCACCAGCGGUAUGUUCACCGGCGGCAGCUUGAGGUUGGCGCUGCCGGUGUAGCCAGUGAUAUCCGCUACGGUGCGUGCGAACACGCCGCCAGACGCCGCUGGCGCAUCAAAGCCGGCGACCAACUCCCUGACAGUCUCUCUCUGCUCGUCUGUCAUGUCCUCGCGGUGGCACAGCGUCCAACCCGACUGCUGUUUCACGAACCGGCUAUCAUGGGGCAACAGCCGGCGCCCCUCCGGCGUUAACUGUUCUGGUGUCACGCCGGUACUAGCACGGAGCACCGCCGCCGGCGUCGGCGGCUCCUCCGGAGCAGGGCCCUGCCGCCCUGCCCUGGGCGGCACGUCACUCAUUGUCGGCCGCCAGCGGCGUCUCGGCCGCUGGCGACAUGGGGGGUGCCGCCACGGGGACCUCUACGGCGGCUGCGGUAGGCAUGGAGGCGUCCGGCAAGCCGAGAGAGGCGACCGCAUGCUGUAGCGGUACUUGGAUCACUGGCGUGGCCGUGGGCUGCCCAGGCUCCCACAGGCCCAGACGCUGGCGGCCGGUGUCUAGCACGUAGUGGUAGCGCGCCAGGCAGCCGGUGCCGAUGAGCAAGUCAAACAGCUGUGGCCCCGGCACGACCCAGCAUUCAGCCAGCGCCCAGCUGCGGGUGGCGUUGUCCUCGCCCUUGAGCGUCAGCUGCACCGAGCCAACCACGCGCUGCAGCGGUGCUGAUAGCCCCACUGCAGUGUGAACGCGAAAGGCCGGGUCCUCCUCCACUUGCAGGCCGUACUGACGUGCCAGCGUGUCCGUGACGAGCGACACCUCGCUGCCCGAGUCCGGUAGUGCGCAGCGCGGCAUGAUGCGCUGACCACCGGCCGUUGGCAGGGUCUAUGUGGUGCAUGCAAUGGAGUUUACUUUACUUUACUUUACUUUACUUUACUCUCUUCUCUUGCUAUUCUUGCAUCCUCCUUUCCUUCUGCACAGCUUUGAAACAGUCGACGUCAUUUCUCUCGCGCUGUUUGACUUGCUUCCUUUUGUUUUAGGCUUCUUAAGGCCUACGAACCACUGUGAAGCAGUCUGCAUUUGUGGGCGUGCUCGUUUUUCGUCAGUCCACUUUGCAGCUGCAGCAAAAAAAAAAGCUGUAGCGCGACACUCCCUCUCCAGCGCCCUUCAGCCUAUGUCGGCUUGUGCUUUGGAACUCGACACAGCUAUGGAAUAGGAUUCUGGCGGUUCAGGAACGUUGCCGUGGAGUUGGCGACAUUUCGCUUGUCGGCAUUUUAACAUCUCGGCGAGCACCACACUCACCAGCCUGGAGCAGGCGGCGUAUCAACCUUUGUGGUUGGUCCUUUGCAUCUGCGCGUGCAGCAGGGUGCUUUGGGUGUGGCGGUCGGGGGAGCCCUGCAGCACUUGGGUGUUUUUUUGGGGUGUGGCUCGUCUUCGUGCCCUUGUUGCCUGGUGCCUGGCUGCCUGGCGCCCGCCCUGCUGUGAUGCCCUGUGAGUGCUGAUCUUGGGCAGCUAUGCAGUUGCUGGGUGAUCCUGGUCGGUUCCGCCUGGUGUCUCAGCGCAGCCAAGCCACCAGGGGCCAACACCAGCCAUACAGCACACCCGCACACGGCGCGGCCACAGCAGCACAUGCCGUGCCGUGUGGGGGGCCGGCGUUUGGGCAUCACCGCCCACUGCCAGACUUGGCAGCGGACCGCACCCCUGCAGGUGGGGGCAACACUGCCAGCCCGUUCUUCAGCCCCGGGCUGCAGCUCCACCUUGCCCUGUCCACGCAUAGCCUGGCGCACGGCGUGCAGGACCUGACGACGCAGCCUCAGGGCCCCAGCCUGCCUACCUACCCAGUCCUUCUGGUGGGUGCCACCACGGGGCUCCCAGAGGGCGAGCAGCUGUCCUCAGCCGGCGUCCGGGAAGUGACCAGUGCUGCCCUGUCAGUGCUGGACACCAUGUGCCGGCAGGGCAACCAGCCGCAGCUCUUGCAGGGCCACUCUCUGCACAGCACAGGCCACCCCUCCCGCACGUUUGCGGGGCUGGCCUUCAGCCGGCGCGCGACCAGCACCAGCAAAGCAGCCUUCACAGCGGAGCUCAUGCGCAAGUCGCCGCUGGCGGUACCGCUCCAGCGCGGUCAGGCUGUCCUCACGGUUCACGUGCCAGUGGACACCCGGCCCAUCAUUCCGGGCACCUACACCGUCACGGUCAAGAUGGUAGGGGGCCCUGUGUGGGGGGCUUUCCGCGGUCGCACCGAUUUGGUGCUGCAGGCGGGCGGCUAUCCCACCACCUCGGACCCCUCUAACCUGGCGUGUGCUUAUGUGGUCUCAGAGCAGUGCGCCAAAUCGGUGGGCCCCAAGGGGGAGCCCCAGGCCCCCGCAGGCCAGGGCAUCACCAACCACAUCUUUGCCUGUGUGCGGGGCCCAGUCUGGGACCCGCAGCUCUCUCACCUGCACUGUGCCAAGUUUGAGAUGCCCGGUGAGGAGCCCAUGCAGGUGGAGGUCCGUGGCGCCCCCCAGGCGGCUGGGGCGGCCACGACAGCUGCGGCAGGCAGCCCUGCUCCGGCUGCAGCCAGGGUCGCCGACCUGGGUGGCAACACCUUGGGUGUGGCGAGGCCCGCGGCUGCCAUGGCGACCGCAGCGGACAUCGUUGACCACGUGGGGGACGUGCAGAUGCAGGAGGUGGCGGGUUUGGGUGACGUGGCGGCUGCAGCUGGUGGCGCCAGUGGGCCACACAGCGGGGCCCCGCCCCCGCUGCCAGUUCUGGUGGCGGGGGGAAGCAACCGUGCUGCUGCGGCUGCCCUGCGGGCCGCGCUGCAGCAGCAGCCCUCUUCACAGCAGUGGGUGUCAGCGGGAGGGCUUAGCGGGGUCCAGCCGGCGGCAGGCGUGGGGGGGCCGCCGGCGGCCAGGCCUCCCCCUGCCGGUGCUGGGCCGGCUGGCGUGCAGCAGCAGCACAGUGGCGUUCCCGCGCCACGGCCGCCCUUGGAUCAGCAGGCAGCCGCUGGGCAGGAUCAGGAGCAGACCGCUGUGAUGCAGCGGUACUUGGCCGAGCUGGCGGACCUCAAUCUCCAGCGGCAACGGCGGUUACAGGAACAGCAACAGCAGCAGCAGCUGCAGCGCCAGGGGCAGUCGCCCAGGCCCCGGACCGGCUCCCAGGUUGUGGUCCUGGCCACGCUGGGGGGGCAGGACGGGGCGGGCGGUGGCCCUGGCGUGGCGGCGUCACGGCGUGGGCAACGUGUUGACAUAGUUGACCACGUGGGGGACGUGCAGAUGCAGGAGGCGGCGGGUGUGGGUGACGCAGGGGCUGCCGCUGGUGGCGCCAGCGGACCACCCGCCGUGGCCUCACCCUCGCUGCCAGCUCUGGUGGCGGGGGGAAGCACCCGUUCUGCUGCGGCUACCCUAAGGGCCGAGCGACAGCAGCAGCCCUCUUCACAGCGGCGGGUGGCAGCGGGAGGGCUUAGCGGGGGGCAGCCGUCUGCAGGCGUGGGGGGGCCACCGGCGGUCAGGCGUCGUACUGCCUGUGCUGGGUCGGCUGGCGCGCAGCAGCAGCCCAGUGGGGCUUCCGCGCCACAGCCGCCCUUUGAUCAGCGGGCGGCCGCCAGGCAGGAUCAGGAGCAGACCGCUGUGAUGCAGCGGUACUUGGCCUACAUGGUGGACCUCCAUCUCCAGCAGCAACGGCGGGUACAGCACCAGCAGCAGCAGGAGCAGCAGCGCCAGGUGCAGCCGCCCAGGCCCCGGACCGGCUCCCGGUUUGAGGUCCUGGCCACGCUGGGGGGACAGGACGGGGCGGGCGAUGGCGCUGCCACGGCGGCGCCCGGGCGUGGGCGACGGGUGCAACCAGCCGCGCACGCACCGCCGCCACCGCUGCAGCAACAGCCCCGCUCCAAAGGGCGCUGUGGCCCCGCCCAGCUCCCGCAGCAGAGGGCAGGGCGCUUGGGCGGCGGGCUGCCUCCCCCGCAGGACGGUGCUAGCUCGCCGCCGCGCGUGCCCACUGGGCGGCCGACCGGGGGACAGCAGGCUGGUGGGGGCAGCGGGUUGGGGCGCCAGGGUGGAGGAGUGGGGCGGGCAGUGCCCCAGCCGCUACCCCAGGCGCGGCCGCCACUGCAAACGUCACAACCGGCGGGUGGUGGUAAGGGCAGGGACAGGGGCCUGGGCGCGCCGGCUGGGGGUUCGGCCGACACGGCUGGGCGCGCUGGUGGGGGUGCGGGCAGUGAGGCAGAGUACGGGGCCGUUUGCCUGACCCGGGACACGUGCGUUGCCAUUGGCUCUGACCUCGUGACGCACCAGAACCGCUGCGCAGAUGUGCAGGGGUUUGAGUGGGCGCAGCUGGGCCACGACACGCUUGGUGGCCGCCUCCUCGCCUACCUCCGUGACCAGGGCGCCACCGUACCGGACUGGGCCGUCUGCCGCGUGCCGGCCGGCCGUACCGCCGUCCUGGCACAGCUGCACGACGAGUUCACUGGCUGGUGGCGCCUAUACUCAGCCCAGCCUGCAGACACGCCCCUGCCUUCCGAUGUGACGGAGCAGCUGGAUGACGCCGCGCAGCAGGUGCAGACGGCCUACAUGGACUACGUGCUCCUAGACGCCCGCACCCUGCGGUCCGCUAAGCGUGGGCUGGCGGACCCCGGCGGGGCCAGCGGGCCCAGCCGCCGGCAACGCCAGCACCGCAGCCGCAGUACCUCCAGCCUCAUGAGCCUGGGCAGCGCUCCAUUGCACCCCGGCGGCGCCAGCUCAGGUGCCGCUAGCAUGAGCACCAGCAGCGGCGGCGCGCCCCCCAGCCAGGGUGGCGACCGCCGCGGCAAACGCCACAGCAGCAACAGCAACCGCACCCGCCACGGCGCUGCCGUGGCCGGCGGGGGCUCAUAAUGCGGCCACCAGUGGGAGCGGCGAACCUUCGGCUGCUGACAGUGAAUGUCAACGGCCUGGGCUCGCCGCUCAAGGCGCGGGCGCUGGUCUCGCACCUGCAGCAAGUUGGGGCGGAUGUGGCGAUGGUGCAGGAGACCCACGCUACUGACACGACGGUGCUGGAGUCUUGCCUUCGUGCCGCGCAGGGGGCGUGCCUUCCGUGGCGCCACUGCCUUGCUGCCAGCCCGGCAGCGUCGCCCCACUCCUGUGGGACGGCUAUCCUGGCGCGGAGUCGGCUGUCCCUUCCAGGCUGCGUACUGCAGCCGCCGUCAACGGAUGCGGCGGGCCGUGUGGUAUGUUGGGAUUGGGACGUGGGUCACCUGCGCCUGCGCUUCGUGUGUGUGUAUGCGCCCACGGCCGUGGCGGACAAGCCUGCUUUCUUUGCCGGGCUGCAUACCCACCUGGCCUCGGACAGGGUGCUUGUUGUCGGUGGGGACUGGAACUGUGUCACCGAUGCCAGUCAGGAGGCGGCCCCUAGCCCGUCACGUGCUGCAGGUGCCCCGCAACUUGCCAGCCUCCUCGCCCAGUUCAGUCUGGUGGACCCUUGGGCGAGCAAGCGUGGCGGCGCCAAGGGCUACACGCAUCCGGCCACGCCCAAGCCAGCCACUCCCGCACGCCUGGAUCGGUGGUAUGUCAGUUCCACCGCGGCGCCGUGGGUGCUGGAUGUCGCACGCACGUAUGGGGCGCCUGGGGACCACAACGGUGUGCUGCUCACCCUGUCCUUGCCCGACCUGCCACAUGCGCACCGGGAGCAGUGGCGCUUCCCCACAUACCUGCUGUUUCACCCCUCGCUGCGUCUGGAGCUCGAGCAGCGCUUGGAGGCGCACGUUGCCGCAAAUCCUGUGACCAGUACAGGUGACGGCGCUUGCACGCAAUGGGAGGCGGACAAGUUCUUCUUGCGGGAGGCCGCCACCAGCAUCCACCGUCGGCAUGCACGCCAGACCCGGGACGGGCUGCAUGGCGUGGUGCUGGCCGCAGACGCGGCCGCUGCCCUGGCCGACCGGCCGGGUGCCAGCGCCGCGCAGCGUCAGGCUGCGGCCAUGGCCAACUUGGCGGUGCGGGAGGAGCGGGCAGUUGCCGCAGCGGCCAGCCACAAUGCCCGCGCUGCACUGAUGGAGGAGCAUGGGGAGCGGGGCACUCGCUGGUUCCAUCGGCAGGCUGACGAGCCAGCAGCCGGCGCGCAGGAGCCCAUCACGCACUUGAAGGUGCCGGGGCAACCGGCGCCUGUGGCGCUCACGGGGCCGGGCACGCGCAACACUGUCUCCGCAGCCGCUGCAGCCAUGUACAGCAGCACCAGCCCCACCGGCCUGUUCCGCGUGCAGCCGGUCUGUACGGCGUCGCAGCAGCAGCUUCUGGCGGCCAUUGACCGCAAGGUUCCGGCGGAUCUGCAGGCCGCCGCAGAGGGGUCCGGUGACGGCGCCCUCAGUGAUGCAGAGCUGAUGGCAGCGCUGGCUGGCUCCGCCAAUGGUAAAGCGCCUGGGUCGGACGGGGUCCCGUACGAGGUGUACAAGGUUUUCUGGGCGCUGCUGGGUCCGCGCUUGUGUGCUGCUGCUGCCGCUGCCUUUGCUGCCGCUGCAGACGCCCACGAUGGCGGUGAAAUGGCGGCGGCGCUGCCCGCCUCCUGGCGGGAGGGCAUCAUCACCCUCAUCUACAAGGGCAAAAGCCUGGACCGCGCCGAGCUGGCGUCGUACCGGCCCAUCACGCUGCUCAACUGCGACUUCAAGAUGGUGUCCAAGGCCGUCAGCGCCCGCCUGCAGCCCGCCCUGGAUGCAGUUGUGGAUGAGCUGCAGACCGCGUUCAUCACCGGCCGCUGGAUUGGUGACAACGCGCUGUACCUCCAAGGCCUGAUCGAAUGGAUGCGCCUGGACGUGGGCGCGGACGGCACGCCACGGCAGGGUGGUGCGCUGUACUUCUUGGACAUUGAAGGCGUAUGACCGGGUGCACCGGCAGUGGCUGUAUGCGUCCGCGGAGGGACUUGGGUUUUUUUUUUUUUGAGGAAUCAUCCUUACAAGGUUGAACAGGGGCAGACGCGCUGCCCCCCUGCUGCCUGAAAGCAGCCUGGUCCCCGGGACCAGAACCCUGACAGGGCAAGAAGAGGAGAGAAGAGAAGAAAAACAGAAAACAAACACCUCGAAAACCGCCACCAACCACCCCCAUCCAUCCCACCCCACCCCACCCCGACCCGGCAGACAGAGCAGGAGGCUGGCCCCCCCGCCCCCCGGGAGGGGUUGCACAAAAACACCGCCAGACCUAACCCAAGCACCAACCUACACCACAGCCUAACCGCAAGAACCACCACCACCGCGCGCCAGAAAAAGAAACACCAGCGCUACGCACUCGCCCCGCCCAAACCCACCCCACCCCCACAAGUCGGUUGCUUAAGCAACACCCCAGGAGAACCGGCAGAGGAGAUACAAGCAGAAAACUAAACGGGCCAGAUGUGGCGCUGACUAAGCGGGCUCCAGUCCGCUGCAAGACGCGCUGUGCAGGAAGUCCCACAGCCGCCCAGGUGCUGCGACGCCAGCCAGAGCUAAAAAACAUGGGCGCCAGAUAAGCUGAUGACGAUAAUACGGUUUGGGCCGCGCAUGCUGCGCUGGAUCCGCCUGCUCACUGCCAACGGCUCUGCCCGCGUGUGUGUGAACGGGAUGCUCUCUGACGCCUUCCCAGUGCUGAACGGCUUGCCGCAGGGCCAGAGGGAUGACACGCCCCCUCUUUCAGGACCUCGAAGUUAGCGGAGCGAGCUCCGGUGGAGGCUAAUCUGGGUGCAGUUAACCCGCUCAGGAGGGGUAGCGGGCCUCACCGCGGGUGGGCCCGGGGCUAACCUGGGUGGGCCGUCGGCUAAUCCUCAGUGGACCGCCGGCUAAUCCUAGGUGGGCCGCCGGCUAAUCCGAGUGAGCCGCCCGCUAACCUUGGUGUGCCCCGAGCCCUGCCAAUUAGCCAUCACUUUGCUGUUACUUCCAUGUUUCUGGCGUUGUCUAAGUAUGGUCUUAGAUGGGGAAUGGUUGGAUGGGGCAAGAUGGGCACGCGGGGCCGCAGGGACGUGAACCACUGGUUCACCAGCCGGAAACCAGCUCUAUUUGUUGGGAUAUUUUUUGUUAAUGUUCAUACGUAUGGUGUCUAUGCAGCUGAGGAAAUAGGGACCUGUUUUUAACCUCACGUCAAAGAAAUGUUGUUUGUUGCCUCAGAUUUCAGCCCGCAUCGGUUGUAUAUUUGAAUAUGGGAGCCCUCAUGGUCACAUAAACCAAUACGAGAACCCCUGUCUUGCAUUCUUCCGAAAAUGAACCAGUGGUUCAUGCGGCUGCGUCGUUUGCGGGUUGCUGCGUUUGGAGACUUAGGAUGUGUCAGGAAGAUUAAGCAAAUAGUACAGCAUGCGUUGGGGGAUUCAGGUGUCAACAUAGCCGCGCUGGCGCGAAAAUGGGAAUCGCGUGUGGGUUUCUGAGCGUGUUACCCGCGAGCAUCACCGCUGCCCCGCGCGAAGUCCUCGCGUACAGACGCUGCGCCCCCAAAAAGGCGUUUCCCGGUCACAGAGUGGCUUUCCGCAGUCACCGGCGGCAGUUCCCGCGCUAAUCUUGAGUAGGUCCCCGGCUAAUCCUGGGUGGGUCCCCGGCUAAUCCUGGGUGGGCGGGGGGCUAAUCCAGGUUGGCCGGCGACCCAGCGGGCUUUGCCCCGAGCUCACCCAAGCUUUACAGCCGUUGCCUUAAAGUUAGCCCACGGCUAAUCCACCGGAGCUGGAUGAGAGCAGCCAAAACCGCUCGUGUCAUCCCUCCGGCAGGGCAGCACCGCCUCACCACCCCUGUGGGUCAUCCAGAUGCAGCCACUGACGUCCUUUCUGCGGCGGCAGGUGGAGCAAGGGGCACUGCGCACGCCCCUGUUACCCAGCGGCGAGCAGGCGCCACCGGCUGCCCACCACGCUGACGACACGACCCUCACGGCGCGCGACCCGGCGGUGGACGGGCCGGUCCUGAUGGCGGCAGUACAGCUGUUCUGCCGCGCGUCCAACGCCCGUGUCCAUCCGGACAAGAGCAAGGCCAUGGGCCUUGGCAGGUUUGCGCACCUGACGGGCCCUUGCCCACACACGGGGGUGCCGUUUACCACUGGCGCCGUGACGCACCUGGGUGUGCCCCUGUCGUGGGACUCGGAUGUGGCUGCAGCUGACUUGUUCACCCGGCGGGCUCGCGGCAUGGCGUUUGUGGCGCGUCUGUGGGCUGCCCUGUCUCUGACUCUUGUUGGCCGUGUGCACAUUGCGAAGCAGGUGCUGGCGGCGAAGCUGGCCUACCACUUCAGCUUCCUCAACCCGUCGCCUGCGCAGCUGAAGGAACUCACCGACCUGGUGGACCACUUUGCUGCGCGGUCCAUGCACGCUGAGGACGCCAGCCUGGUGUCGCACGGGAACCCGCUCCUGCUGCCAAAGCGGGAAACGGCCUGUCUGCCGUACAAGGAUGGGGGUGUCAACCACGUCGACCUGCCUGCGUUCCUGUCUGCCCUGCAAGCUAAGACCUUCGCCCUCCUUGCCCAGCCAGGCCGGCAACCCUGGAAGAUGCUCACCCGGGCGCUGCUUACUCAUGUGCGCCCGGACUCCGCCACCACGUGGGCGUGGGUGUACAGCGACGCGCUGGCGCCAGCGGGGCUGCCUGCCCGGCUGGCGGCCGCGGUCGGCCACAUGCAGAGCGCGGGCGUGGAACAGCAUCCACCGCAGCCAGCCACUCAGCCGCCAGCGGCGCCGCCACAGUGGCGGGUUAGCCUGGACCAGCUGUGGGUGGCUAACGCUGCGGGGGCUGUGUCCUACGUCCACUACACGGGGCGGCUCUUGGAGCCUGGGCCUGGCGUGCUGCCCCCGGCGGUGGAUGGGGCGUGGCAGCCUGCCUGUGUGCUGCAGCAUCGCAAGCCGCGGCACCUGUGGACCUUUGAAGAGCGGGCGGCGUACGAUGCAGCAUCACCAGGGGACCGGGCGGGGGCGUGGCCUCGGGCGCCGUACUUCCUGGCGCCGGAGGCUGGGGUGGUGGUGCACCCGGAGCACUGCCGGAUUGCGGGUGUCAGCUUAGCGGACUACACGGUGCGGGACGUGCGGCGGGCCAUCACCGCGGCCAACCCGGCCGCACCUCCGGCUCCGGCCCGCCCCGCAGCCAUGCCGUGCCCAGCGCCAGCACAGCAGGCGGGGGGUUCGGGGCCCCAGCCAGCGGCACAGUCGCGGCUGGCGAAGCGGGAGGCGGAGUGGCAGCGUGCAGCGGCGCAGCUGACCACCACGGCGGCGCAGCAUUUCCACAAUAACCCGGUGGCUCUGGACCCCUGGCUCCACCGCACCUCUGCGGCAGCCGGGCUGCAGAACACGCCGGCGAGAGAACUGCAGUCGUAUGCGUCCCCGUCCCAGCAGUCGGGUGAGGGGCCGCGGCGGUCCGCGCGGCUGCAGGAGCAGGCGGCGGGCGGGGCGGGACCUAGCACUGGGCCUGCCACGGCGGCGGCGGCAGCAGCGGCGGCGGUGGAGGGCGACCCUCGCAUGCCGCCCCCGGAUGCGUCCCUUCUGCGGGGUACGUGGCGGAGGCUGUGGGACAGCCACGCCAGUCGGGGGGCAAAGGUGCUGGUGUACCGGCUGCAACAUGCUUACCUGCCUUGCGGGCUGUACAGGGCGGGCAAGGGCAUUCGGCCACGGGUGACCACGGGGUGCGGGGGGUUGGGGGCGCACUGUCCUCACCCCGCCUGCGGGCCACCUGGCCCGCGGGCGUGGGCCAGCCUGACGCACAUCUUCCUGGAGUGUCCGGCUUAUGCGCAGGCGAGGACGUGGCUGCAGCAGCUGUGGGCCUGCGUUGCGCCCCAGGCAGCGGCGCCGCCAGUGACGGACGCGGGCUUCAUGCUGGGGGACCGCAUGGGUAUGUGGGCCUCAGGCCCGCGGGGGGCGGGCGCGCUGCUGUGGAGCACUUUGCCAGCCACCUUCUUUUUUUUUUUUGAGGAAUCAUCCUUACAAGGUUGAACAGGGGCAGACGCGCUGCCCCCCUGCUGCCUGAAAGCAGCCUGGUCCCCGGGACCAGAACCCUGACAGGGCAAGAAGAGGAGAGAAGAGAAGAAAAACAGAAAACAAACACCUCGAAAACCGCCACCAACCACCCCCAUCCAUCCCACCCCACCCCACCCCGACCCGGCAGACAGAGCAGGAGGCUGGCCCCCCCGCCCCCCGGGAGGGGUUGCACAAAAACACCGCCAGACCUAACCCAAGCACCAACCUACACCACAGCCUAACCGCAAGAACCACCACCACCGCGCGCCAGAAAAAGAAACACCAGCGCUACGCACUCGCCCCGCCCAAACCCACCCCACCCCCACAAGUCGGUUGCUUAAGCAACACCCCAGGAGAACCGGCAGAGGAGACACAAGCAGAAAACUAAACGGGCCAGAUGUGGCGCUGACUAAGCGGGCUCCAGUCCGCUGCAAGACGCGCUGUGCAGGAAGUCCCACAGCCGCCCAGGUGCUGCGACGCCAGCCAGAGCUAAAAAACAUGGGCGCCAGAUAAGCUGAUGACGAUAAUACGCCACGCCAGCGCCUGGAAAGAACCGCCGCCUAGGGGGCCUGCACAGGUGAUGCAAGUGUCAGCCGCAAGUUCAACUUCGGUGACCCACCCUGAACCUCCUCCACUUCACAAAGCGCGCCACCCGCCGUCCAGAUGGCAACAAAAUGCUCCAGCUUAGCCGCCUUGAGCUGUGCGGUGAGCAGCUGAGUGGGCAGAGCCGACAGGGUUUCAGGGGUUAGCGUGGCGGCAGUGAAACGCAGCCGCAUCACCCUGCGCAGCUCGCUGACCACCUCCCGAACCACAUGCUCCGACGUCUGCUUAGCAGGCUCGCGGGACCAGUACGCACACCAGACGGCGUACAAAAAGGCGUAUGACCGGGUGCACCGGCAGUGGCUGUAUGCGUCCGCGGAGGGACUUGGGUUUGGGCCGCGCAUGCUGCGCUGGAUCCGCCUGCUCACUGCCAACGGCUCUGCCCGCGUGUGUGUGAACGGGAUGCUCUCUGACGCCUUCCCAGUGCUGAACGGCUUGCCGCAGGGCAGCACCGCCUCACCACCCCUGUGGGUCAUCCAGAUGCAGCCACUGACGUCCUUUCUGCGGCGGCAGGUGGAGCAAGGGGCCCUGCGCACGCCCCUGUUACCCAGCGGCGAGCAGGCGCCACCGGCUGCCCACCACGCUGACGUCACGACCCUCACGGCGCGCGACCCGGCGGUGGACGGGCCGGUCCUGAUGGCGGCAGUACAGCUGUUCUGCCGCGCGUCCAACGCCCGUGUCCAUCCGGACAAGAGCAAGGCCAUGGGCCUUGGCAGGUUUGCGCACCUGACGGGCCCUUGCCCACACACGGGGGUGCCGUUUACCACUGGCGCCGUGACGCACCUGGGUGUGCCCCUGUCGUGGGACUCGGAUGCGGCUGCAGCUGACUUGUACACCCGGCGGGCUCGCGGCAUGGCGUUUGUGGCGCGUCUGUGGGCUGCCCUGUCUCUGACUCUUGUUGGCCGUGUGCACAUUGCGAAGCAGGUGCUGGCGGCGAAGCUGGCCUACCACUUCAGCUUCCUCAACCCGUCGCCUGCGCAGCUGAAGGAACUCACCGACCUGGUGGACCACUUUGCUGCGCGCUCCAUGCACGCUGAGGACGCCAGCCUGGUGUCGCACGGGAACCCGCUCCUGCUGCCAAAGCGGGAAACGGCAUGUCUGCCGUACAAGGAUGGGGGUGUCAACCACGUCGACCUGCCUGCGUUCCUGUCUGCCCUGCAAGCUAAGACCUUCGCCCUCCUUGCCCAGCCAGGCCGGCAACCCUGGAAGAUGCUCACCCGGGCGCUGCUUACUCAUGUGCGCCCGGACUCCGCCACCACGUGGGCGUGGGUGUACAGCGACGCGCCGGCGCCAGCGGGGCUGCCUGCCCGGCUGGCGGCCGCGGUCGGCCACAUGCAGAGCGCGGGCGUGGAACAGCAUCCACCGCAGCCAGCCACUCAGCCGCCAGCGGCGCCGCCACAGUGGCGGGUUAGCCUGGACCAGCUGUGGGUGGCUAACGCUGCGGGGGCUGUGUCCUACGUCCACUACACGGGGCGGCUCUUGGAGCCUGGGCCUGGCGUGCUGCCCCCGGCGGUGGAUGGGGCGUGGCAGCCUGCCUGUGUGCUGCAGCAUCGCAAGCCGCGGCACCUGUGGACCUUUGAAGAGCGGGCGGCGUACGAUGCAGCAUCACCAGGGGACCGGGCGGGGGCGUGGCCUCGGGCGCCGUACUUCCUGGCGCCGGAGGCUGGGGUGGUGGUGCACCCGGAGCACUGCCGGAUUGCGGGUGUCAGUUUAGCGGACUACACGGUGCGGGACGUGCGGCGGGCCAUCACCGCGGCCAACCCGGCCGCACCUCCGGCUCCGGCCCGCCCCGCAGCCAUGCCGUGCCCAGCGCCAGCACAGCAGGCGGGGGGUUCGGGGCCCCAGCCAGCGGCACAGUCGCGGCUGGCGAAGCGGGAGGCGGAGUGGCAGCGUGCAGCGGCGCAGCUGACCACCACGGCGGCGCAGCAUUUCCACAAUAACCCGGUGGCUCUGGACCCCUGGCUCCACCGCACCUCCGCGGCAGCCGGGCUGCAGAACACGCCGGCGAGAGAACUGCAGUCGUAUGCGUCCCCGUCCCAGCAGUCGGGUGAGGGGCCGCGGCGGUCCGCGCGGCUGCAGGAGCAGGCGGCGGGCGGGGCGGGACCUACCACGGCGGCGCAGCACUUCCACAAUAACCCGGUGGCUCUGGACCCCUGGCUCCACCGCACCUCUGCGGCAGCCGGGCUGCAGAACACGCCGGCGCGAGAACUGCAGUCGUAUGCGUCCCCGUCCCAGCAGUCGGGUGAGGGGCCGCGGCGGUCCGCGCGGCUGCAGGAGCAGGCGGCGGGAGGGGCGGGACCUAGCACUGGGCCUGCCACGGCGGCGGCGGCAGCAGCGGCGGCAGUGGAGGGCGACCCUCGCAUGCCGCCCCCGGAUGCGUCCCUUCUGCGGGGUACGUGGCGGAGGCUGUGGGACAGCCACGCCAGUCGGGGGGCAAAGGUGCUGGUGUACAGGCUGCAACAUGCUUACCUGCCUUGCGGGCUGUACAGGGCGGGCAAGGGCAUUCGGCCACGGGUGACCACGGGGUGCGGGGGGUUGGGGGCGCACUGUCCUCACCCCGCCUGCGGGCCACCUGGCCCGCGGGCGUGGGCCAGCCUGACGCACAUCUUCCUGGAGUGUCCAGCUUAUGCGCAGGCGAGGACGUGGCUGCAGCAGCUGUGGGCCUGCGUUGCGCCCCAGGCAGCGGCGCCGCCAGUGACGGACGCGGGAUUCAUGCUGGGGGACCGCAUGGGUAUGUGGGCCUCAGGCCCGCGGGGGGCGGGCGCGCUGCUGUGGAGCACUUUGCGGGCCACCUUCUUGUACGCCGUCUGGUGUGCGUACUGGUCCCGUGAGCCUGCUAAGCAGACGUCGGAGCAUGUGGUUCGGGAGGUGGUCAGCGAGCUGCGCAGGGUGAUGCAGCUGCGUUUCACUGCUGCCACGCUAACCCCUGAGACCCUGUCGGCUCUGCCCACUCAGCUUCUCACCGCACAGCUCAAGGCGGCUAAGCUGGAGCACUUUGUUGCCAUCUGGACGGCGGGUGGCGCGCUUUGUGAAGUGGAGGAGGUUCAGGGUGGGUCACCGAAGUUGCACUUGCGGCUGACGCUUGCAUCACCUGUGCAGGCCCCCUAGGUUUCCUUUUGGACGGCGUUUCUUUCCAGGCGCUGGCGUGGCGUAUUAUCGUCAUCAGCUUGUCUGGCGCCCCAUGUGUCAUAGCUCUGGCUGGAGUGGCAGCGCCUGGGCGGCUGUGGGACUUCCUGCACAGCGCGUCUUGCAGCAGACUGGAGCCCGUUUAGUCAGCGCCACAUCUGGCCCGUUUAGUUUUCUGCUUGUGUCUCCUCUGCCGGUUCUCCUGGGGUGUUGCUUAAGCAACCGACUUGUGGGGGUGGGGUGGGUUUGGGCGGCGCGAGUGCGUAGCGCUGGUGUUUUCUUUGCUGGCGCGCGGUGGUGGUGGUUCUUGCGGUUAGGCUGUGGUGUAGGUUGGUGCUUGGGUUAGGUCUGGCGGUGUUUUUUGUGCAACCCCUCCCGGGGGGCGGGGGGGCCAGCCUCCUGCUCUGUCUGCCGGGUCGGGGUGGGGUGGGGUGGGAUGGAUGGGGGUGGUUAGUGGCGGUUUCGAGGUGUUUGCUUUCUUUUUUCUUCUCUUUUCUUCUCUUCUUGCCCUGUCAGGGUUCUGGUCUCGGGGACCAGGCUGCUUUCAGGCAGCAGGGGGGCAGCGCGUCUGCCCCUGUUCAACCUUGUAAGGAUGAUUCCUAAAAAAAAAAAAAGCACUGGGCCUGCCACGGCGGCGGCGGCAGCAGCGGCGGCGGUGGAGGGCGACCCUCGCAUGCCGCCCCCGGAUGCGUCCCUUCUGCGGGGUACGUGGCGGAGGCUGUGGGACAGCCACGCCAGUCGGGGGGCAAAGGUGCUGGUGUACCGGCUGCAACAUGCUUACCUGCCUUGCGGGCUGUACAGGGCGGGCAAGGGCAUUCGGCCACGGGUGACCACGGGGUGCGGGGGGUUGGGGGCGCACUGUCCUCACCCCGCCUGCGGGCCACCUGGCCCGCGGGCGUGGGCCAGCCUGACGCACAUCUUCCUGGAGUGUCCGGCUUAUGCGCAGGCGAGGACGUGGCUGCAGCAGCUGUGGGCCUGCGUUGCGCCCCAGGCAGCGGCGCCGCCAGUGACGGACGCGGGCUUCAUGCUGGGGGACCGCAUGGGUAUGUGGGCCUCAGGCCCGCGGGGGGCGGGAGCGCUGCUAUGGAGCACUUUGCGGGCCACCUUCUUGUACGCCGUCUGGUGUGCGUACUGGUCCCGCGAGCCUGCUAAGCAGACGUCGGAGCAUGUGGUUCGGGAGGUGGUCAGCGAGCUGCGCAGGGUGAUGCGGCUGCGUUUCACUGCCGCCACGCUAACCCCUGAAACCCUGUCGGCUCUGCCCACUCAGCUGCUCACCGCACAGCUCAAGGCGGCUAAGCUGGAGCAUUUUGUUGCCAUCUGGACGGCGGGUGGCGCGCUUUGUGAAGUGGAGGAGGUUCAGGGUGGGUCACCGAAGUUGAACUUGCGGCUGACACUUGCAUCACCUGUGCAGGCCCCCUAGGCGGCGGUUCUUUCCAGGCGCUGGCGUGGCGUAUUAUCGUCAUCAGCUUAUCUGGCGCCCAUGUUUUUUAGCUCUGGCUGGCGUCGCAGCACCUGGGCGGCUGUGGGACUUCCUGCACAGCGCGUCUUGCAGCGGACUGGAGCCCGCUUAGUCAGCGCCACAUCUGGCCCGUUUAGUUUUCUGCUUGUGUCUCCUCUGCCGGUUCUCCUGGGGUGUUGCUUAAGCAACCGACUUGUGGGGGUGGGGUGGGUUUGGGCGGGGCGAGUGCGUAGCGCUGGUGUUUCUUUUUCUGGCGCGCGGUGGUGGUGGUUCUUGCGGUUAGGCUGUGGUGUAGGUUGGUGCUUGGGUUAGGUCUGGCGGUGUUUUUGUGCAACCCCUCCCGGGGGGCGGGGGGGCCAGCCUCCUGCUCUGUCUGCCGGGUCGGGGUGGGGUGGGGUGGGAUGGAUGGGGGUGGUUGGUGGCGGUUUUCGAGGUGUUUGUUUUCUGUUUUUCUUCUCUUCUCUCCUCUUCUUGCCCUGUCAGGGUUCUGGUCCUGGGACCAGGCUGCUUUCAGGCAGCAGGGGGGCAGCGCGUCUGCCCCUGUUCAACCUUGUAAGGAUGAUUCCUCAAAAAAAAAAAACCGGUGGCCAACUCCACAUACCCCGGCGUGAUCACGGAGACCGUUGAGGUGCGCUGUGCCCGUGCGUGCAGCGCCGCUGCUGCUUCGCUCUCCAGCAGGCCGCCUUGCGCGGCUUCCAGCAGUUGCUGCAUGAGUUCUUCUGUGGCCGUCAUCCGCAUGCCAAUGGUGCGCAUCUGCUCCAGCAGGGGAAUGAGCAGCGCAGCUGCCCCGGUGGCGCGCGCUGGCUGCUGUGGCGCCCGAGGGGAGCCCCCGGCAGCUGGGGCAGAAGCAGUCGGCUGCGGCGGCGCCGGGGUUUUCGCGGCGGCUGUGGCAGAAGCUGCACUCGCAGGCAUGAAGCCUUGGGGCAUCGGGCCACGCAGCACUGCGGUGGGCGCUACCGUGAUGUAGUUUGCAGCAGGGUACUGGUAGAAGCUUGACGGCGCGUGUACCUCCUCCUCCUCCGGCGCUCGCGCCGUUACAUGGACGCCAGCUGGUGUCCUCUGCGGCAUGUUGUGCAGCAUGGCGACGGCCGCCGCAGCAGCGUGGGCGACUAUCGCCGCGUCCAGCUGCGCGGGCGCGGCGGGGACAACGGGCGCGGCGGUGACUGCGGGCGCCGCCGUGGCAACCGGCGGUUGCGGCUGUUGCGGCGGGGUGGGGACGGCUGCUGUCGCCGUCGCUGUCAUGGCGGCUUGCGCAGAGGCCAGCCCCUCCAUUUGGCGCUUGAGGUCUUGAAGGGCUGUGGUGAAGGUGCUGGCCUGCCGUUGCCACGGCGGCGGCGCCGCAUCACCGGCGCCGCGGCUGCCCUGACCCCCGCGGCCACUCCGUCCGCCACGCCCUGCGCCACCCUGCCCUCGUAUGCCCUGCCGCUCGUUCCAGUGCUGCGCGUAAAGCCCCUGCCGGAUCGCGAGCGCCAGGUUUUUUAGGAAUCAUCCUUACAAGGUUGAACAGGGGCAGACGCGCUGCCCCCCUGCUGCCUGAAAGCAGCCUGGUCCCCGAGACCAGAACCCUGACAGGGCAAGAAGAGAAGAAAAGAGAAGAAAAAAGAAAGCAAACACCUCGAAACCGCCACCAACCACCCCCAUCCAUCCCACCCCACCCCACCCCGACCCGGCAGACAGAGCAGGAGGCUGGCCCCCCCGCCCCCCGGGAGGGGUUGCACAAAAAACACCGCCAGACCUAACCCAAGCACCAACCUACACCACAGCCUAACCGCAAGAACCACCACCACCGCGCGCCAGCAAAGAAAACACUAGCGCUACGCACUCGCGCCGCCCAAACCCACCCCACCCCCACAAGUCGGUGGCUUAAGCAACACCCCAGGAGAACCGGCAGAGGAGACACAAGCAGAAAACUAAACGGGCCAGAUGUGGCGCUGACUAAUCGGGCUCCAGUCCGCUGCAAGACGCGCUGAGCAGGAAGGCCCACAGCCGCCCAGGCGCUGCCACUCCAGCCAGAGCUAUGACACAUGGGGCGCCAGACAAGCUGAUGACGAUAAUACGCCACGCCAGCGCCUGGAAAGAAACGCCGUCCAAAAGGAAACCUAGGGGGCCUGCACAGGUGAUGCAAGCGUCAGCCGCAAGUGCAACUUCGGUGACCCACCCUGAACCUCCUCCACUUCACAAAGCGCGCCACCCGCCGACCAGAUGGCAACAAAGUGCUCCAGCUUAGCCGCCUUGAGCUGUGCGGUGAGAAGCUGAGUGGGCAGAGCCGACAGGGUCUCAGGGGUUAGCGUGGCAGCAGUGAAACGCAGCUGCAUCACCCUGCGCAGCUCGCUGACCACCUCCCGAACCACAUGCUCCGACGUCUGCUUAGCAGGCUCACGGGACCAGUACGCACACCAGACGGCGUACAAGAAGGUGGCCCGCAAAGUGCUCCACAGCAGUGCGCCCGCCCCCCGCGGGCCUGAGGUCCACAUACCCAUGCGGUCCCCCAGCAUGAAGCCCGCGUCCGUCACUGGCGGCGCCGCUGCCUGGGGCGCAACGCAGGCCCACAGCUGCUGCAGCCACGUCCUCGCCUGCGCAUAAGCUGGACACUCCAGGAAGAUGUGCGUCAGGCUGGCCCACGCCCGCGGGCCAGGUGGCCCGCAGGCGGGGUGAGGACAGUGCGCCCCCAACCCCCCGCACCCCGUGGUCACCCGUGGCCGAAUGCCCUUGCCCGCCCUGUACAGCCCGCAAGGCAGGUAAGCAUGUUGCAGCCUGUACACCAGCACCUUUGCCCCCCGACUGGCGUGGCUGUCCCACAGCCUCCGCCACGUACCCCGCAGAAGGGACGCAUCCGGGGGCGGCAUGCGAGGGUCGCCCUCCACCGCCGCCGCUGCUGCCGCCGCCGCCGUGGCAGGCCCAGUGCUAGGUCCCGCCCCUCCCGCCGCCUGCUCCUGCAGCCGCGCGGACCGCCGCGGCCCCUCACCCGACUGCUGGGACGGGGACGCAUACGACUGCAGUUCUCGCGCCGGCGUGUUCUGCAGCCCGGCUGCCGCAGAGGUGCGGUGGAGCCAGGGGUCCAGAGCCACCGGGUUAUUGUGGAAGUGCUGCGCCGCCGUGGUGGUCAGCUGCGCCGCUGCACGCUGCCACUCCGCCUCCCGCUCCGCCAGCCGCGACUGUGCCGCCGGCUGGGUCCCCGAACCCCCCGCCUGCUGUGCUGGCGCCGGGCACGGCAUGGCUGCGGGGCGGGCCGGAGUCGGAGGUGCGGCCGGGUUAGCCGCGGUGAUGGCCCGCCGCACGUCCCGCACCGUGUAGUCCGCCAAGCUGACACCCGCAAUCCGGCAGUGCUCCGGGUGCACCACCACCCCAGCUUCCGGCGCCAGGAAGUACGGCGCCCGAGGCCACGCCCCUGCCCGUUCCCCUGGUGAUGCUGCAUCGUACGCCGCCCGCUCUUCAAAGGUCCACAGGUGCCGCGGCUUGCGAUGCUGCAGCACACAGGCAGGCUGCCACGCCCCAUCCACUGCCGGGGGCAGCACACCAGGCCCAGGCUCCAAGAGCCGCCCCGUGUAGUGGACGUAGGACACAGCCCCCGCAGCGUUAGCCACCCACAGCUGGUCCAGGCUAACCCGCCACCGUGGCGGCGCCGUUGGCGGCUGAGUGGCUGGCUGCGGCGGAUGCUGUUCCACACCCGCGCUCCGCACGUGGCCGACCGCGGCUGCCAGCCGGGCAGGCAGCCCCGCUGGCGCCGGCGCGUCGCUGUACACCCACGCCCACGUGGUGGCGGAGUCCGGGCGCACAUGGGUAAGCAGCGCCCGGGUGAGCGUCUUCCAUGGUUGCCGGCCUGGCUGGGCAAGGAGGGCGAAAGUCUUAGCUUGCAGUGCAGACAGGAACGCAGGCAGGUCGACGUGGUUGACACCCCCAUCCUUGUACGGCAGACAGGCCGUUUCCCGCUUGGGCAGCAGGAGCGGGUUCCCGUGCGACACCAGGCUGGCGUCCUCAGCGUGCAUGGAGCGCGCAGCAAAGUGGUCCACCAGGUCGGUGAGUUCCUUCAGCCGCGCAGGCGACGGGUUGAGGAAGCUGAAGUGGUAGGCCAGCUUCGCCGCCAGCACCUGCUUCGCAAUGUGCACACGGCCAACGAGAGUCAGAGACAGGGCAGCCCACAGACGCGCCACAAACGCCAUGCCGCGAGCCCGCCGGGUGUACAAGUCAGCUGCAGCCGCAUCCGAGUCCCACGACAGGGGCACACCUAGGUGCGUCACGGCGCCAGUGGUAAACGGCACCCCCGUGUGUGGGCAAGGGCCCGUCAGGUGCGCAAACCUGCCAAGGCCCAUGGCCUUGCUCUUGUCCGGAUGGACACGGGCGUUUGACGCGCGGCAGAACAGCUGUACUGCCGCCAUCAGGACCGGCCCGUCCACCGCCGGGUCGCGCGCCGUGAGGGUCGUGUCGUCAGCGUGGUGGGCAGCAGGUGGCGCCUGCUCGCCGCUGGGUAACAGGGGCGUGCGCAGUGCCCCUUGCUCCACCUGCCGCCGCAGAAAGGAUGUCAGUGGCUGCAUCUGGAUGACCCACAGGGGUGGUGAGGCGGUGCUGCCCUGCGGCAAGCCGUUCAGCACUGGGAAGGCGUCAGAGAGCAUCCCGUUCACACACACGCGGGCAGAGCCGUUGGCAGUGAUCAGGCGGAUCCAGCGCAGCAUGCGCGGCCCAAACCCAAGUCCCUCCGCGGACGCAUACAGCCACUGCCGGUGCACCCGGUCAUACGCCUUUUCAAUAUCCAAGAAGUACAGCGCACCACCCUGCCGUGGCGCGCCGUCCGCGCCCACGUCCAGGCGCAUCCAUUCGAUCAGGCCUUGGAGGUACAGCGCGUUGUCUCCAAUCCAGCGGCCGGUGAUGAACGCGGUCUGCAGCUCAUCCACAACUGCAUCCAGGGCGGGCUGCAGGCGGGCGCUGACGGCCUUGGACACCAUCUUGAAGUCGCAGUUGAGCAGCGUGAUGGGCCGGUAGGACGCCAGCUCGGCGCGGUCCAGGCUUUUGCCCUUGUAGAUGAGCGUAAUGAUGCCCUCCCGCCAGGAGGCAGGCAGCGCCGCCGCCAUUUCACCGCCAUCGUGGGCGUCUGCAGCAGCAGCAAAGGCAGCGGCAGCAGCAGCACACAAGCGCGGACCCAGCAGCGCCCAGAAAACCUUGUACACCUCGUACGGGACCCCGUCCGACCCAGGUGCUUUACCAUUGGCGGAGCCAGCCAGCGCUGCCAUCAGCUCGGCAUCACUGAGGGCGCCGUCACCGGACCCCUCUGCGGCGGCCUGCAGAUCCGCCGGAACCUUGCGGUCAAUGGCCGCCAGAAGCUGUUGCUGCGACGCCGUACAGACCGGCUGCACGCGGAACAGGCCGGUGGGGCUGGUGCUGCUGUACAUGGCUGCGGCGGCUGCGGAGACAGUGUUGCGCGUGCCCGGCCCCGUGAGCGCCACAGGCGCCGGUUGCCCCGGCACCUUCAAGUGCGUGAUGGGCUCCUGCGCGCCGGCUGCUGGCUCGUCAGCCUGCCGAUGGAACCAGCGAGUGCCCCGCUCCCCAUGCUCCUCCAUCAGUGCAGCGCGGGCUUUGUGGCUGGCCGCUGCGGCAGCUGCCCGCUCCUCCCGCACCGCCAAGUUGGCCAUGGCCGCAGCCUGACGCUGCGCGGCGCUGGCACCCGGCCGGUCGGCCAGGGCAGCGGCCGCGUCUGCGGCCAGCACCACGCCAUGCAGCCCAUCCCGGGUCUGGCGUGCAUGCCGACGGUGGAUGCUGGUGGCGGCCUCCCGCAAGAAGAACUUGUCCGCCUCCCAUUGCGUGCAAGCGCCGUCACCUGUACUGGCCACGGGAUUUGCGGCAACGUGCGCCUCCAAGCGCUGCUCGAGCUCCAAACGCAGCGAGGGGUGAAACAGCAGGUAUGUGGGGAAGCGCCACUGCUCCCGGUGCGCAUGUGGCAGGUCGGGCAAGGACAGGGUGAGCAGCACACCGUUGUGGUCCCCAGGCGCCCCAUACGUGCGAGCGACAUCCACCACCCACGGCGCCGCGGCGGCACUGACAUACCACCGAUCCAGGCGUGCGGGAGUGGCCGGCUUGGGCGUGGCCGGAUGCGUGUAGCCCUUGGCGCCGCCACGCUUGCUCGCCCAGGGGUCCACCAGACUGAACUGGGCGAGGAGGCUGGCAAGUUGCGGGGCACCUGCAGCACGUGACGGGCUAGGGGCCGCCUCCUGACUGGCAUCGGUGACACAGUUCCAGUCCCCACCGACAACAAGCACCCUGUCCGUGGCCAGGUGGGGAUGCAGCCCGGCAAAGAAAGCAGGCUUGUCCGCCACGGCCGUGGGCGCAUACACACACACAAAGCGCAGGCGCAGGUGACCCACGUCCCAAUCCCAACAUACCACACGGCCCGCCGCAUCCGUUGACGGCGGCUGCAGUACGCAGCCUGGAAGGGACAGCCGACUCCGCGCCAGGAUAGCCGCCCCACAGGAGUGGGGCGACGCUGCCGGGCUGGCAGCAAGGCAGUGGCGCCACGGAAGGCACGCCCCCUGCGCGGCACGAAGGCAAGACUCCAGCGCCGUCGUGUCAGUAGCGUGGGUCUCCUGCACCAUCGCCACAUCCGCCCCAACUUGCUGCAGGUGCGAGACCAGCGCCCGCGCCUUGAGCGGCGAGCCCAGGCCGUUGACAUUCACUGUCAGCAGCCGAAGGUUCGCCGCUCCCACUGGUGGCCGCAUUAUGAGCCCCCGCCGGCCACGGCAGCGCCGUGGCGGUUGCGGUUGCUGUUGCUGCUGUGGCGUUUGCCGCGGCGGGCGCCACCCUGGCUGGGGGGCGCGCCGCCGCUGCUGGUGCUCAUGCUAGCGGCGCCUGAGCUGGCGCCGCCGGGGCGCAAUGGAGCGCUGCCCAGGCUCAUGAGGCUGGAGGUACUGCGGCUGCGGUGCUGGCGUUGCCGGCGGCUGGGCCCCCCGGCCCCACCGGGGUCCGCCGGCCCACGCUUAGCAGACCGCAGGGUGCGGGCGUCUAGGAGCACGUAGUCCAUGUAGGCCGUCUGCACCUGCUGCGCGGCGUCAUCCAGCUGCUCCGUCACGUCGGAAGGCAGGGGCGUGUCGGCAGGCUGGGCUGAGUAUAGGCGCCACCAGCCAGUGAACUCGUCGCGCAGCUGCGCCAGGACGGCGGUACGGCCUGCCGGCACACGGCAGACGGCCCAGUCCGGUACGGUGGCGCCCUGGUCAUGGAGGUAGGCGAGGAGGCGGCCACCAAGCGUGUCGCGGCCAAGCUGCGCCCACUCAUACCCCUGCACAUCUGCGCAGCGGUUCUGGUGCGUCACGAGGUCAGAGCCGAUGGCAACACACGUGUCCCGGGUCAGGCAAACGGCCCCGUACUCCGCCUCACUGCCCGCACCCCCACCAGCGCGCCCAGCCGUGUCGGCCGAAACCCCAGCCGGCGCGCCCAGGCCCCUGCCCCUGCCCUUACCACCACCCGCCGGUUGUGACGUCUGCAGUGGCGGCCCUGCCUGGGGCGGCGCCUGGGGCACUGCCCGCCCCGCUCCUCCCCCCUGGCGCCCCGACCCGCUGUCCCCACCAGCCUGCUGUCCCCCGGCCAGCCGCCCAGUGGGCACGUGCGGCGGCGAGCUAGCACCGUCCUGUGGGGGAGGCAGCCCGCCGCCCAAGCGCCCUGCCCUCUGUUGCGGGAGCUGGGCGGGGCCACAGCGCCCUUUGGAGCGGGGCUGGAGCUGCGGCGGCGGCGGCGGUGCGUGCGCGGCUGGUUGCACCCGUCGCCCACGCCCGGACGCCACCGUGGCAGCGCCAUCACCUGCCCCGUCCUGUCCCCCCAGCGUGGCCAGGACCCCAAACCGGGAGCCGGUCCGGGGCCUGGGCGGCUGCACCUGGUGCUGCAGCUCCUGCUGCUGCUGUUGCUGGACCCGCCGUUGCUGCUGGAGAUGGAGGUCCGCCUUGUAUGCCAAGUACCGCUGCAUCGCAGCUGCCAGCUCCUGAUCCUGCCUGGCGGCUGCCCGCUGAUCAAAGGGCGGCUGUGCCGCGGGAGCCCCACUGGGCUGCUGCUGCAUGCCAGCCGGCCCAGCAUCGGCAGUGCGACGCCUGGCCGCCGGCGGCCCCCCCACGCCUGCCGACGGCUGCCCCCCGCUAAGCCCUCCCGCUGCCACCCGCUGCUGUGAAGAGGGCUGCUGCUGCCGCUCGGCCCUCCGGGGAGCCGUAGCAGCACGGGUGCUUCCCCCCGCCACCAGAGCUGGCAGCGAGGGCGAGGCCACGGCGGGUGGUCCGCUGGCGCCACCAGCGGCAGCCGCUGCGUCACCCACACCCGCCGCCUCCUGCAUCUGCACGUCCCCCACGUGGUCAACUAUGUCAACGCGUGGCCCACGCCGUGACGCCGCCGCACCAGGGCCACCGCCCGCCCCGUCCUGACCCCCCCGUGUGGCCAGGACCACCACCUGGGAGCCGGUCCGGGGCCUGGGCGACUGCCCCUGGCGCUGCAGCUCCUGCUGCUGCUGUUGCUGUAACCGCCGUUGCCGCUGGAGAUUGAGGUCCGCCAGCGCGGCCAAGUACCGCCGCAUCCCAGCGGUCUGCUCCUGAUCCUGCCCGGCGGCUGCCCGCUGAUCCAAGGGCGGCUGUGGCGCGGGAGCGCCACUAUGCUGCUGCUGCACGCCAGCCGGCCCAGCACCGGCAGGGCGAGGCCUGGCCGCCGGCGGCCCCCCCACACCUGUCGCCGGCUGGACCCCGCUAAGCCCUCCCGCUGCCACCCGCUGCUGCGAAGAGGGCUGCUGCUGCAGCGCGGCCCGCAGUGCAGCCGCAGCAGCACGGUUGCUUCCCCCCGCCACCAGAACUGGCAGCGGGGGCGGGGCCCCGCUGUGUGGCCCGCUGGCACCACCAGCUGCAGCCGCCGCGUCACCCAAACCCGCUGCCUCCUGCAUCUGCACGUCCCCCACGUGGUCAACGAUGUCCGCUGCGGUCGCCAUGGCAGCCGCGGGCCUCACCCCACCCAAGGUGUUGACACCCAGGUCGGCGACCCCGGCUGCAGCCGGAGCAGGGCUGCCUGCCGCAGCUGUCGUGGCCGUCCCAGCCGCCUGGGGGGCGCCACGGACCUCCACCUGCAUGGGCUCCUCACCAGGCAUCUCAAACUUGGCACAGUGCAGGUGAGAGAGCUGCGGGUCCCAGAUGGGGCCCCGCACACAGGCAAAGAUGUGGUUGGUGAUGCCCUGGCCUGCGGGGGCCUGGGGCUCCCCCUUGGGGCCCACCGAUUUGGCGCACUGCUCUGAGACCACAUAAGCACACGCCAGGUUAGAGGGGUCCGAGGUGGUGGGAUAGCCGCCCGCCUGCAGCACCAAAUCGGUGCGACCGCGGAAAGCCCCCCACACAGGGCCCCCUACCAUCUUGACCGUGACGGUGUAGGUGCCCGGAAUGAUGGGCCGGGUGUCCACCGGCACGUGAACCGUGAGGACAGCCUGACCGCGCUGGAGCGGUACCGCCAGCGGUGACCUGCGCAUGAGCUCCGCUGUGAAGGCUGCUUUGCUGGCGCUGGUCGCGCGCCGGCUGAAGGCCAGCCCCGCAAACGUGCGGGAGGGGCGGCCUGUGCUGUGCAGAGAGUGGCCCUGCAAGAGCUGCGGCUGGUUGCCCUGCCUGCACAGGGUGUCCAGCACUGACAAGGCAGCGCUGGUCACUUCCCGGACGCCGGCUGAGGACAGCUGCUCGCCCUCUGGGAGCCCCGUGGUGGCACCCACCAGAAGGACUGGGUAGGUAGGCAGGCUGGGGCCCUGAGGCUGCGUCGUCAGGUCCUGCACGCCGUGCGCCACGCUAUGCGUGGACAGGGCAAGGUGGAGCUGCAGCCCGGGGCUGAAGAACGGGCUGGCAGUGUUGCCCCCACCUGCAGGGGUGCGGUCCGCUGCCAAGCCUGGCAGUGGGCGGUGAUGCCCAAACGCAGGCCCCCCACACGGCACGGCAUGUGCUGCUGCGGCCGCGCCGUGUGCGGGUGUGCUGUAUGGCUGGUGUUGGCCCCUGGUGGCUUGGCUGCGCUGAGACACCAGGCGGAACCGACCAGGAUCACCCAGCAACUGCAUAGCUACCCAAGAUCAGCACUCACAGGGCAUCACAGCAGGGCGGGCGCCAGGCAACCAGGCACCAGGCAACAAGGGCACGAGGACGAGCCACACCCCAAAAAAACAGCCAAGUGCUGCAGGGCUCCCCCGACCGCCACACCCAAAGCACCCUGCUGCACGCGCGGAUGCAAAUGACCAACCACAGAGGUUGAUACGCCGCCGGCUCCAAGCUGGUGAAGCUUGGUGCUCGCCGAGAUGUUAAAAUGCCGACAAGCGAAAUGUCGCCAACUCCACGGUGACGCUCCUGAACCGCCAGAAUCCUAUUCCAUAGCAGUGUCGAGUUCCAAAGCACAAGCCGGCAAAGUCUGAAGGGCGCUGGAGAGGGAGUGUCGCGCUACAGCUGCAAAGUGGACUGACGAAAAACGAGGACGCCCACAAAUGCAAACUGCUUCACAGUGGUUCGUAGGCCUUAAGAAGCCUAAAACAAAAGGAAGCAAGUCAAACAGCGCGCGAGAAAUGACGUCGACUGUUUCAAAGCUGUGCAGAAGGAAAGGAGGAUGCAAGAAUAGCAAGAGAAGAGAGUAAAGUAAAGUGCUCGGGGGCGAACGUUUUGGCCAUGCGUUUCCACUCCCAGCAUUCCGCCUCGCCGUGGCGGGGGGUCUGGUGCAGCAGGCAGUACUGUGCGUCUUCCGGCGUGGGACGCGGCCCAUACUGAGGCACCACCUCGCCCGCAGCUGCUGGGAACCGCGCGAGGAUGGCAGACUGGGACUGCGCGUGGCCCGGGUGGGCGUGCGCGAGGGUGUGCGCGGCAGCGGUGCGCGCGUGCCGCACCGGCGCUUGCGUGGCUGGUUCUUGCUCCCACCAGCCCCAUGCCUGCUGCAGCCAGCCCUUGACGGUAGCCAGGUCAUAGGUGUAGGCGGCGGGCUCAGUGUUCAGCCGGUGGCAAGCCUCAUUGCGGCGACUCGCCAUUUCCCUCAUGACAAUGGGCAGGAACCGAACGCUCUGGAAGAGCCAGCGCCCCGCUGCAGAGGUCUCGCCCCGCGGGCAGCGUGCCAGCAGCUGUUCAAACCGCUGGAUGCCCUGUCGCCAGUCCUCCUCCGGAUGAGCAGCAUCACGCAGCUCAAACUCUGAGGCGGCCGUCAGCGCGGCAGCCGGUGCCAUGCCCAUACCACGCACCACAGCGUCGCGCCAGUACAGCACUACGUGUGGGACGCUGCCGUAGCCUUUGCCACAGUAGUCCUGCGUGGGCUCGCCAGCCGCCUGACGCGCUGCUUCCCAGUCGGCUUGAUGCCGGGCCAGGACGCCUGCCUGUUCUGCAUGGAGCCAAGCGGCGAACUUGGAGUCGGCCACGGCAGCCUUGAGGCCCAGUGCCUUCACUAAGUGCAAGCCGUUGCGUGCCUCUGGGUGGUCGGGGUCCUCGUGCGCGGCGUUGUCCGACAGCCAAGUGGUGGCUGUUUGCGCAAAAGCCUCCGGCGGGCCGACGCCGUCCUACUGUGGGCUGAAGGCGCUGGUAGGUUUGUACGUUGGCUUGCGCGAGGCAAGGGCGCUGUGCAGUGAUUGUAGCAGCUGGAGCGAGGGCUCGGAAGUUGCAUUCAGUGCGGACGAGGCAGCGGGAGCUGCCCUGGGGGGCGCAGCGGGCGGCGGUCGGUGCGACACCGGCGACGGCAGCAGAACCACGGCGUCGCUGUGUGGCGCGGCAUGCCGCCGGAGCAGGGCCAACUCACUGCGGGCGGCACGCCUGGUCGCGUCGCCGGGUUGCUGGUCUCCAGCUGGGUCAGGCCUUUGGCCGCCAGGUUCCGCAUCUCGCUGCUCUAGCAGCCGCUGCAGGCGUUCAUUGCUCUGAUGCAGGCGGAGUGCCGUCUCGCGCCAGAUGGCUGAGCUGCUGCCGCUGCCUGCAGCGCUGGGCGCAGUGGUAAGCCUACCUCCCACGCCUGCCGCCAACGGCGGUGCCGCCUGGCUGCGCGAACGCAGCCGGCGGCCCGCCCGUUCGAGGCCCCAUUCUCCACGCUUCUCUGCGCUGGCGCGUAGCAGCCGCAGUACUUCUGACUCUCCCACCUGGCUGACAGAAGGGCCUAGUGACUCGUCGUCAGACUCUGACGCCCCGAAGCCGCUACCGGCGCUGCCCGUUACGCCUGAUGGGGCGUAGUCUGCAUCCUCCUCGUCCUCCAGCCCGUCGAGGGCAAACGCUGGGUUGACAGCGAGCCUGGCCCGCUCCAGAGCGCUGGGCCUGGGCGGCCGCGCCACGCCUGGCGCGGCUUCCGCGGCUGCGCCCUCUGCCCCGGCGGCCUGCGCUGCGCCGUUGGUCGCAGCCAUGGCGGCAAGCGCCAUGAUCACAGGCCGAACGUCAAGUUCCGCCGGUGCUGUGGCGCCUGCCGCGGUUGCCGGGGGCGCACCUGCCUGGCCCCCAGCAGAGCCCCCAGCCCCUGCCGCCGCGGCUGCCGCCAUGUUAGCCAAGGCCCUGUUGGCCCGUUCAAUCGCGGCCGGGUCCCCCACUGGCAGCAGAGGCUGCCGUGCGCGCCGAGUGCCUGCGCCGAUGGCCGAAGCAGCCCGACCGCCUACCGCCCGGAGCGCAUUGGCAGCUGCAUCCCCGAGCUGCGCCGCCCCUGCCAACACGUUACUGACGCUGCCACCGCGUCGUCGCUGAGCACGCCCAGGCUGUCCUCCGUCUGACAUGAUUCACUUAGAGACUACUAAAUUGCUUCCCAGGCCGCGGCCGCUAGCACGCCUUGCCCCGCUAGCUCACCACUGCUCUGCUGAAGGAUUGACUCCUCCGCAAAGGAUCGUGCGAGCGCGCCAGCGGUCAGGGCAGCCUUGCGGCCUGCGGCAUGUGAAAGCACAGGGAGUGGCGCGAGGAGUUUAGAGACGUCACAGCUUCCGAGCUCUUGAUUCACGCAAUAUCAAAACGAUAUGCGUCACGACAUCCGAGGCCUUGUCAUAGCCGGUCCCCCCGGUUCGCGCAGACUGUCCGCUGUUACUGGGUUGCGCAUGCACUCUGGCCACCUGUGUUAAACCAGGCUAGGCAUAGACAUAACCUAGCUGGCCAGGCGAGGACGCUGCUUCACUGCUGGAGGAAUACGCGAGUUGCGGGUUGCUGGGACAAUGGACUGCCGUCGCAGUCCCCGAGUUGUGAGAUACCCCGGCGGUUCUCACUGGGCAUGCCCCCGAUUGCUAGCUGGUCCAAACGCUAGUCUUGCCUGCCGCUGAACACGCCUUGGCGUUCUCGCUCCCGCAGGUGAUCAGUCUGCUCUCAGCGAGUCACAAGAACUACACAUUAGUCGUCGUAAAGCCAAUAUGGAGUAACAGCGGACAGUGCCGCUCACAGGCGUCACUGCCCGCUACGUGCGCCGACCAACUGUACGGCAACUUCUCACUCGCACCUUUCUCUCAGGCUGAUAGCAAGCAAGGUUAAUCCUACACCAAGCAGGCGAUACACAGCAGUCUUAGCUGCACGAGUCCACACGCAGUCACACACGCGACACAAAACCCUAGGCUACACACGCUCGUGCCGGUGGAAUGCAGUGCCGGCAGAAUGGCGCGACACUGGCGCGCGGUGGUGGUGGUUCUUGCGGUUAGGCUGUGGUGUAGGUUGGUGCUUGGGUUAGGUCUGGCGGUGUUUUUGUGCCACCCCUCCCGGGGGGCGGGGGGGCCAGCCUCCUGCUCUGUCUGCCGGGUCGGGGUGGGGUGUGGUGGGAUGGUUGGGGGUAGUUGGUGGCGGUUUUCGAGGUGUUUGCUUUCUGUUUUCUCCUCUUCUCUUCUCUUCUUGCCCUGUCAGGGUUCUGGUCUCGGGGACCAGGCUGCUUUCAGGCAGCAGGGGGGCUGCGCGUCUGCCCCUGUUCAACCUUGUAAGGAUGAUUCCUCAAAAAAAAACCCUUGAAAACCGCCACCAACCACCCCAAUCCAUCCCACCCCACCCCACCCCAAAACAAAGACAAACGUGCCAGUGGACACCCGGCCCAUCAUUCCGGGCACCUACACCGUCACGGUCAAGAUGGUAGGGGGCCCUGUGUGGGGGGCUUUCCGCGGUCGCACCGAUUUGGUGCUGCAGGCGGGUGGCUAUCCCACCACCUCGGACCCCUCUAACCUGGCGUGUGCUUAUGUGGUCUCAGAGCAGUGCGCCAAAUCGGUGGGCCCCAAGGGGGAGCCCCAGGCCCCCGCAGGCCAGGGCAUCACCAACCACAUCUUUGCCUGUGUGCGGGGCCCAGUCUGGGACCCGCAGCUCUCUCACCUGCACUGUGCCAAGUUUGAGAUGCCCGGUGAGGAGCCCAUGGCGGCCAGGCCUCGCCCUGCCGGUGCUGGGCCGGCUGGCGUGCAGCAGCAGCACAGUGGCGCUCCCGCGCCACGGCCGCCCUUGGAUCAGCAGGCAGCCGCUGGGCAGGAUCAGGAGCAGACCGCUGUGAUGCAGCGGUACUUGGCCGAGCUGGCGGACCUCAAUCUCCAGCGGCAACGGCGGUUACAGGAACAGCAACAGCAGCAGCAGCAGCUGCAGCGCCAGGGGCAGUCGCCCAGGCCCCGGACCGGCUCCCAGGUUGUGGUCCUGGCCACGCUGGGGGGGCAGGCCGGGGCGGGCGGUGGCCCUGGCGUGGCGGCGUCACGGCGUGGGCAACGUGUUGACAUAGUUGACCACGUGGGGGACGUGCAGAUGCAGGAGGCGGCGGGUGUGGGUGACGCAGGGGCUGCCGCUGCUGGCGCCAGCGGACCACCCGCCGUGGCCUCACCCUCGCUGCCAGCUCUGGUGGCGGGGGGAAGCACCCGUUCUGCUGCGGCUACCCUAAGGGCCGAGCGACAGCAGCAGCCCUCUUCACAGCAGCGGGUGGCAGCGGGAGGGCUUAGCGGGGGGCAGCCGUCUGCAGGCGUGGGGGGGCCACCGGCAGUCAGGCGUCGUACUGCCUGUGCUGGGUCGGCUGGCGCGCAGCAGCAGCCCAGUGGGGCUCCCGCGCCACAGCCGCCCUUUGAUCAGCGGGCGGCCGCCAGGCAGGAGCAGGAGCAGACCGCUGUGAUGCAGCGGUACUUGGCCUACAUGGCGGACCUCCAUCUCCAGCAGCAACGGCGGGUACAGCAACAGCAGCAGCAGGAGCAGCAGCGCCAGGUGCAGCCGCCCAGGCCCCGGACCGGCUCCCGGUUUGAGGUCCUGGCCACGCUGGGGGGACAGGACGGGGCGGGCGAUGGCGCUGCCGCGGCGGCGCCCGGGCGUGGGCGACGGGUGCAACCAGCCGCGCACGCACCGCCGCCACCGCUGCAGCAACAGCCCCGCUCCAAAGGGCGCUGUGGCCCCGCCCAGCUCCCGCAGCAGAGGGCAGGGCGCUUGGGCGGCGGGCUGCCUCCCCCGCAGGACGGUGCUAGCUCGCCGCCGCGCGUGCCCACUGGGCGGCCGGCCGGGGGACAGCAGGCUGGUGGGGGCAGCGGGUUGGGGCGCCAGGGUGGAGGAGUGGGGCGGGCAGUGCCCCAGCCGCUACCCCAGGCGCGGCCUCCACUGCAAACGUCACAACCGGCGGGUGGUGGUAAGGGCAGGGGCAGGGGCCUGGGCGCGCCGGCUGGGGCUUCGGCCGACACGGCUGGGCGCGCUGGUGGGGGUGCGGGCAGUGAGGCGGAGUACGGGGCCGUUUGCCUGACCCGGGACACGUGUGUUGCCAUCGGCUCUGACCUCGUGACGCACCAGAACCGCUGCGCAGAUGUGCAGGGGUUUGAGUGGGCGCAGCUGGGCCACGACACGCUUGGUGGCCGCCUCCUCGCCUACCUCCGUGACCAGGGCGCCACCGUACCGGACUGGGCCGUCUGCCGCGUGCCGGCCGGCCGUACCGCCAUCCUGGCACAGCUGCACGACGAGUUCACUGGCUGGUGGCGCCUAUACUCAGCCCAGCCUGCAGACACGCCCCUGCCUUCCGAUGUGACGGAGCAGCUGGAUGACGCCGCGCAGCAGGUGCAGACGGCCUACAUGGACUACGUGCUCCUAAACGCCCGCACCCUGCGGUCCGCUAAGCGUGGGCUUGCGGACCCCGGCGGGGCCAGCGGGCCCAGCCGCCGGAAACGCCAGCACCGCAGCCGCAGUACCUCCAGCCUCAUGAGCCUGGGCAGCGCUCCAUUGCACCCCAGCGGCGCCAGCUCAGGUGCCGCUAGCAUGAGCACCAGCAGCGGCGGCGCGCCCCCCAGCCAGGGUGGCGACCGCCGCGGCAAACGCCACAGCAGCAACAGCAACCGCACCCGCCACGGCGCUGCCGUGGCCGGCGGGGGCUCAUAAUGCGGCCACCAGUGGGAGCGGCGAACCUUCGGCUGCUGACAGUGAAUGUCAACGGCCUGGGCUCGCCGUUCAAGGCGCGGGCGCUGGUCUCGCACCUACAGCAAGUUGGGGCGGAUGUGGCGAUGGUGCAGGAGACCCAUGCUACUGACACGACGGUGCUGGAGUCUUGCCUUCGUGCCGCGCAGGGGGCGUGCCUUCCGUGGCGCCACUGCCUUGCUGCCAGCCCGGCGGCGUCGCCCCACUCCUGUGGGACGGCUAUCCUGGCGCGGAGUCGGCUGUCCCUUCCAGGCUGCGUUCUGCAGCCGCCGUCAACGGAUGCGGCGGGCCGUGUGGUAUGUUGGGAUUGGGACGUGGGUCACCUGCGCCUGCGCUUCGUGUGUGUGUAUGCGCCCACGGCCGUGGCGGACAAGCCUGCUUUCUUUGCCGGGCUGCAUCCCCACCUGGCCUCGGACAGGGUGCUUGUUGUCGGUGGGGACUGGAACUGUGUCACCGAUGCCAGUCAGGAGGGCAGCACCGCCUCACCACCCCUGUGGGUCAUCCAGAUGCAGCCACUGACGUCCUUUCUGCGGCGGCAGGUGGCGCAAGGGGCACUGCGCACGCCCCUGUUACCCAGCGGCGAGCAGGCGCCACCGGCUGCCCACCACGCUGACGACACGACCCUCACGGCGCGCGACCCGGUGGUGGACGGGCCGGUCCUGAUGGCGGCAGUACAGCUGUUCUGCCGCGCGUCCAACGCCCGUGUCCAUCCGGACAAGAGCAAGGCCAUGGGCCUUGGCAGGUUUGCGCACCUGACGGGCCCUUGCCCACACACGGGGGUGCCGUUUACCACUGGCGCCGUGACGCACCUGGGUGUGCCCCUGUCGUGGGACUCGGAUGCGGCUGCAGCUGACUUGUACACCCGGCGGGCUCGCGGCAUGGCGUUUGUGGCGCGUCUGUGGGCUGCCCUGUCUCUGACUCUUGUUGGCCGUGUGCACAUUGCGAAGCAGGUGCUGGCGGCGAAGCUGGCCUACCACUUCAGCUUCCUCAACCCGUCGCCUGCGCAGCUGAAGGAACUCACCGACCUGGUGGACCACUUUGCUGCGCGCUCCAUGCACGCUGAGGACGCCAGCCUGGUGUCGCACGGGAACCCGCUCCUGCUGCCAAAGCGGGAAACGGCCUGUCUGCCGUACAAGGAUGGGGGUGUCAACCACGUCGACCUGCCUGCGUUCCUGUCUGCCCUGCAAGCUAAGACCUUCGCCCUCCUUGCCCAGCCAGGCCGGCAACCCUGGAAGAUGCUCACCCGGGCGCUGCUUACUCAUGUGCGCCCGGACUCCGCCACCACGUGGGCGUGGGUGUACAGCGACGCGCCGGCGCCAGCGGGGCUGCCUGCCCGGCUGGCGGCCGCGGUCGGCCACAUGCAGAGCGCGGGCGUGAAACAGCAUCCACCGCAGCCAGCCACUCAGCCGCCAGCGGCGCCGCCACAGUGGCGGGUUUUUUUUUUUUUUUUUGAGGAAUCAUCCUUACAAGGUUGAACAGGGGCAGACGCGCUGCCCCCCUGCUGCCUGAAAGCAGCCUGGUCCCCGGGACCAGAAACCUGACAGGGCAAGAAGAGGAGAGAAGAGAAGAAAAACAGAAAACAAACACCUCGAAAACCGCCACCAACCACCCCCAUCCAUCCCACCCCACCCCACCCCGACCCGGCAGACAGAGCAGGAGGCUGGCCCCCCCGCCCCCCGGGAGGGGUUGCACAAAAACACCGCCAGACCUAACCCAAGCACCAACCUACACCACAGCCUAACCGCAAGAACCACCACCACCGCGCGCCAGGAAAAGAAACACCAGCGCUACGCACUCGCCCGGCCCAAACCCACCCCACCCCCACAAGUCGGUUGCUUAAGCAACACCCCAGGAGAACCGGCAGAGGAGACACAAGCAGAAACUAAACGGGCCAGAUGUGGCGCUGACUAAGCGGGCUCCAGUCCGCUGCAAGACGCGCUGUGCAGGAAGUCCCACAGCCGCCCAGGUGCUGCGACGCCAGCCAGAGCUAAAAAACAUGGGCGCCAGAUAAGCUGAUGACGAUAAUACGCCACGCCAGCGCCUGGAAAGAACCGCCGCCUAGGGGGCCUGCACAGGUGAUGCAAGUGUCAGCCGCAAGUUCAACUUCGGUGACCCACCCUGAACCUCCUCCACUUCACAAAGCGCGCCACCCGCCGUCCAGAUGGCAACAAAAUGCUCCAGCUUAGCCGCCUUGAGCUGUGCGGUGAGCAGCUGAGUGGGCAGAGCCGACAGGGUUUCAGGGGUUAGCGUGGCGGCAGUGAAACGCAGCCGCAUCACCCUGCGCAGCUCGCUGACCACCUCCCGAACCACAUGCUCCGACGUCUGCUUAGCAGGCUCGCGGGACCAGUACGCACACCAGACGGCGUACAAGAAGGUGGCCCGCAAAGUGCUCCACAGCAGCGCUCCCGCCCCCCGCGGGCCUGAGGCCCACAUACCCAUGCGGUCCCCCAGCAUGAAGCCCGCGUCCGUCACUGGCGGCGCCGCUGCCUGGGGCGCAACGCAGGCCCACAGCUGCUGCAGCCACGUCCUCGCCUGCGCAUAAGCCGGACACUCCAGGAAGAUGUGCGUCAGGCUGGCCCACGCCCGCGGGCCAGGUGGCCCGCAGGCGGGGUGAGGACAGUGCGCCCCCAACCCCCCGCACCCCGUGGUCACCCGUGGCCGAAUGCCCUUGCCCGCCCUGUACAGCCCGCAAGGCAGGUAAGCAUGUUGCAGCCGGUACACCAGCACCUUUGCCCCCCGACUGGCGUGGCUGUCCCACAGCCUCCGCCACGUACCCCGCAGAAGGGACGCAUCCGGGGGCGGCAUGCGAGGGUCGCCCUCCACCGCCGCCGCUGCUGCCGCCGCCGCCGUGGCAGGCCCAGUGCUAGGUCCCGCCCCGCCCGCCGCCUGCUCCUGCAGCCGCGCGGACCGCCGCGGCCCCUCACCCGACUGCUGGGACGGGGACGCAUACGACUGCAGUUCUCUCGCCGGCGUGUUCUGCAGCCCGGCUGCCGCGGAGGUGCGGUGGAGCCAGGGGUCCAGAGCCACCGGGUUAUUGUGGAAAUGCUGCGCCGCCGUGGUGGUCAGCUGCGCCGCUGCACGCUGCCACUCCGCCUCCCGCUUCGCCAGCCGCGACUGUGCCGCUGGCUGGGGCCCCGAGCCCCCCGCCUGCUGUGCUGGCGCUGGGCACGGCAUGGCUGCGGGGCGGGCCGGAGCCGGAGGUGCGGCCGGGUUGGCCGCGGUGAUGGCCCGCCGCACGUCCCGCACCGUGUAGUCCGCUAAGCUGACACCCGCAAUCCGGCAGUGCUCCGGGUGCACCACCACCCCAGCCUCCGGCGCCAGGAAGUACGGCGCCCGAGGCCACGCCCCCGCCCGGUCCCCUGGUGAUGCUGCAUCGUACGCCGCCCGCUCUUCAAAGGUCCACAGGUGCCGCGGCUUGCGAUGCUGCAGCACACAGGCAGGCUGCCACGCCCCAUCCACCGCCGGGGGCAGCACGCCAGGCCCAGGCUCCAAGAGCCGCCCCGUGUAGUGGACGUAGGACACAGCCCCCGCAGCGUUAGCCACCCACAGCUGGUCCAGGCUAACCCGCCACUGUGGCGGCGCCGCUGGCGGCUGAGUGGCUGGCUGCGGUGGAUGCUGUUCCACGCCCGCGCUCUGCAUGUGGCCGACCGCGGCCGCCAGCCGGGCAGGCAGCCCCGCUGGCGCCGGCGCGUCGCUGUACACCCACGCCCACGUGGUGGCGGAGUCCGGGCGCACAUGAGUAAGCAGCGCCCGGGUGAGCAUCUUCCAGGGUUGCCGGCCUGGCUGGGCAAGGAGGGCGAAGGUCUUAGCUUGCAGGGCAGACAGGAACGCAGGCAGGUCGACGUGGUUGACACCCCCAUCCUUGUACGGCAGACAGGCCGUUUCCCGCUUUGGCAGCAGGAGCGGGUUCCCGUGCGACACCAGGCUGGCGUCCUCAGCGUGCAUGGACCGCGCAGCAAAGUGGUCCACCAGGUCGGUGAGUUCCUUCAGCUGCGCAGGCGAUGGGUUGAGGAAGCUGAAGUGGUAGGCCAGCUUCGCCGCCAGCACCUGCUUCGCAAUGUGCACACGGCCAACAAGAGUCAGAGACAGGGCAGCCCACAGACGCGCCACAAACGCCAUGCCGCGAGCCCGCCGGGUGAACAAGUCAGCUGCAGCCGCAUCCGAGUCCCACGACAGGGGCACACCCAGGUGCGUCACGGCGCCAGUGGUAAACGGCACCCCCGUGUGUGGGCAAGGGCCCGUCAGGUGCGCAAACCUGCCAAGGCCCAUGGCCUUGCUCUUGUCCGGAUGGACACGGGCGUUGGACGCGCGGCAGAACAGCUGUACUGCCGCCAUCAGGACCGGCCCGUCCACCGCCGGGUCGCGCGCCGUGAGGGUCGUGUCGUCAGCGUGGUGGGCAGCCGGUGGCGCCUGCUCGCCGCUGGGUAACAGGGGCGUGCGCAGUGCCCCUUGCUCCACCUGCCGCCGCAGAAAGGACGUCAGUGGCUGCAUCUGGAUGACCCACAGGGGUGGUGAGGCGGUGCUGCCCUGCGGCAAGCCGUUCAGCACUGGGAAGGCGUCAGAGAGCAUCCCGUUCACACACACGCGGGCAGAGCUGUUGGCAGUGAGCAGGCGGAUCCAGCGCAGCAUGCGCGGCCCAAACCCAAGUCCCUCCGCGGACGCAUACAGCCACUGCCGGUGCACCCGGUCAUACGCCUUUUCAAUGUCCAAGAAGUACAGCGCACCACCCUGCCGUGGCGUGCCGUCCGCGCCCACGUCCAGGCGCAUCCAUUCGAUCAGGCCUUGGAGGUACAGCGCGUUGUCACCAAUCCAGCGGCCGGUGAUGAACGCGGUCUGCAGCUCAUCCACAACUGCAUCCAGGGCGGGCUGCAGGCGGGCGCUGACGGCCUUGGACACCAUCUUGAAGUCGCAGUUGAGCAGCGUGAUGGGCCGGUACGACGCCAGCUCGGCGCGGUCCAGGCUUUUGCCCUUGUAGAUGAGGGUGAUGAUGCCCUCCCGCCAGGAGGCGGGCAGCGCCGCCGCCAUUUCACCGCCAUCGUGGGCGUCUGCAGCGGCAGCAAAGGCAGCGGCAGCAGCAGCACACAAGCGCGGACCCAGCAGCGCCCAGAAAACCUUGUACACCUCGUACGGGACCCCGUCCGACCCAGGCGCUUUACCAUUGGCGGAGCCAGCCAGCGCUGCCAUCAGCUCUGCAUCACCGAGGGCGCCGUCACCGGACCCCUCUGCGGCGGCCUGCAGAUCCGCCGGAACCUUGCGGUCAAUGGCCGCCAGAAGCUGCUGCUGCGACGCCGUACAGACCGGCUGCACGCGGAACAGGCCGGUGGGGCUGGUGCUGCUGUACAUGGCUGCAGCGGCUGCGGAGACAGUGUUGCGCGUGCCCGGCCCCGUGAGCGCCACAGGCGCCGGUUGCCCCGGCACCUUCAAGUGCGUGAUGGGCUCCUGCGCGCCGGCUGCUGGCUCGUCAGCCUGCCGAUGGAACCAGCGAGUGCCCCGCUCCCCAUGCUCCUCCAUCAGUGCAGCGCGGGCAUUGUGGCUGGCCGCUGCGGCAGCUGCCCGCUCCUCCCGCACCGCCAAGUUGGCCAUGGCCGCAGCCUGACGCUGCGCGGCGCUGGCACCCGGCCGGUCGGCCAGGGCAGCGGCCGCGUCUGCGGCCAGCACCACGCCAUGCAGCCCGUCCCGGGUCUGGCGUGCAUGCCGACGGUGGAUGCUGGUGGCGGCCUCCCGCAAGAAGAACUUGUCCGCCUCCCAUUGCGUGCAAGCGCCGUCACCUGUACUGGUCACAGGAUUUGCGGCAACGUGCGCCUCCAAGCGCUGCUCGAGCUCCAGACGCAGCGAGGGGUGAAACAGCAGGUAUGUGGGGAAGCGCCACUGCUCCCGGUGCGCAUGUGGCAGGUCGGGCAAGGACAGGGUGAGCAGCACACCGUUGUGGUCCCCAGGCGCCCCAUACGUGCGUGCGACAUCCAGCACCCACGGCGCCGCGGUGGAACUGACAUACCACCGAUCCAGGCGUGCGGGAGUGGCUGGCUUGGGCGUGGCCGGAUGCGUGUAGCCCUUGGCGCCGCCACGCUUGCUCGCCCAAGGGUCCACCAGACUGAACUGGGCGAGGAGGCUGGCAAGUUGCGGGGCACCUGCAGCACGUGACGGGCUAGGGGCCGCCUCCUGACUGGCAUCGGUGACACAGUUCCAGUCCCCACCGACAACAAGCACCCUGUCCGAGGCCAGGUGGGUAUGCAGCCCGGCAAAGAAAGCAGGCUUGUCCGCCACGGCCGUGGGCGCAUACACACACACGAAGCGCAGGCGCAGGUGACCCACGUCCCAAUCCCAACAUACCACACGGCCCGCCGCAUCCGUUGACGGCGGCUGCAGUACGCAGCCUGGAAGGGACAGCCGACUCCGCGCCAGGAUAGCCGUCCCACAGGAGUGGGGCGACGCUGCCGGGCUGGCAGCAAGCAGUGGCGCCACGGAAGGCACGCCCCCUGCGCGGCACGAAGGCAAGACUCCAGCACCGUCGUGUCAGUAGCGUGGGUCUCCUGCACCAUCGCCACAUCCGCCCCAACUUGCUGCAGGUGCGAGACCAGCGCCCGCGCCUUGAGCGGCGAGCCCAGGCCGUUGACAUUCACUGUCAGCAGCCGAAGGUUCGCCGCUCCCACUGGUGGCCGCAUUAUGAGCCCCCGGCGGCCACGGCAGCGCCGUGGCGGGUGCGGUUGCUGUUGCUGCUGUGGUGUUUGCCGCGGCGGUCGCCACCCUGGCUGGGGGGCGCGCCGCCGCUGCUGGUGCUCAUGCUAGCGGCACCUGAGCUGGCGCCGCCGGGGUGCAAUGGAGCGCUGCCCAGGCUCAUGAGGCUGGAGGUACUGCGGCUGCGGUGCUGGCGUUGCCGGCGGCUGGGCCCGCUGGCCCCGCCGGGGUCCGCCAGCCCACGCUUAGCGGACCGCAGGGUGCGGGCGUCUAGGAGCACGUAGUCCAUGUAGGCCGUCUGCACCUGCUGCGCGGCGUCAUCCAGCUGCUCCGUCACAUCGGAAGGCAGGGGCGUGUCUGCAGGCUGGGCUGAGUAUAGGCGCCACCAGCCAGUGAACUCGUCGUGCAGCUGUGCCAGGACGGCGGUACGGCCGGCCGGCACGCGGCAGACGGCCCAGUCCGGUACGGUGGCGCCCUGGUCACGGAGGUAGGCGAGGAGGCGGCCACCAAGCGUGUCGUGGCCCAGCUGCGCCCACUCAAACCCCUGCACAUCUGCGCAGCGGUUCUGGUGCGUCACGAGGUCAGAGCCAAUGGCAACGCACGUGUCCCGGGUCAGGCAAACGGCCCCGUACUCUGCCUCACUGCCCGCACCCCCACCAGCGCGCCCAGCCGUGUCGGCCGAACCCCCAGCUGGCGCGCCCAGGCCCCUGUCCCUGCCCUUACCACCACCCGCCGGUUGUGACGUUUGCAGUGGCGGCCGCGCCUGGGGUAGCGGCUGGGGCACUGCCCGCCCCACUCCUCCACCCUGGCGCCCCAACCCGCUGCCCCCACCAGCCUGCUGUCCCCCGGUCGGCCGCCCAGUGGGCACGCGCGGCGGCGAGCUAGCACCGUCCUGCGGGGGAGGCAGCCCGCCGCCCAAGCGCCCUGCCCUCUGCUGCGGGAGCUGGGCGGGGCCACAGCGCCCUUUGGAGCGGGGCUGUUGCUGCAGCGGUGGCGGCGGUGCGUGCGCGGCUGGUUGCACCCGUCGCCCACGCCCGGGCGCCGCCGUGGCAGCGCCAUCGCCCGCCCCGUCCUGUCCCCCCAGCGUGGCCAGGACCUCGAACCGGGAGCCGGUCCGGGGCCUGGGCGGCUGCACCUGGCGCUGCUGCUCCUGCUGCUGCUGGUGCUGUACCCGCCGUUGCUGCUGGAGAUGGAGGUCCACCAUGUAGGCCAAGUACCGCUGCAUCACAGCGGUCUGCUCCUGAUCCUGCCUGGCGGCCGCCCGCUGAUCAAAGGGCGGCUGUGGCGCGGAAGCCCCACUGGGCUGCUGCUGCGCGCCAGCCGACCCAGCACAGGCAGUACGACGCCUGACCGCCGGUGGCCCCCCCACGCCUGCAGACGGCUGCCCCCCGCUAAGCCCUCCCGCUGCCACCCGCCGCUGUGAAGAGGGCUGCUGCUGUCGCUCGGCCCUUAGGGUAGCCGCAGCAGAACGGGUGCUUCCCCCCGCCACCAGAGCUGGCAGCGAGGGUGAGGCCACGGUGGGUGGUCCGCUGGCGCCACCAGCGGCAGCCCCUGCGUCACCCACACCCGCCGCCUCCUGCAUCUGCACGUCCCCCACGUGGUCAACUAUGUCAACACGUUGCCCACGCCGUGACGCCGCCACGCCAGGGCCACCGCCCGCCCCGUCCUGCCCCCCCAGCGUGGCCAGGACCACAACCUGGGAGCCGGUCCGGGGCCUGGGCGACUGCCCCUGGCGCUGCAGCUGCUGCUGCUGCUGUUGCUGUUCCUGUAACCGCCGUUGCCGCUGGAGAUUGAGGUCCGCCAGCUCGGCCAAGUACCGCUGCAUCACAGCGGUCGGCUCCUGAUCCUGCCCAGCGGCUGCCUGCUGAUCCAAGGGCGGCCGUGGCGCGGGAACGCCACUGUGCUGCUGCUGCACGCCAGCCGGCCCAGCACCGGCAGGGGGAGGCCUGGCCGCCGGCGGCCCCCCCACGCCUGCCGCCGGCUGGACCCCGCUAAGCCCUCCCGCUGACACCCACUGCUGUGAAGAGGGCUGCUGCUGCAGCGCGGCCCGCAGGGCAGCCGCAGCAGCACGGUUGCUUCCCCCCGCCACCAGAACUGGCAGCGGGGGCGGGGCCCCGCUGUGUGGCCCGCUGGCGCCACCAGCUGCAGCCGCCACGUCACCCAAACCCGCCGCCUCCUGCAUCUGCACGUCCCCCACGUGGUCAACGAUGUCCGCUGCGGUCGCCAUGGCAGCCGCGGGCCUCGCCACACCCAAGGUGUUGCCACCCAGGUCGGCGACCCUGGCUGCAGCCGGAGCAGGGCUGCCUGCCGCAGCUGUCGUGGCUGCCCCAGCCGCCUGGGGGGCGCCACGGACCUCCACCUGCAUGGGCUCCUCACCGGGCAUCUCAAACUUGGCACAGUGCAGGUGAGAGAGCUGCGGGUCCCAGACUGGGCCCCGCACACAGGCAAAGAUGUGGUUGGUGAUGCCCUGGCCUGCGGGGGCCUGGGGCUCCCCCUUGGGGCCCACCGAUUUUGCGCACUGCUCUGAGACCACAUAAGCACACGCCAGGUUAGAGGGGUCCGAGGUGGUGGGAUAGCCGCCCGCCUGCAGCACCAAAUCGGUGCGACCGCGGAAAGCCCCCCACACAGGGCCCCCUACCAUCUUGACCGUGACGGUGUAGGUGCCCGGAAUGAUGGGCCGGGUGUCCACUGGCACGUGAACCGUGAGGACAGCCUGACCGCGCUGGAGCGGUACCGCCAGCGGCGACUUGCGCAUGAGCUCCGCUGUGAAGGCUGCUUUGCUGGUGCUGGUCGCGCGCCUGCUGAAGGCCAGCCCCGCAAACGUGCGGGAGGGGUGGCCUGUGCUGUGCAGAGAGUGGCCCUGCAAGAGCUGCGGCUGGUUGCCCUGCCGGCACAUGGUGUCCAACACUGACAGGGCAGCACUGGUCACUUCCCGGACGCCGGCUGAGGACAGCUGCUCGCCCUCUGGGAGCCCCGUGGUGGCACCCACCAGAAGGACUGGGUAGGUAGGCAGGCUGGGGCCCUGAGGCUGCGUCGUCAGGUCCUGCACGCCGUGCGCCAGGCUAUGCGUGGACAGGGCAAGGUGGAGCUGCAGCCCGGGGCUGAAGAACAGGCUGGCAGUGUUGCCCCCACCUGCAGGGGUGCGGUCCGCUGCCAAGUCUGGCAGUGGGCGGUGAUGCCCAAACGCCGGCCCCCCACACGGCACGGCAUGUGCUGCUGUGGCCGCGCCGUGUGCGGGUGUGCUGUAUGGCUGGUGUUGGCCCCUGGUGGCUUGGCUGCGCUGAGACACCAGGCGGAACCGACCAGGAUCACCCAGCAACUGCAUAGCUGCCCAAGAUCAGCACUCACAGGGCAUCACAGCAGGGCGGGCGCCAGGCAGCCAGGCACCAGGCAACAAGGGCACGAAGACGAGCCACACCCCAAAAAAACACCCAAGUGCUGCAGGGCUCCCCCGACCGCCACACCCAAAGCACCCUGCUGCACGCGCAGAUGCAAAGGACCAACCACAAAGGUUGAUACGCCGCCUGCUCCAAGCUGGUGAGUGUGGUGCUCGCCGAGAUGUUAAAAUGCCGACAAGCGAAAUGUCGCCAACUCCACGGCGACGUUCCUGAACCGCCAGAAUCCUAUUCCAUAGCUGUGUCGAGGUCCAAAGCACAAGCCGACAUAGGCUGAAGGGCGCUGGAGAGGGAGUGUCGCGCUACAGCUGCAAAGUGGACUGACGAAAAACGAGCACGCCCACAAAUGCAGACUGCUUCACAGUGGUUCGUAGGCCUUAAGAAGCCUAAAACAAAAGGAAGCAAGUCAAACAGCGCGAGAGAAAUGACGUCGACUGUUGCAAAGCUGUGCAGAAGGAAAGGAGGAUGCAAGAAUAGCAAGAGAAGAGAGUAAAGUAAAGUAAAGUAAAGUGGGUUAGCCUGGACCAGCUGUGGGUGGCUAACGCUGCGGGGGCUGUGUCCUACGUCCACUACACGGGGCGGCUCUUGGAGCCUGGGCCUGGCGUGCUGCCCCCGGCGGUGGAUGGGGCGUGGCAGCCUGCCUGUGUGCUGCAGCAUCGCAAGCCGCGGCACCUGUGGACCUUUGAAGAGCGGGCGGCGUACGAUGCAGCAUCUCCAGGGGACCGGGCGGGGGCGUGGCCUCGGGCGCCGUACUUCCUGGCGCCGGAGGCUGGGGUGGUGGUGCACCCGGAGCACUGCCGGAUUGCGGGUGUCAGCUUGGCGGACUACACGGUGCGGGACGUGCGGCGGGCCAUCACCGCGGCCAACCCGGCCGCACCUCCGGCUCCGGCCCGCCCCGCAGCCAUGCCAUGCCCGGCGCCAACACAGCAGGCGGGGGGUUCGGGGCCCCAGCCAGCGGCACAGUCGCGGCUGGCGAAGCGGGAGGCGGAGUGGCAGCGUGCAGCGGCGCAGCUGACCACCACGGCGGCGCAGCAUUUCCACAAUAACCCGGUGGCUCUGGACCCCUGGCUCCACCGCACCUCCGCGGCAGCCGGAUUGCGGGUGUCAGCUUAGCGGACUACACGGUGCGGGACGUGCGGCGGGCCAUCACCGCGGCCAACCCGGCCGCACCUCCGGCUCCGGCCCGCCCCGCAGCCAUGCCGUGCCCAGCGCCAGCACAGCAGGCGGGGGGUUCGGGGCCCCAGCCAGCGGCACAGUCGCGGCUGGCGAAGCGGGAGGCGGAGUGGCAGCGUGCAGCGGCGCAGCUGACCACCACGGCGGCGCAGCAUUUCCACAAUAACCCGGUGGCUCUGGACCCCUGGCUCCACCGCACCUCCGCGGCAGCCGGGCUGCAGAACACGCCGGCGAGAGAACUGCAGUCAUAUGCGUCCCCGUCCCAGCAGUCGGGUGAGGGGCCGCGGCGGUCCGCGCGGCUGCAGGAGCAGGCGGCGGGCGGGGCGGGACCUAGCACUGGGCCUGCCACGGCGGCGGCGGCAGCAGCGGCGGCGGUGGAGGGCGACCCUCGCAUGCCGCCCCCGGAUGCGUCCCUUCUGCGGGGUACGUGGCGGAGGCUGUGGGACAGCCACGCCAGUCGGGGGGCAAAGGUGCUGGUGUACCGGCUGCAACAUGCUUACCUGCCUUGCGGGCUGUACAGGGCGGGCAAGGGCAUUCGGCCACGGGUGACCACGGGGUGCGGGGGGUUGGGGGCGCACUGUCCUCACCCCGCCUGCGGGCCACCUGGCCCGCGGGCGUGGGCCAGCCUGACGCACAUCUUCCUGGAGUGUCCGGCUUAUGCGCAGGCGAGGACGUGGCUGCAGCAGCUGUGGGCCUGCGUUGCGCCCCAGGCGGCGGGUUAGCCUGGACCAGCUGUGGGUGGCUAACGCUGCGGGGGCUGUGUCCUACGUCCACUACACGGGGCGGCUCUUGGAGCCUGGGCCUGGCGUGCUGCCCCCGGCGGUGGAUGGGGCGUGGCAGCCUGCCUGUGUGCUGCAGCAUCGCAAGCCGCGGCACCUGUGGACCUUUGAAGAGCGGGCGGCGUACGAUGCAGCAUCACCAGGGGAACGGGCGGGGGCGUGGCCUCGGGCGCCGUACUUCCUGGCGCCGGAGGCUGGGGUGGUGGUGCACCCGGAGCACUGCCGGAUUGCGGGUGUCAGCUUAGCGGACUACACGGUGCGGGACGUGCGGCGGGCCAUCACCGCGGCCAACCCGGCCGCACCUCCGGCUCCGGCCCGCCCCGCAGCCAUGCCGUGCCCAGCGCCUGCACAGCAGGCGGGGGGUUUGGGGCCCCAGCCAGCGGCACAGUCGCGGCUGGCGAAGCGGGAGGCGGAGUGGCAGCGUGCAGCGGCGCAGCUGACCACCACGGCGGCGCAGCAUUUCCACAAUAACCCGGUGGCUCUGGACCCCUGGCUCCACCGCACCUCCGCGGCAGCCGGGCUGCAGAACACGCCGGCGAGAGAACUGCAGUCGUAUGCGUCCCCGUCCCAGCAGUCGGGUGAGGGGCCACGGCGGUCCGCGCGGCUGCAGGAGCAGGCGGCGGGCGGGGCGGGACCUAGCACUGGGCCUGCCACGGCGGCGGCGGCAGCAGCGGCGGCGGUGGAGGGCGACCCUCGCAUGCCGCCCCCGGAUGCGUCCCUUCUGCGGGGUACGUGGCGGAGGCUGUGGGACAGCCACGCCAGUCGGGGGGCAAAGGUGCUGGUGUACCGGCUGCAACAUGCUUACCUGCCUUGCGGGCUGUACAGGGCGGGCAAGGGCAUUCGGCCACGGGUGACCACGGGGUGCGGGGGGUUGGGGGCGCACUGUCCUCACCCCGCCUGCGGGCCACCUGGCCCGCGGGCGUGGGCCAGCCUGACGCACAUCUUCCUGGAGUGUCCGGCUUAUGCGCAGGCGAGGACGUGGCUGCAGCAGCUGUGGGCCUGCGUUGCGCCCCAGGCAGCGGCGCCGCCAGUGACGGACGCGGGCUUCAUGCUGGGGGACCGCAUGGGUAUGUGGGCCUCAGGCCCGCGGGGGGCGGGAGCGCUGCUGUGGAGCACUUUGCGGGCCACCUUCUUGUACGCCGUCUGGUGUGCGUACUGGUCCCGCGAGCCUGCUAAGCAGACGUCGGAGCAUGUGGUUCGGGAGGUGGUCAGCGAGCUGCGCAGGGUGAUGCGGCUGCGUUUCACUGCCGCCACGCUAACCCCUGAAACCCUGUCGGCUCUGCCCACUCAGCUGCUCACCGCACAGCUCAAGGCGGCUAAGCUGGAGCAUUUUGUUGCCAUCUGGACGGCGGGUGGCGCGCUUUGUGAAGUGGAGGAGGUUCAGGGUGGGUCACCGAAGUUGAACUUGCGGCUGACACUUGCAUCACCUGUGCAGGCCCCCUAGGCGGCGGUUCUUUCCAGGCGCUGGCGUGGCGUAUUAUCGUCAUCAGCUUAUCUGGCGCCCAUGUUUUUUAGCUCUGGCUGGCGUCGCAGCACCUGGGCGGCUGUGGGACUUCCUGCACAGCGCGUCUUGCAGCGGACUGGAGCCCGCUUAGUCAGCGCCACAUCUGGCCCGUUUAGUUUUCUGCUUGUGUCUCCUCUGCCGGUUCUCCUGGGGUGUUGCUUAAGCAACCGACUUGUGGGGGUGGGGUGGGUUUGGGCGGGGCGAGUGCGUAGCGCUGGUGUUUCUUUUUCUGGCACGCGGUGGUGGUGGUUCUUGCGGUUAGGCUGUGGUGUAGGUUGGUGCUUGGGUUAGGCCUGGCGGUGUUUUUGUGCAACCCCUCCCGGGGGGCGGGGGGGCCAGCCUCCUGCUCUGUCUGCCGGGUCGGGGUGGGGUGGGGUGGGAUGGAUGGGGGUGGUUGGUGGCGGUUUUCGAGGUGUUUGUUUUCUGUUUUUCUUCUCUUCUCUCCUCUUCUUGCCCUGUCAGGGUUCUGGUCCCGGGGACCAGGCUGCUUUCAGGCAGCAGGGGGGCAGCGCGUCUGCCCCUGUUCAACCUUGUAAGGAUGAUUCCUCAAAAAAAAAAAGGCAGCGGCGCCGCCAGUGACGGACGCGGGCUUCAUGCUGGGGGACCGCAUGGGUAUGUGGGCCUCAGGCCCGCGGGGGGCGGGCGCGCUGCUGUGGAGCACUUUGCGGGCCACCUUCUUGUACGCCGUCUGGUGUGCGUACUGGUCCCGCGAGCCUGCUAAGCAGACGUCGGAGCAUGUGGUUCGGGAGGUGGUCAGCGAGCUGCGCAGGGUGAUGCAGCUGCGUUUCACUGCCGCCACGCUAACCCCUGAAACCCUGUCGGCUCUGCCCACUCAGCUUCUCACCGCACAGCUCAAGGCGGCAAAGCUGGAGCACUUUCUUGCCAUCUGGUCGGCGGGUGGCGCGCUUUGUGAAGUGGAGGAGGUUCAGGGUGGGUCACCGAAGUUGAACUUGCGGCUGACACUUGCAUCACCUGUGCAGGCCCCCUAGGCGGCGGUUCUUUCCAGGCGCUGGCGUGGCGUAUUAUCGUCAUCAGCUUAUCUGGCGCCCAUGUAUUUUAGCUCUGGCUGGCGGCGCAGCACCUGGGCGGCUGUGGGACUUCCUGCACAGCGCGUCUUGCAGCGGGCUGGAGCCCGCUUAGUCAGCGCCACAUCUGGCCCGUUUAGUUUUCUGCUUGUGUCUCCUCUGCCGGUUCUCCUGGGGUGUUGCUUAAGCAACCGACUUGUGGGGGUGGGGUGGGUUUGGGCGGGGCGAGUGCGUAGCGCUGGUGUUUCUUUUUCUGGCGCGCGGUGGUGGUGGUUCUUGCGGUUAGGCUGUGGUGUAGGUUGGUGCUUGGGUUAGGUCUGGCGGUGUUUUUGUGCAACCCCUCCCGGGGGGCGGGGGGACCAGCCUCCUGCUCUGGCUGCCGGGUCGGGGUGGGUUGGGGUGGGGAUGGAUGGGGGUGGUUGGUGGCGGUUUUCGAGGUGUUUGUUUUCUGUUUUUCUUUUCUUCUCUUCUCUUCUUGCCCUGUCAGGGUUCUGGUCUCGGGGACCAGGCUGCUUUCAGGCAGCAGGGGGGCAGCGCGUCUGCCCCUGUUCAACCUUGUAAGGAUGAUUCCUCAAAAAAAAAAGGCGGCCCCUAGCCCAUCACGUGCUGCAGGUGCCCCGCAACUUGCCAGCCUCCUCGCCCAGUUCAGUCUGGUGGACCCUUGGGCGAGCAAGCGUGGCGGCGCCAAGGGCUACACGCAUCCGGCCACGCCCAAGCCAGCCACUCCCGCACGCCUGGAUCGGUGGUAUGUCAGUUCCACCGCGGCGCCGUGGGUGCUGGAUGUCACACGCACGUAUGGGGCGCCUGGGGACCACAACGGUGUGCUGCUCACCCUGUCCUUGCCCGACCUGCCACAUGCGCACCGGGAGCAGUGGCGCUUCCCCACAUACCUGCUGUUUCACCCCUCGCUGCGUCUGGAGCUCGAGCAGCGCUUGGAGGCGCACGUUGCCGCAAAUCCUGUGACCAGUACAGGUGACGGCGCUUGCACGCAAUGGGAGGCGGACAAGUUCUUCUUGCGGGAGGCCGCCACCAGCAUCCACCGUCGGCAUGCACGCCAGACCCGGGACGGGCUGCAUGGCGUGGUGCUGGCCGCAGACGCGGCCGCUGCCCUGGCCGACCGGCCGGGUGCCAGCACCGCGCAGCGUCAGGCUGCGGCCAUGGCCAACUUGGCGGUGCGGGAGGAGCGGGCAGCUGCCGCAGCGGCCAGCCACAAUGCCCGCGCUGCACUGAUGGAGGAGCAUGGGGAGCGGGGCACUCGCUGGUUCCAUCGGCAGGCUGACGAGCCAGCAGCCGGCGCGCAGGAGCCCAUCACGCACUUGAAGGUGCCGGGGCAACCGGCGCCUGUGGCGCUCACGGGGCCGGGCACGCGCAACACUGUCUCCGCAGCCGCUGCAGCCAUGUACAGCAGCACCAGCCCCACCGGCCUGUUCCGCGUGCAGCCGGUCUGUACGGCGUCGCAGCAGCAGCUUCUGGCGGCCAUUGACCGCAAGGUUCCGGCGGAUCUGCAGGCCGCCGCAGAGGGGUCCGGUGACGGCGCCCUCAGUGAUGCAGAGCUGAUGGCAGCGCUGGCUGGCUCCGCCAAUGGUAAAGCGCCUGGGUCGGACGGGGUCCCGUACGAGGUGUACAAGCUUUUCUGGGCGCUGCUGGGUCCGCGCUUGUGUGCUGCUGCUGCCGCUGCCUUUGCUGCCGCUGCAGACGCCCACGAUGGCGGUGAAAUGGCGGCGGCGCUGCCCGCCUCCUGGCGGGAGGGCAUCAUCACCCUCAUCUACAAGGGCAAAAGCCUGGACCGCGCCGAGCUGGCGUCGUACCGGCCCAUCACGCUGCUCAACUGCGACUUCAAGAUGGUGUCCAAGGCCGUCAGCGCCCGCCUGCAGCCCGCCCUGGAUGCAGUUGUGGAUGAGCUGCAGACCGCGUUCAUCACCGGCCGCUGGAUUGGUGACAACGCGCUGUACCUCCAAGGCCUGAUCGAAUGGAUGCGCCUGGACGUGGGCGCGGACGGCACGCCACGGCAGGGUGGUGCGCUGUACUUCUUGGACAUAGAAAAGGCGUAUGACCGGGUGCACCGGCAGUGGCUGUAUGUGUCUGCGGUGGGACUUGGGUUUGGGCCGCGCAUGCUGCGCUGGAUCCGCCUGCUCACUGCCAACGGCUCUGCCCGCGUGUGUGUGAACGGGAUGCUCUCUGACGCCUUCCCAGUGCUGAACGGCUUGCCGCAGGGCAGCACCGCCUCACCACCCCUGUGGGUCAUCCAGAUGCAGCCACUGACGUCCUUUCUGCGGCGGCAGGUGGAGCAAGGGGCACUGCGCACGCCCCUGUUACCCAGCGGCGAGCAGGCGCCACCGGCUGCCCACCACGCUGACGACACGACCCUCACGGCGCGCGACCCGGCGGUGGACGGGCCGGUCCUGAUGGCGGCAGCGUCGCCCCACUCCUGUGGGGCGGCUAUCCUGGCGCGGAGUCGGCUGUCCCUUCCAGGCUGUGUACUGCAGCCGCCGUCAACGGAUGCGGCGGGCCGUGUGGUAUGUUGGGAUUGGGACGUGGGUCACUUGCGCCUGCGCUUCGUGUGUGUGUAUGCGCCCACGGCCGUGGCGGACAAGCCUGCUUUCUUUGCCGGGCUGCAUCCCCACCUGGCCACGGACAGGGUGCUUGUUGUCGGUGGGGACUGGAACUGUGUCACCGAUGCCAGUCAGGAGGCGGCCCCUAGCCCGUCACGUGCUGCAGGUGCCCCGCAACUUGCCAGCCUCCUCGCCCAGUUCAGUCUGGUGGACCCUUGGGCAAGCAAGCGUGGCGGCGCCAAGGGCUACACGCAUCCGGCCACGCCCAAACCGGCCACUCCCGCACGCCUGGAUCGGUGGUAUGUCAGUGCCACCGCGGCACCGUGGGUGCUGGAUGUCGCACGCACGUAUGGGGCGCCUGGGGACCACAACGGUGUGCUGCUCACCCUGUCCUUGCCCGACCUGCCACAUGCGCACCGGGAGCAGUGGCGCUUCCCCACAUACCUGCUGUUUCACCCCUCGCUGCGUUUGGAGCUCGAGCAGCGCUUGGAGGCGCACGUUGCCGCAAAUCCCGUGGCCAGUACAGGUGACGGCGCUUGCACGCAAUGGGAGGCGGACAAGUUCUUCUUGCGGGAGGCCGCCACCAGCAUCCACCGUCGGCAUGCACGCCAGACCCGGGAUGGGCUGCAUGGCGUGGUGCUGGCCGCAGACACGGCCGCUGCCCUGGCCGACCGGCCGGGUGCCAGCGCCGCGCAGCGUCAGGCUGCGGCCAUGGCCAACUUGGGGGGGUCGUCUAAAUGGUUAAGACACUCAAGCCGAUUUCGUUAAGGCUUCGAGAGAUCCUGGGUUCGAAUCCCGGUCACCCCACCAGGAAGGGCCCUGGUUUACCAAAACCCAUCCACACCUUGGUGGUGUGUAGACCCCCCCUGUGGUGCAGGGAGUCUCUGGGGUACAAGGCUGGAGCUCUGGGCCUGAAACUGGAGAGCUUUCAAGUUCAAGAUCCAAGAUUCAAGUGGAGCUCUGGGCCUGUCAACUGGAGAGCUCUAGAUGAUCUGUGUGGUCAUGGCAGUGGCUGUAGUUGUCACCUAGCUGUUGAGAACUCCAGUAGGUGUGUGGUGUCACCUGGCUGUUGAGGUUUCCAGUAGGUGUGUGGUGGAACGAAACCUUCUCUUCUCUUCUCUGAUCUCUGGCCCUAUCGAGGUUCUGUGAUAUGAUCCAGGCUGCUUUGGCAGUAGGGUGGUAGUGCGUCUACCACCGCAACCUUGUAAGGAUGACUUAAAAAAAAAAAAAAACUUGGCGGUGCGGGAGGAGCGGGCAGCUGCCGCAGCGGCCAGCCACAAUGCCCGCGCUGCACUGAUGGAGGAGCAUGGGGAGCGGGGCACUCGCUGGUUCCAUCGGCAGGCUGACGAGCCAGCAGCCGGCGCGCAGGAGCCCAUCACGCACUUGAAGGUGCCGGGGCAACCGGCGCCUGUGGCGCUCACGGGGCCGGGCACGCGCAACACUGUCUCCGCAGCCGCCGCAGCCAUGUACAGCAGCACCAGCCCCACCGGCCUGUUCCACGUGCAGCCGGUCUGUACGGCGUCGCAGCAACAGCUUCUGGCGGCCAUUGACCGCAAGGUUCCGGCGGAUCUGCACGCCGCCGCUGAGGGGUCCGGUGACGGCGCCCUCAGUGAUGCCGAGCUGAUGGCAGCGCUGGCUGGCUCCGCCAAUGGUAAAGCACCUGGGUCGGACGGGGUUCCGUACGAGGUGUACAAGGUCUUCUGGGCGCUGCUCGGUCCGCGCUUGUGUGCUGCUGCUGCCGCUGCCUUUGCUGCCGCUGCAGACGCCCACGAUGGUGGCGAAAUGGCGGCGGCGCUGCCUGCUUCCUGGCGGGAGGGCAUCAUUACGCUCAUCUACAAGGGCAAAAGCCUGGACCGCGCCGAGCUGGCGUCCUACCGGCCCAUCACGCUGCUCAACUGCGACUUCAAGAUGGUGUCCAAGGCCGUCAGCGCCCGCCUGCAGCCCGCCCUGGAUGCAGUUGUGGAUGAGCUGCAGACCGCGUUCAUCACCGGCCGCUGGAUUGGUGACAACGCGCUGUACCUCCAAGGCCUGAUCGAAUGGAUGCGCCUGGACGUGGGCGCGGACGGCACGCCACGGCAGGGUGGUGCGCUGUACUUCUUGGACAUUGAAAAGGCGUAUGACCGGGUGCACCGGCAGUGGCUGUAUGCGUCCGCGGAGGGACUUGGGUUUGGGCCGCGCAUGCUGCGCUGGAUCCGCCUGCUCACUGCCAACGGCUCUGCCCGCGUGUGUGUGAACGGGAUGCUCUCUGACGCCUUCCCAGUGCUGAACGGCUUGCCGCAGGGCAGCACCGCCUCACCACCCCUGUGGGUCAUCCAGAUGCAGCCACUGACGUCCUUUCUGCGGCGGCAGGUGGAGCAAGGGGCACUGCGCACGCCCCUGUUACCCAGCGGCGAGCAGGCGCCACCGGCUGCCCACCACGCUGACGACACGACCCUCACGGCGCGCGACCCGGCGGUGGACGGGCCGGUCCUGAUGGCGGCAGUACAGCUGUUCUGCCGCGCGUCCAACGCCCGUGUCCAUCCGGACAAGAGCAAGGCCAUGGGCCUUGGCAGGUUUGCGCACCUGACGGGCCCUUGCCCACACACGGGGGUGCCGUUUACCACUGGCGCCGUGACGCACCUGGGUGUGCCCCUGUCGUGGGACUCGGAUGCGGCUGCAGCUGACUUGUACACCCGGCGGGCUCGCGGCAUGGCGUUUGUGGCGCGUCUGUGGGCUGCCCUGUCUCUGACUCUGGUUGGCCGUGUGCACAUUGCGAAGCAGGUGCUGGCGGCGAAGCUGGCCUACCACUUCAGCUUCCUCAACCCGUCGCCUGCGCAGCUGAAGGAACUCACCGACCUGGUGGACCACUUUGCUGCGCGGUCCAUGCACGCUGAGGACGCCAGCCUGGUGUCGCACGGGAACCCGCUCCUGCUGCCAAAGCGGGAAACGGCCUGUCUGACGUACAAGGAUGGGGGUGUCAACCACGUCGACCUGCCUGCGUUCCUGUCUGCCCUGCAAGCUAAGACCUUCGCCCUCCUUGCCCAGCCAGGCCGGCAACCCUGGAAGAUGCUCACCCGGGCGCUGCUUACUCAUGUGCGCCCGGACUCCGCCACCACGUGGGCGUGGGUGUACAGCGACGCGCCGGCGCCAGCGGGGCUGCCUGCCCGGCUGGCGGCCGCGGUCGGCCACAUGCAGAGCGCGGGCGUGAAACAGCAUCCACUGCAGCCAGCCACUCAGCCGCCAGCGGCGCCGCCACAGUGGCGGGUUAGCCUGGACCAGCUGUGGGUGGCUAACGCUGCGGGGGCUGUGUCCUACGUCCACUACACGGGGCGGCUCUUGGAGCCUGGGCCUGGCGUGCUGCCCCCGGCGGUGGAUGGGGCGUGGCAGCCUGCCUGUGUGCUGCAGCAUCGCAAGCCGCGGCACCUGUGGACCUUUGAAGAGCGGGCGGCGUACGAUGCAGCAUCACCAGAGGACCGGGCGGGGGCGUGGCCUCGGGCGCCGUACUUCCUGGCGCCGGAGGCUGGGGUGGUGGUGCACCCGGAGCACUGCCGGAUUGCGGGUGUCAGCUUAGCGGACUACACGGUGCGGGACGUGCGGCGGGCCAUCACCGCGGCCAACCCGGCCGCACCUCCGGCUCCGGCCCGCCCCGCAGCCAUGCCGUGCCCGGCGCCAACACAGCAGGCGGGGGCUUCGGGGCCCCAGCUGGCGGCACAGUCGCGGCUGGCGAAGCGGGAGGCGGAGUGGCAGCGUGCAGCGGCGCAGCUGACCACCACGGCGGCGCAGCAUUUCCACAAUAACCCGGUGGCUCUGGACCCCUGGCUCCACCGCACCUCCGCGGCAGCCGGGCUGCAGAACACGCCGGCGAGAGAACUGCAGUCGUAUGCGACCCCGUCCCAGCAGUCGGGUGAGGGGCCGCGGCGGUCCGCGCGGCUGCAGGAGCAGGCGGCGGGAGGGGCGGGACCUAGCACUGGGCCUGCCACGGCGGCGGCGGCAGCAGCGGCGGCGGUGGAGGGCGACCCUCGCAUGCCGCCCCCGGAUGCGUCCCUUCUGCGGGGUACGUGGCGGAGGCUGUGGGACAGCCACGCCAGUCGGGGGGCAAAGGUGCUGGUGUACCGGCUGCAACAUGCUUACCUGCCUUGCGGGCUGUACAGGGCGGGCAAGGGCAUUCGGCCACGGGUGACCACGGGGUGCGGGGGGUUGGGGGCGCACUGUCCUCACCCCGCCUGCGGGCCACCUGGCCCGCGGGCGUGGGCCAGCCUGACGCACAUCUUCCUGGAGUGUCCAGCUUAUGCGCAGGCGAGGACGUGGCUGCAGCAGCUGUGGGCCUGCGUUGCGCCCCAGGCAGCGGCGCCACCAGUGACGGACGCGGGCUUUAUGCUGGGGGACCGCAUGGGUAUGUGGGCCUCAGGCCCGCGGGGGGCGGGCGCGCUGCUGUGGAGCACUUUGCGGGCCACCUUCUUGUACGCCGUCUGGUGUGCGUACUGGUCCCGCGAGCCUGCUAAGCAGACGUCGGAGCAUGUGGUUCGGGAGGUGGUCAGCGAGCUGCGCAGGGUGAUGCAGCUGCGUUUCACUGCCGCCACGCUAACCCCUGAAACCCUGUCGGCUCUGCCCACUCAGCUUCUCACCGCACAGCUCAAGGCGGCUAAGCUGGAGCACUUUCUUGCCAUCUGGUCGGCGGGUGGCGCGCUUUGUGAAGUGGAGGAGGUUCAGGGUGGGUCACCGAAGUUGAACUUGCGGCUGACGCUUGCAUCACCUGUGCAGGCCCCCUAGGUUUCCUUUUGGGCGGCGGUUCGUUCCAGGCGCUGGCGUGGCGUUUAUCGUCAUCAGCUUAUCUGGCGCCCAUGUGUUUUAGCUCUGGCUGGCGUCGCAGCACCUGGGCGGCUGUGGGACUUCCUGCACAGCGCGUCUUGCAGCGGGCUGGAGCCCGCUUAGUCAGCGCCACAUUUGGCCCGUUUAGGUUUCUGCUUGUGUCUCCUCUGCCGGUUCUCCUGGGGUGUUGCUUAAGCAACCGACUUGUGGGGGUGGGGUGGGUUUGGGCGGGGCGAGUGUGUAGCGCUGGUGUUUUCUUUUCUGGCGCGCGGUGGUGGUGGUUCUUGCGGUUAGACUAUGGUGUAGGUUGGUGCUUUGGCUAGGUCUGGCGGUGUUUUUGUGCAACCCCUCCCGGGGGGCGGGGGGGCCAGCCUCCUGCUCUGUCUGCCGGGUCGGGGUGGGGUGGGGUGGGAUGGAUGGGGGUGGUUGGUGGCGGUUUUCGAGGUGUUUGUUUUCUGCUUUUCUUCUCUUUUCUUCUCUUCUUGCCCUGUCAGGGUUCUGGUCUCGGGGACCAGGCUGCUUUCAGGCAGCAGGGGGGCAGCGCGUCUGCCCCUGUUCAACCAUGUAAGGAUGAUUCCUCAAAAAAAAAAAGCUGUUCUGCCGCGCGUCCAACGCCCGUGUCCAUCCGGACAAGAGCAAGGCCAUGGGCCUUGGCAGGUUUGCGCACCUGACGGGCCCUUGCCCACACACGGGGAUGCCGUUUACCACUGGCGCCGUGACGCACCUGGGUGUGCCCCUGUCGUGGGACUCGGAUGCGGCUGCAGCUGACUUGUACACCCGGCGGGCUCGCGGCAUGGCGUUUGUGGCGCGUCUGUGGGCUGCCUCUGACUCUCGUUGGCCGUGUGCACAUUGCGAAGCAGGUGCUGGCGGCGAAGCUGGCCUACCACUUCAGCUUCCUCAACCCGUCGCCUGCGCAGCUGAAGGAACUCACCGACCUGGUGGACCACUUUGCUGCGCGCUCCAUGCACGCUGAGGACGCCAGCCUGGUGUCGCACGGGAACCCGCUCCUGCUGCCAAAGCGGGAAACGGCCUGUCUGCCGUACAAGGAUGGGGGUGUCAACCACGUCGACCUGCCUGCGUUCCUGUCUGCCCUGCAAGCUAAGACCUUCGCCCUCCUUGCCCAGCCAGGCCGGCAACCCUGGAAGAUGCUCACCCGGGCGCUGCUUACUCAUGUGCGCCCGGACUCCGCCACCACGUGGGCGUGGGUGUACAGCGACGCGCUGGCGCCAGCGGGGCUGCCUGCCCGGCUGGCGGCCGCGGUCGGCCACAUGCAGAGCGCGGGCGUGGAACAGCAUCCACCGCAGCCAGCCACUCAGCCGCCAGCGGCGCCGCCACAGUGGCGGGUUAGCCUGGACCAGCUGUGGGUGGCUAACGCUGCGGGGGCUGUGUCCUACGUCCACUACACGGGGCGGCUCUUGGAGCCUGGGCCUGGCGUGCUGCCCCCGGUGGUGGAUGGGGCGUGGCAGCCUGCCUGUGUGCUGCAGCAUCGCAAGCCGCGGCACCUGUGGACCUUUGAAGAGCGGGCGGCGUACGAUGCAGCAUCUCCAGGGGACCGGGCGGGGGCGUGGCCUCGGGCGCCGUACUUCCUGGCGCCGGAGGCUGGGGUGGUGGUGCACCCGGAGCACUGCCGGAUUGCGGGUGUCAGCUUGGCGGACUACACGGUGCGGGACGUGCGGCGGGCCAUCACCGCGGCCAACCCGGCCGCACCUCCGGCUCCGGCCCGCCCCGCAGCCAUGCCGUGCCCGGCGCCAACACAGCAGGCGGGGGGUUCGGGGCCCCAGCCAGCGGCACAGUCGCGGCUGGCGAAGCGGGAGGCGGAGUGGCAGCGUGCAGCGGCGCAGCUGACCACCACGGCGGCGCAGCAUGGUUCCACCACUGGAAGCAAGCGGGCGGCGUACGAUGCAGCAUCACCAGGGGACCGGGCGGGGGCGUGGCCUCGGGCGCCGUACUUCCUGGCGCCGGAGGCUGGGGUGGUGGUGCACCCGGAGCACUGCCGGAUUGCGGGUGUCAGCUUAGCGGACUACACGGUGCGGGACGUGCGGCGGGCCAUCACCGCGGCCAACCCGGCCGCACCUCCGGCUCCGGCCCGCCCCGCAGCCAUGCCGUGCCCAGCGCCAGCACAGCAGGCGGGGGGUUCGGGGCCCCAGCCAGCGGCACAGUCGCGGCUGGCGAAGCGGGAGGCGGAGUGGCAGCGUGCAGCGGCGCAGCUGACCACCACGGCGGCGCAGCAUUUCCACAAUAACCCGGUGGCUCUGGACCCCUGGCUCCACCGCACCUCUGCGGCAGCCGGGCUGCAGAACACGCCGGCGAGAGAACUGCAGUCGUAUGCGUCCCCGUCCCAGCAGUCGGGUGAGGGGCCGCGGCGGUCCGCGCGGCUGCAGGAGCAGGCGGCGGGCGGGGCGGGACCUAGCACUGGGCCUGCCACGGUGGCGGCGGCAGCAGCGGCGGCGGUGGAGGGCGACCCUCGCAUGCCGCCCCCGGAUGCGUCCCUUCUGCGGGGUACGUGGCGGAGGCUGUGGGACAGCCACGCCAGUCGGGGGGCAAAGGUGCUGGUGUACCGGCUGCAACAUGCUUACCUGCCUUGCGGGCUGUACAGGGCGGGCAAGGGCAUUCGGCCACGGGUGACCACGGGGUGCGGGGGGUUGGGGGCGCACUGUCCUCACCCCGCCUGCGGGCCACCUGGCCCGCGGGCGUGGGCCAGCCUGACGCACAUCUUCCUGGAGUGUCCGGCUUAUGCGCAGGCGAGGACGUGGCUGCAGCAGCUGUGGGCCUGCGUUGCGCCCCAUGCAGCGGCGCCGCCAGUGACGGACGCGGGCUUCAUGCUGGGGGACCGCAUGGGUAUGUGGGCCUCAGGCCCGCGGGGGGCGGGAGCGCUGCUAUGGAGCACUUUGCGGGCCACCGUCUUGUACGCCGUCUGGUGUGCGUACUGGUCCCGCGAGCCUGCUAAGCAGACGUCGGAGCAUGUGGUUCGGGAGGUGGUCAGCGAGCUGCGCAGGGUGAUGCGGCUGCGUUUCACUGCCGCCACGCUAACCCCUGAAACCCUGUCGGCUCUGCCCACUCAGCUGCUCACCGCACAGCUCAAGGCGGCUAAGCUGGAGCACUUUGUUGCCAUCUGGACGGCGGGUGGCGCGCUUUGUGAAGUGGAGGAGGUUCAGGGUGGGUCACCGAAGUUGAACUUGCGGCUGACACUUGCAUCACCUGUGCAGGCCCCCUAGGCGGCGGUUCUUUCCAGGCGCUGGCGUGGCGUAUUAUCGUCAUCAGCUUAUCUGGCGCCCAUGUUUUUUAGCUCUGGCUGGCGUCGCAGCACCUGGGCGGCUGUGGGACUUCCUGCACAGCGCGUCUUGCAGCGGACUGGAGCCCGCUUAGUCAGCGCCACAUCUGGCCCGUUUAGUUUUCUGCUUGUGUCUCCUCUGCCGGUUCUCCUGGGGUGUUGCUUAAGCAACCGACUUGUGGGGGUGGGGUGGGUUUGGGCGGGGCGAGUGCGUAGCGCUGGUGUUUCUUUUUCUGGCGCGCGGUGGUGGUGGUUCUUGCGGUUAGGCUGUGGUGUAGGUUGGUGCUUGGGUUAGGUCUGGCGGUGUUUUUGUGCAACCCCUCCCGGGGGGCGGGGGGGCCAGCCUCCUGCUCUGUCUGCCGGGUCGGGGUGGGGUGGGGUGGGAUGGUUGGGGGUGGUUGGUGGCGGUUUUCGAGGUGUUUGUUUUCUGUUUUUCUUCUCUUCUCUCCUCUUCUUGCCCUGUCAGGGUUCUGGUCCCGGGGACCAGGCUGCUUUCAGGCAGCAGGGGGGCAGCGCGUCUGCCCCUGUUCAACCUUGUAAGGAUGAUUCCUCAAAAAAAAAAAAAGCAUUUCCACAAUAACCCGGUGGCUCUGGACCCCUGGCUCCACCGCACCUCCGCGGCAGCCGGGCUGCAAAACACGCCGGCGAGAGAACUGCAGUCGUAUGCGUCCCCGUCCCAGCACUCGGGUGAGGGGCCGCGGCGGUCCGCGCGGCUGCAGGAGCAGGCGGCGGGAGGGGCGGGACCUAGCACUGGGCCUGCCACGGCGGCGGCGGCAGCAGCGGCGGCGGUGGAGGGCGACCCUCGCAUGCCGCCCCCGGAUGCGUCCCUUCUGCGGGGUACGUGGCGGAGGCUGUGGGACAGCCACGCCAGUCGGGGGGCAAAGGUGCUGGUGUACCGGCUGCAACAUGCUUACCUGCCUUGCGGGCUGUACAGGGCGGGCAAGGGCAUUCGGCCACGGGUGACCACGGGGUGCGGGGGUUUGGGGGCGCACUGUCCUCACCCCGCCUGCGGGCCACCUGGCCCGCGGGCGUGGGCCAGCCUGACGCACAUCUUCCUGGAGUGUCCGGCUUAUGCGCAGGCGAGGACGUGGCUGCAGCAGCUGUGGGCCUGCGUUGCGCCCCAGGCAGCGGCGCCACCAGUGACGGACGCGGGCUUCAUGCUGGGGGACCGCAUGGGUAUGUGGGCCUCAGGCCCGCGGGGGGCGGGCGCGCUGCUGUGGAGCACUUUGCGGGCCACCUUCUUGUACGCCGUCUGGUGUGCGUACUGGUCCCGCGAGCCUGCUAAGCAGACGUCGGAGCAUGUGGUUCGGGAGGUGGUCAGCGAGCUGCGCAGGGUGAUGCAGCUGCGUUUCACUGCCGCCACGCUAACCCCUGAAACCCUGUCGGCUCUGCCCACUCAGCUUCUCACCGCACAGCUCAAGGCGGCAAAGCUGGAGCACUUUCUUGCCAUCUGGUCGGCGGGUGGCGCGCUUUGUGAAGUGGAGGAGGUUCAGGGUGGGUCCCCGAAGUUGAACUUGCGGCUGACACUUGCAUCACCUGUGCAGGCCCCCUAGGCGGCGGUUCUUUCCAGGCGCUGGCGUGGCGUAUUUACACGGGGCGGCUCUUGGAGCCUGGGCCUGGCGUGCUGCCCCCGGCGGUGGAUGGGGCGUGGCAGCCUGCCUGUGUGCUGCAGCAUCGCAAGCCGCGGCACCUGUGGACCUUUGAAGAGCGGGCGGCGUACGAUGCAGCAUCACCAGGGGAACGGGCGGGGGCGUGGCCUCGGGCGCCGUACUUCCUGGCGCCGGAGGCUGGGGUGGUGGUGCACCCGGAGCAAUGCCGGAUUGCGGGUGUCAGCUUGGCGGACUACACGGUGCGGGACGUGCGGCGGGCCAUCACCGCGGCUAACCCGGCCGCACCACCGGCUCCGGCCCGCCCUGCAGCCAUGCCGUGCCCAGCGCCAGCACAGCAGGCGGGGGGUUCGGGGACCCAGCCGGCGGCACAGUCGCGGCUGGUGGAGCGGGAGGCGGAGUGGCAGCGUGCAGCGGCGCAGCUGACCACCACGGCGGCACAGCAUUUCCACAAUAACCCGGUGGCUCUGGACCCCUGGCUCCACCGCACCUCUGCGGCAGCCGGGCUGCAGAACACGCCAGCGAGAGAACUGCAGUCGUAUGCGUCCCCGUCCCAGCAGUCAGGUGAGGGGCCGCGGCGGUCCGCGCGGCUUUUUUUUUUUUUUUGCAGGCGGCGGGCGGGGCGGGACCUAGCACUGGGCCUGCCACGGCGGCGGCGGCAGCAGCGGCGGCGGUGGAGGGCGACCCUCGCAUGCCGCCCCCGGAUGCGUCCCUUCUGCGGGGUACGUGGCGGAGGCUGUGGGACAGCCACGCCAGUCGGGGGGCAAAGGUGCUGGUGUACCGGCUGCAACAUGCUUACCUGCCUUGCGGGCUGUACAGGGCGGGCAAGGGCAUUCGGCCACGGGUGACCACGGGGUGCGGGGGGUUGGGGGCGCACUGUCCUCACCCCGCCUGCGGGCCACCUGGCCCGCGGGCGUGGGCCAGCCUGACGCACAUCUUCCUGGAGUGUCCGGCUUAUGCGCAGGCGAGGACGUGGCUGCAGCAGCUGUGGGCCUGCGUUGCGCCCCAGGCAGCGGCGCCGCCAGUGACGGACGCGGGCUUCAUGCUGGGGGACCGCAUGGGUAUGUGGGCCUCAGGCCCGCGGGGGGCGGGAGCGCUGCUAUGGAGCACUUUGCAGGCCACCUUCUUGUACGCCGUCUGGUGUGCGUACUGGUCCCGCGAGCCUGCUAAGCAGACGUCGGAGCAUGUGGUUCGGGAGGUGGUCAGCGAGCUGCGCAGGGUGAUGCGGCUGCGUUUCACUGCCGCCACGCUAACCCCUGAAACCCUGUCGGCUCUGCCCACUCAGCUGCUCACCGCACAGCUCAAGGCGGCUAAGCUGGAGCACUUUGUUGCCAUCUGGACGGCGGGUGGCGCGCUUUGUGAAGUGGAGGAGGUUCAGGGUGGGUCACCGAAGUUGAACUUGCGGCUGACACUUGCAUCACCUGUGCAGGCCCCCUAGGCGGCGGUUCUUUCCAGGCGCUGGCGUGGCGUAUUAUCGUCAUCAGCUUAUCUGGCGCCCAUGUUUUUUAGCUCUGGCUGGCGUCGCAGCACCUGGGCGGCUGUGGGACUUCCUGCACAGCGCGUCUUGCAGCGGACUGGAGCCCGCUUAGUCAGCGCCACAUCUGGCCCGUUUAGUUUUCUGCUUGUGUCUCCUCUGCCGGUUCUCCUGGGGUGUUGCUUAAGCAACCGACUUGUGGGGGUGGGGUGGGUUUGGGCGGGGCGAGUGCGUAGCGCUGGUGUUUCUUUUUCUGGCGCGCGGUGGUGGUGGUUCUUGCGGUUAGGCUGUGGUGUAGGUUGGUGCUUGGGUUAGGUCUGGCGGUGUUUUUGUGCAACCCCUCCCGGGGGGCGGGGGGGCCAGCCUCCUGCUCUGUCUGCCGGGUCGGGGUGGGAUGGGGUGGGAUGGUUGGGGGUGGUUGGUGGCGGUUUUCGAGGUGUUUGUUUUCUGUUUUUCUUCUCUUCUCUCCUCUUCUUGCCCUGUCAGGGUUCUGGUCCCGGGGACCAGGCUGCUUUCAGGCAGCAGGGGGGCAGCGCGUCUGCCCCUGUUCAACCUUGUAAGGAUGAUUCCUCAAAAAAAAAAAUACGCCUUUUCUAUGUCCAAGAAGUACAGCGCACCACCCUGCCGUGGCGUGCCGUCCGCGCCCACGUCCAGACGCAUCCAUUCGAUCAGGCCUUGGAGGUACAGCGCGUUGUCUCCAAUCCAGCGGCCGAUGAUGAACGCGGUCUGCAGCUCAUCCACAACUGCAUCCAGGGCGGGCUGCAGGCGGGCGCUGACGGCCUUGGACACCAUCUUGAAGUCGCAGUUGAGCAGCGUGAUGGGCCGGUAGGACGCCAGCUCGGCGCGGUCCAGGCUUUUGCCCUUGUAGAUGAGGGUGAUGAUGCCCUCCCGCCAGGAGGCGGGCAGCGCCGCCGCCAUUUCACCGCCAUCGUGGGCGUCUGCAGCGGCAGCAAAGGCAGCGGCAGCAGCAGCACACAAGCGCGGGCCCAGCAGUGCCCAGAAAACCUUGUACACCUCGUACGGGACCCCGUCCGACCCAGGCGCUUUACCAUUGGCGGAGCCAGCCAGCGCUGCCAUCAGCUCGGCAUCACUGAGGGCGCCGUCACCGGACCCCUCUGCGGCGGCCUGCAGAUCUGCCGGAACCUUGCGGUCAAUGGCCGCCAGAAGCUGCUGCUGCGACGCCGUACAGACCGGCUGCACGCGGAACAGGCCGGUGGGGCUGGUGCUGCUGUACAUGGCUGCAGCGGCUGCGGAGACAGUGUUGCGCGUGCCCGGCCCCGUGAGCGCCACAGGCGCCGGUUGCCCCGGCACCUUCAAGUGCGUGAUGGGCUCCUGCGCGCCGGCUGCUGGCUCGUCAGCCUGCCGAUGGAACCAGCGAGUGCCCCGCUCCCCAUGCUCCUCCAUCAGUGCAGCGCGGGCAUUGUGGCUGGCCGCUGCGGCAGCUGCCCGCUCCUCCCGCACCGCCAAGUUGGCCAUGGCCGCAGCCUGACGCUGCGCGGCGCUGGCACCCGGCCGGUCGGCCAGGGCAGCGGCCGUGUCUGCGGCCAGCACCACGCCAUGCAGCCCGUCCCGGGUCUGGCGUGCAUGCCGACGGUGGAUGCUGGUGGCAGCCUCCCGCAAGAAGAACUUGUCCGCCUCCCAUUGCGUGCAAGCGCCGUCACCUGCACUGGUCACAGGAUUUGCGGCAACGUGCGCCUCCAAGCGCUGCUCGAGCUCCAGACGCAGCGAGGGGUGAAACAGCAGGUAUGUGGGGAAGCGCCACUGCUCCCGGUGCGCAUGUGGCAGGUCGGGCAAGGACAGGGUGAGCAGCACACCGUUGUGGUCCCCAGGCGCCCCAUACGUGCGUGCGACAUCCAGCACCCACGGCGCCGCGGUGGAACUGACAUACCACCGAUCCAGGCGUGCGGGAGUGGCUGGCUUGGGCGUGGCCGGAUGCGUGUAGCCCUUGGCGCCGCCACGCUUGCUCGCCCAAGGGUCCACCAGACUGAACUGGGCGAGGAGGCUGGCAAGUUGCGGGGCACCUGCAGCAUGUGACAGGCUAGGGGCCGCCUCCUGACUGGCAUCGGUGACACAGUUCCAGUCCCCACCGACAACAAGCACCCUGUCCGUGGCCAGGUGGGGAUGCAGCCCGGCAAAGAAAGCAGGCUUGUCCGCCACGGCCGUGGGCGCAUACACACACACAAAGCGCAGGUGCAGGUUUUUUUUUUUGAGGAAUCAUCCUUACAAGGUUGAACAGGGGCAGACGCGCUGCCCCCCUGCUGCCUGAAAGCAGCCUGGUCCCAGGACCAGAACCCUGACAGGGCAAGAAGAGGAGAGAAGAGAAGAAAAACAGAAAACAAACACCUCGAAAACCGCCACCAACCACCCCCAUCCAUCCCACCCCACCCCACCCCGACCCGGCAGACAGAGCAGGAGGCUGGCCCCCCCGCCCCCCGGGAGGGGUUGCACAAAAACACCGCCAGACCUAACCCAAGCACCAACCUACACCACAGCCUAACCGCAAGAACCACCACCACCGCGCGCCAGAAAAAGAAACACCAGCGCUACGCACUCGCCCCGCCCAAACCCACCCCACCCCCACAAGUCGGUUGCUUAAGCAACACCCCAGGAGAACCGGCAGAGGAGACACAAGCAGAAAACUAAACGGGCCAGAUGUGGCGCUGACUAAGCGGGCUCCAGUCCGCUGCAAGACGCGCUGUGCAGGAAGUCCCACAGCCGCCCAGGUGCUGCGACGCCAGCCAGAGCUAAAAAACAUGGGCGCCAGAUAAGCUGAUGACGAUAAUACGCCACGCCAGCGCCUGGAAAGAACCGCCGGGUGACCCAGGUGACAGGUGACCCAGCCACGUCCCAAUCCCAACAUACCACACGGCCUGCCGCAUCCGUUGACGGCGGCUGCAGUACGCAGCCUGGAAGGGACAGCCGACUCCGCGCCAGGACAGCCGUCCCACAGGAGCGGGGCGACGCUGCCGGGCUGGCAGCAAGGCAGUGGCGCCACGGAAGGCACGCCCCCUGCGCGGCACGGAGGCAAGACUCCAGCGCGGUUGUGUCAGUAGCGUGGGUCUCCUGCACCAUCACCACAUCCGCCCCAACUUGCUGCAGGUGCGAGACCAGCGCCCACGCCUUGAACGGCGAGCCCAGGCCGUUGACAUUCACUGUCAGCAGCCGAUCGAAGGUUCGCUGCGCCCACUGGUGGCCGCAUUAUGACACAUACCCAUGCGGUCCCCCAGCAUAAAGCCCGCGUCCGUCACUGGCGGCGCCGCUGCCUGGGGCGCAACGCAGGCCCACAGCUGCUGCAGCCACAUCCUCGCCUGCACAUAAGCUGGACACUCCAGGAAGAUGUGCGUUAGGCUGGCCCACGCCCGCGGGCCAGGUGGCCCGCAGGCGGGGUGAGGACAGUGCGCCCCCAACCCCCCGCACCCCGUGGUCACCCGAGGACGAAUUCCCUUUUUUUUUGAGGAAUCAUAAUAAUAAUAAUAUCUACGCAGGGCACAGGUGCCCGCGUGUCUUAAGGAGGAGUGAGACAAGCUCACCCCACCAUUGGAAAACUUGAUUUCCCUACCCCGGCUCCCCUGCGCGGGGGCCGCCAUUGGCGGUCCCCUGGGUGCGGCCUCCCGGGCGGCAUCGGGUGUUGGCAAUGCCCAUCUCUCGCUCUAGCCGGUAGUACAGGUUUGCGGUGCCCCGGAGUGUGGUGACGCUAUGCAUGUGGAGACGUGUGCAGCAGGCCUUGGCUGCCUGCGGUUUGGCUCCUAGGUCUUUGAGGAGAGUUUCAAGGGUACGGGGGACAGUGCCACCGUGGCCCAGUGUAAUAACGUGUUGAGUAUCGUAGUGCACAGUCCACCCUGCAGCUCGCAUGGCAGUGGCAAGGGUGGCGUGCUGUGCUUGUUUUUGAAUGAGCUUCUCGCUGUGGUGCAGGUCAGAGGUGUAUCCAACUUCAAGGAUGUACACUGGGUAGGCCCCUUUGUUGGCUGGUGGGGAUGUCAUGAAGCGUUCUGCUUCGGACCUGGGAAGGUUCGGGAUAAACAGAAUGUCAGGCCGCAUCCUGUUGAGGUCUGCGGCGGGCACUUGUGGGCAGAGCCAUGACGGCGGCCGCAUGCCCGCACAGUACUCAGGCAGUUCAGCUCGGGAGGUGGCAUCCAUUAUCAUGUAGCCACCACCAUUGUGACCAUGGUGUAGGCAUUCGGCAAUCGUCCGCACUGCAGUGUUGUGUUUGGCUAUCCUAGCGCCAACGAGUUGGGGGUGCGCGCAGUGGCCGGCAAGGUGACCUGCGGUGCCACGCUCUGGGUCAGAUCCGCGGCUGCGCUGGGUGUGGGCACAGAGACCACAUUUGUCGCUGUCUCGUAGUUUAAACAAAGCCAGCCGGGCCGGGCAGAUGAGGCCUCCCUGACGAGCAUUCUGUAUGAACCGGCGUAGGCCGUGGCUGGCGUCCGAGUUCGUCAUGUACGCGUUACUGGCGCGUGGGUCAAGGCUGGGUGCUGCCUCGGCCCAUUUCUCAGUGUACAGGGUUUUGUUGGCGUAUCCACCACGGCAGCUGGGGGCCAUUGCCCUGGUGAGGCCCCGGUUUAGGUCCGACACGUAGUGUGUGGCUGUGCUAUCGUCGUCCCUGGUGACCGUGAAGGUCGGCCACCAGUGCCGGGCGUGCGGGUCGUUGUCGGCCGGUUCGGAUACAUCGGCGGGUUUUUCCUGGGUGGCAACGGCAGCCGCCCCUUUAUCGGCUUCCUCGUUGCCGUGUAGCCCGGUGUGCGAGAUCACUUUAAUUAGAGCGGUGGGUGCGCCCCGGGCGUGGCGUGCAUGGAGCAAUGCCACGAUUGAAUCCAGGAGGUCCCGAUGUUUACUCAGAUGCAGUCGCCGGGGCUCGUUAAUAGCUCGUUUGAUUAGGUACAAGCUUGCAACAGAAUCUGAUGCAAUAGUGAGCUUCUUAGUUGCAAAUUCUUUACCUUCGCCACCAAAUUCUGCGAGGGCAGCACGAAUUGCUGCCAGUUCAGCUCUCGUAAUAGUGUUUGUGCACCCAGCGCCAUUUGGAUUCACGUAGACAACGCGAGAAUCGCUGAACCAGGCGCAGGCACCGGCAACCUGGACUUCUUUGCCAUUUUCAGUUUUGAUUUUGCUUACCGAACCAUCUGUCCAGACAGUGCCAUUCACGUCGUGGGCCAGAGCAUGGUGGGUCUGGAAUCGCGCGUUAGGAAAGCGUCGUGCUUCGUCAGCCAUGGCGUGUAUCGUCUUUGGGUUAGCGUGCUGAUAUUUGGCUUGCUUUAGAAGUGAGUUUGGGAGGGCCGGGCAGGUUGGGGCCGUGGCCGUGUGUGUCCACGUGCGCGGGUCGCUGAUGUGCGUGGGUGCGUUCGCCCCCCGUUUCAGUGUGUCCACGAGCCGUUUCAGGCGGGGGGCAAAGCACUGGAGUCCGGCGGGGUUCCCAACAAUGACCAGUCGGAGCCCCUUCUGGCGUUCAGCCUGGGUGUUGGUGCCAAGUCCUGUGUCGAGGCCCGCGGUGCCCGCGGACCAGUUGGCCAGCUCGUGGCAAAGUGGGUGUUGAAGCCACUGCGUGUGGGGGAAAGUGGCCGCUUUGGGGAGCGCCAAUACAGUAAGGGUUGGUUCCUGUGAGUCACGCAUAGCCUCGGCGCAUGCGAGGGCCCACAUGAGCGCCUUCCGUGCAUCGUGGGGGGUAGAGGGGGGGUGGGCAUAUUGCAAGCCGGUCCAUGCGGUCUGGUAGGCAUCGUGCAGUGCGCCAAAGGUCCCAUCAGCAGGGUCUCGUGUCCAGUAUUCGUGGGCUGCAGUGGAGGAGUUUAGUGGGGACGCAAACAUUUCCCGAAUGUGUACUGCUUGUGUGACCCGCAGGCAUUGGACGAUGGCUGCUACUGUGCCUGCCGGCAGCGACACCUGGUGCAUUGGCAUGGCCUUGCGGUCCUGCUGCGCCGGGUCAUAGCGGUAGCGCAUGAUGAGGGCAGCGACCGCUUCCUCAAAGGCGUUGGGCCGCUGGUUGCCGGUGUGCCUGAAGCGCUCCCACAGGGUAAGGAGGCGGGGGUAGGUGAUGGUGCCCAGCCAGCGGCCACUGGGUUCAUGGACGUGUGCCUCAGCUGGGUCACGGCGGGUGCCACCAGUGGUGGUAAUUGUGUAUGCUCCGGGGGCCACGAUGUCCUUGUAGGGGUUGCACGGGCUUGUGGUGAUGGUGGUGGUCGUGCGGAUGUCACGCGCGCGGGAUGCGGUAUCCAGGGGCUCGGCGUCAUGGCGGCCUUGGCGCUGUCUGGCGGUAAGGUUCCGAUCAGGUGCGGGGCGCACUGUUCGGGGCCGCGGGCCUUGGUUGGUACCGUUUGCUAGCCGGGUUUUGCACUCCUCCAGUAACUCCUCCCAUUGUGGACUGUGUUUUAGGUCCCGUUCACGGUCCGUGCUCGGCGCCCACGUGACAUGUCGCAGGAGUUUGGUCGUCCAGGACGAGAAUAGGGGGGCCCCAGUGGGCUGCGGUGCUGCCGGCUCUGCAGCUUGGGCAUGCUCUUCAGGUGAGAUUGCGUGGGCUUGGGUUUCAGCCGGAGGCUCAGCCUCGGUCUGCGCAGGUUGUGGGCCUGGGCGCGUCGCAAGAGGGUGCUUGUAGCACCUGGCAUUCUGGAUAGUUGCGUAGCCCAUGCGAACAAAAGCAGAGACAAUGCCGGCUGGGCAAAUGGACGGCUUCCACUGCACCUUCCAGUAUUUUUCACGUGUCCCAGAGGUGUCCUCUCUGGCUUUGCGCUUCCGUGUCAGUUCUUUGUCCGUGACAGUUUGUUUGUUUUCGCUGUGCAGGACCUGUGCCAGUUCCUGUCCGUCAUUGUCCAGGUCGUAGGUGAGUUGAGUGUCACCGUUCGUGCGGUUGUCGGCGGGCCGUGGGACUAGAUCGUGUGUGAUCCUGGCGCGGGCCAGUCGCCAGCUGGGACGGGCCCCGUGACCUCCCGCAGCUUGCACUGCCGGGGCGGUCAGGGGCGGCGCUGGGCUGUCGACGUCCAUGGGGUCGUUGUGCGCGGCAGCCUGGUUGGUUUCCAUAGGCAAUCCUGUGUUGUUCAGGUACUCGCUUAUGGCGUUGGGUUCGGGGUUGGCAGCAUUAGCCGUGAGGCGGGUUGUGAGGGCGGGUGGUAGCCCACGGCGCUGUUGGCGUGGUUCGACAGCAUGUGCAAGGGAGGGUGGGUCUUGUGGGUGUGGGUGGCAGAUCCGCAUGUGUCCUGUCAUGUCUUUGGCGAGCGCUUGGAAUACCGAGCAUGCCGUUUCGUACCCCCGCGUGCCCACCGGCAGGCUCUCAUCGCCGUUGGUGAGCCGCAGGGCAUGGUUGAUGGCGGCGCGGUCCCCGGUGAGUAGGUCCUCAGGGGUAGUGCGUGUAGUUUCUGCAAUGCGUGCGCGUUGCGCUGCAUGUUUUGUAACGCGCCGUGCGCGUGUUUGGUUCUGUGGCCGGCGUGUUGUAGCUGGCUUGCGGGCUCUGGCCGGUGGCCGUAGGGAGGGUUGCGUUGCCCCAUUAGCGGGGAUUUCCGGUGCAGCAGCACCUUGUGCGCCGGGAUGGGCCUGGGCCGCCCCUGCUGGGGAGGGGGGGGCUAGGUCGGCGGGGGUUUGCGUGGUGUUUGCUUGGGCGGGGGGCGCCUCCGGGAGGGGCUGCAGGUACCGGUCGAGGGGGUUGGCCAUUCCGAGAGGGAGGGGGUCCGCCCUCAUGGCUAAGGCCACGAUUGCGGCCACGUCAGGCAGUGCACGCUGUGCGGUGGUCAGGGGGGCAGGGCUGCCGUGGGCUGGAGCGUUUUCCCCUGCACGUGCAGCCAUACUGAGAGCAAGGCUAAGCCUGUUCAGGGCUACCUUGUGCUUGUGCCGGACCCGGCUCGCUCCCAUGUGCUUCUCGAGGUCCGAGCUAGUAAUCAGGUGUUUGCCUGUGUUGCGGUCCACCAGGUGGCUCAGUUCGAGCCUCAGGUCCGCAAGAGGGAGGACGUAUUCAAUGGGGAGAGGUUCGACGCCCCGGGCCUCGGCUUCUGCCUCAAGGGCAGCGGCAAUGGACCAGGUAGGCGCAGUAAAGGCAGACCCAUUUUGGUACAGUGUGACACCGUACUCUUUUGCCAGGGUCAUCUGUUUCAGCGUCGUCAGGUGGUGUGACCUAUGGGCUGGGAGAAGGUGGGCCUGUGUGGGGCCAGCUAUGCUUGCCUGGCGCGGCAGAAGGGCUCGGGUUACUAUCCCAAGACGGCCCGAGUCAUUUAGGGCAAGGACCAGGGCCCGCUGGGCCACCCGUGCGUAUUGCGGCAGGAGGGAGCCCAGGCCCAAGCCGUAUUCGUCGGCGGGCAGGAGGGAGGUCCGGGUGGGGAAGCUGCGGGGGAGUCCGUAGCAGCGCUUUGCAUAACCAGCCAGGGUAGUGUCGAGCGUUGUUAUGUCCUGUUUUGUGAAGGGCAUUGCUGCGAAUCCAUAUGCAACUGUGGUGUGCACGCACUGUUGUAUCAUGCGCAGGCGUUGUGCCGGUGUCGCCAGGGAUGUGGCAAUGGCUGUGCCCUUGUCCUUAACAAUCUCGGUGACUCUUGCGACAUGUGCCGACCAGUCCAGCGAGAACGUGAGCUGCACUCCCAGGUAUUUGUACGGCUGGGUCGGGGGGAAGUACGGGACAGGGGUCGUGCCAAUCUUAAUUGUGUUGGUCAUGUUGCGGCGCAUGGCGGCAAGGGUAGCUUUUCCUGUGGGCCCGUCAAGGUUGGGGUCCGAGCGAGAUUUGUCGUGCCAGAUGGCGGUGGUGGCACACUUGGUGUGAUUGACACGCAGGCUCGCCCACUCGGCGUAAGAUGCGAUUUUGUCACAUUGAACCUGCAGGUCGUCGAGCGAGUUGGUGAGCACCGCCAGGUCGUCUGCGUACGCGGCGGCACUGCAAUGGUAUUGCAGGUUUUCGCUGGGGGUCAGGCAGCCGUAGUGGUAGCCCCGUCCGCCCGCAUGGAGCCAGCGGACAAGAGGUUCCAUGAACAGAAUAAAGAGCACAGGUGAGAGUGUAUCCCCUUGCACGGUGCCUCGCUCUAUAGGAAUGGCGGAUGUGCUUCCGUGUUCGGUGCGGAUGCGGGUGGUUGCAUGUGCAUAUAGGUUGCGGACUGCGCGGAUCAGGUCCGUUGGCAGCCCAAGGUCAAACAUAAUUUGCAGUAAUCGGUCCUGGUCGAUUGUGUUAAACGCGGAGCUAUAGUCCACGUAUACCGCAUAGACAUCUUUUCCAAACAGUGCGGCAUCCUCAAGGGCAUGUACUAAAUUUAGGACCUGCCUUUCGGUGUUGCAGUAGGCACGGAAGCCUUCCUGCGCUUCACUGAAUAGCUGGAGGGGGCCAGCCAGUUCGCCAAUGCCCAAGGUAAGCAUGGACGUGUACAGCUUGUAGCAGGUAUUUGCGAGCGCAAUGGGCCGUUUGUUUUUUAUGUCCAGGGUGUCUCCAGGUUUGGGGAGUAGCACGGUCUCCGAUGCGGCCCAGGUUUCAGGUAUUUGUGACUUGACGUACAUGAUUUGCAGGAUACAGUGGAGGUUGCGCUUCAUGCCCGAUGGCAGGAUACGGAGCAGUUCGUUUGGUAUGCCGUCAGGGCCUGUCGCCUUGUUUCUGGAGAGGUGAGAAAUGCACUGCUCAAAAUUUGCCGUGUCUGCCAUGCUGGGGAGCAUGGAGUGUGUGUCAGGGUGCCGGUUGCGGUCCAGUGUGAAUUGAUCUGUUGCGUCGGCUUUCUCAAAUGGGUAGCCGCGUGUGGCGUUGCUGGGUAGUCGGAAGUCCCCAGUGCGGGUGCCGCGUGGUGGGGCGGACAGCUUUCGGAAGUGGGUUUCGAGUAUGGCGAGGAUGCUGGUGGAGUCAGUCGUCACCUCCCCAGUUUCUGGGUGCCGGACCGCUGGGAGACCCCGUUCCAUGUCUUCCUUCUGAAAGAUUCUCUUGUGCCCCUGUGCAGGGCGCGUGGCCAGGGUAUGUUGCAGCGCUGUGGCAGCGGCCUCUCGCUGGGCUUUGGCGCGGUCCGCCACUAGCUGGCGGUGCUCGGCCUGGCAGGCCUUUAUUUCGUUCCGCAGCUUUGCCGCUGCAUUGGCAGCGUCUACCUCAGGUAGGGCCUGGGGCCCUUGCGUGAGGUUUGUCAGUUGUGUCUUCAGGGCCACUUCCUUGUCCCAUAGGGGCUUUAGCACCCGUGCGGUGGAGCGUGAUGCGUGGUGUUUGCCAGUGAAGGGGGCUUUCCGGGUGCACUCUUCAAGGAGGCAUGUUAGCCCGGUGUCCAGUGCGGAGGCAAGUUGUUCUGCAAGUUGGUUGAUAUCGGCCUUCUGGAUGCUCGUGUCCUGCGCCAGGUCUCGGUGCAUGACGCUGGCGGGGUAGCCUGUGGGGUCCAUGCUGUGCCUCGUGAGUGCAUGUUCAAUUGAUUGCGUUGCCUGCCUUGUUGCGGAAUGCAGGUCGGCUGUUGCUUCCACCAAGGCUUCCUCAAGGCGGAUAGCUGCGGCGGCCAGUUGCUUUUGUGUGACGGGCAGUGCGACCUCGGCCCAUCGUUGUUGGGUCUGCUGCUGGGGGGCUGGGUUCCGGGCGCCGGCCUGUGGUGCCGGCCAUAGCUGUAGGUCCGCGGCUAGUAACUCUGCGUGGACUGGUUUGUGGUCAAAGUUGCCUGCAACUGUACUGGUGUAUUCACGCGCUUCUGUGCAUGCAGCGCGCGUGGCAGGGCAUAGGAGGAUGUCAUCGAUGCGACUGUGGUAUGGGGCCAUGCCCGGGCGUGUUUGUUCAUAUGACCAUUCGGCAGUGGUAGUGGUGUCUCCGCGGAUAGGGCGCAGGCCACUAUCGGCAAGGAACCGCUGGUGGGCCCGGUCCGCCGUGUCGAUGGGGCUGUCCCGCUCAUGUGCUCGGGCAACGGCAUUAAAGUCUCCCGCGGUGACUAGGUGGUGUCCGCACGCGUCCGCCCGGCCUACCACCUGCUGACAGUAUGUGUAGAUUGCCUUGCGGGUUUGCAUGUCCUCUGGUGCGUAGAUGCCCAGUACAGUGAGAGGCGUGCUCCCGGGGGUCUUAAUUUGAACGUGUGACACAUAGCCAUGGAGUGUUGGUGGGGGCGUGUGGUGUGUGACACAGCCGAGGUCACUGUACCGGGCGGAGAUGGCCACCGCUACGCCACCGCUACCGCGCGCUGUGGCCACGCGGGGAGUAGUGCUACAGUAGAGGCGGUAUCCUUCAUUUCGGAAGGCUCGCUUGAUUGAGUCAGUCUUCCCUGUCAGUUUUGUCUCGGUUAGGACAACUAUGUCGGCUUUCCACUGGGCUAGGUUGCAGAGGGUGAAGCUGAGGUUGCCGGGUUGGCCGGUGGACAGAAUUUCUGAGAGCAGUCCCCGUACAUUGUGGGUCACGAUGUGUAGGGUGGUGUUGCUGCUGGGGGGUCUCGUGUUUGUGUGUGCCUGGUUGGGUUCCAUGUGGGCGUGGUUGCGUGCAGUGGGCCGUACUAGCCAGUUAAGGAUAGUUUGUCGGGUGCCUGUCGUGUUGAGUCGGGGUGCUAUGCCGGCAUUUGCAUUGUGUGGCUGCGCGGGUGCGGUAGUGUGGGGUGCUGCAUGCUGUGGCGCCCUGUGUGCUGCCCGCAGCGGUGAGUUGUCUUGGGCAUGUUGAGCUGGCUCUGGUGCCGGCCUUCCGGUGGCGGCGGGCCCUGUCUGCACGGGUCUGGUGGCCUCCAUGUGGGGUGGCGGGCGUGGUGGCGGGACGAUCUCACGGAGUUGCCCAAGUGCGUCCUGAAGUGUUGCCGUGUCAGAUGCACGCACCGCGUCAAGGCACCAGACCUCCCCAUCAAGUGUGUUCCAAGUGUUGUCGUGUAAGACCGUGUUGUGGAUAGGGCUGUUCACCGAGUCUAUUAUUCUCCAUUGUCCUGCUUCGUAACGCACAGCAAUUGUGUGUCGCACAGUGUACUGGUGGACGGUAAAGCCGCGAGUUCGGGCGGCUACCGGAAGGCUCUCUAGGACCUUUUCUUUGCUGAUGUCGCCGUUGAGUCGCGGAAAGUGGGUUCGGCGCAUAAUCAGCUUCCUGUUGGGGUAGGCGAAUAUGUUGCUGAUGGUGGCAUUGUGGUACAGGUAGUGGUUCAGGAGAAAUUCGCUGAAGGCGCCACUGUUGGGGCAGUAGCAUUCUUUCCAGAACAGGGCAUUCGGGUCUUGCGUGGCUGUGAGGUGAGCGUGCACUCGUUUAGCGUAAGAGAGGACAUCCAGGGGGUCGAGCCAUGCGAGCCCCAAAGAGUUGUUGAGGGCGUGGACACUGCAGAAGUGUUGCCGCUGUGUUUCACGGUAUGUGGUGUUGGGGUUUGGCGGCCAGUGCAGUGCGGCUGGUGGCCGGAUGUUCGCUGCCGCAUGCAUGCGAGGGUCGGCGGGCGCCGGCGGGGCUGUCGGGUCUGUGGGCAGCGCACCUCGCAGUGUUGGCUUGACGUAGGGCAUUGUGUGUGUCCGGUUUACUGCAUAUGUAAGCGUGAGGAGAGUGGUUGCCUGGCUAGCAGUAAGUAGGCCGGUGACCAAUGCUGGCCCCCAGAGUGCCGGCUGUGCCGGUUGCACACUGCAAGGGUCCGGCAGUGUGAGGUACAGGUUUCGCAGGAUGAUGGCCAUGGCCGUUCCCCAGAGUAGUAGCUUCCGCCGGGCCCAGGUUGCGGAGGCUAUCUGCCGUGUCACUUGGACCACAUAGUUGAGGAGAGCUGGGAGACAGAGGACGGCAAGGAUGGAUGUCACUGUCAGUGCGAACAGGAGACCGAGGGCUGCGGGGAUGGCGGUUAUCCCGAGGGCAAGCGCUAUUACACACAGUGGGGAGAGAGCAAGAGUGGUGAGUGUAGGACCCCAUAGUAGCAGGCUGAGGAUUACACCGUUUGCAUAGAUUUCCGUGUAGAUGGAGGUAGUGUGGGUUUCGGUGUGCAGGAGGUGGGUCCAGAGCAUAUACAUGGCCCCUGUCGCGGUGAUGAUGGCGAGGCUGACAAUGGCUUUGUCAAGUAUGGUGUGUAGUGCUUUGCCAGUCUGGGCGACUGUCUGGUAGGUGGCGAGUCUAGACAGGGUUGCAAGGUGUGUGCCCACUCUGAUGGCGAUUGCAUGGCUGUGCAUGGCUGCCCGUACAUGCCCUGCUCCAACCCAGUGGAGGUAGACGGCAAGUGCAAGGUGCAGGCGAAGAAGUGGCGAGUUUUCCCAGGAGGCACUACAGUUGUGGGUUGGUUGGGGCCCGUAAGCUGUUUCUGCCAUGGAGUGCAGUGCCGAAGCACCGGAGCGCAGCAUGGUUCCUCCAUGCCGACUGCCCAGGUCGCCCAGCGCAAGCACACUCGUUAACAGGCUCUCUCCAAGCAGCCCGAUUGUCUUACUCGCAUAUGAACGGUAUACUCCCUCCGCUGUGCAUAACUUUCUCAUGCCACUCCUGCAUGCCUGUGCUAUUUUCAGAUUUGUAGAAAGGAGUCCCUCCCCCACCGGUUGCAAAGCAGUUAUCAUCACAUUGCAUAUGUUGGUGCAUCCAGGCUUUGGCUUAACCUUUGCGCGCGACAGGAGUCCGCUAGGGCUUCGGUAUUGCCUUCGUUCGGAGCUUGUCGGUUGUGGUUCUGUGAGCAAACUCGCAUUUUCAUAGAGCUGGGAAUGAGCUGUAAAAUACGGGAGGCCAAGAGGCUCGGCUCGACCCCUUUCUGGGACGUCGUCGGCGAGCGGCUCUGAGGCAACUGGUAUGUGCUUGGAGCUUAUGAGCUCCUCAAAAGACGGGUGUUUUGCGGCAGUUGGGCUUUGCGAAGGUCUCUUUGGCGACAUGCCGAAAGGUUCGGCGCCAGCACGCUUGCUAGCUGUGUAGCACGUUGUGUGCAGUAUACUGGUAUCAAAUAUGCCUUUCUGAGAGCAGCGAUCCGACAAGAGCGUCGCGUUCGCGGGGUUCGAGUGUACUGUGAACAUCGAGUGCGCAAAGCUGAAGUUCUCCCUCCACACGCUACCGUGUGCGUGGUUAAUUCCAUGUGUCGCAAUGGGGCCAUCAGUGUGGCUUAGGGCUGGCAGCUGUGCGCCAGUUGCCCGGCUGUUGCAAACAUGCGAACAUCCCCCUUUCGCCGAGCUCUCGGUGCAGGUCGUGAGACCUCUUGCAGACCACUUUUGGAUUGGCAUGGUACGGUCAUGGUUGCCCAAUAGCGCGAAAGCGCUGGAAUGCCGGGGCGGUCCCCGGUCAAACCAGCGGUCGGCCGCGGCAGAGCCAGACGCGUUCCCAGCCGUGGUCGCGUUGGUUGUCAGCAUGCAGAGUGCAAAGCAUAUCAGAACGCAGAUACCUGCGGACUUUCGCUCCACCUUUCGCCGAGCAACCAUUUUCCACAUAUUUCCUAGCGACGAGCUUGCGAGGUUGGUAAGAGGUGUAUUUGUAUGCAUUCUAUACCGCAAGCGACUGCUAGCUUGAGGAAUCAUCCUCCCUUGCCCGCCCUGUACAGCCCGCAAGGCAGGUAAGCAUGUUGCAGCCGGUACACCAGCACCUUUGCCCCCCGACUGGCGUGGCUGUCCCACAGCCGCCGCCACGUACCCCGCAGAAGGGACGCAUCCGGGGGCGGCAUGCGAGGGUCGCCCUCCACUGCCGCCGCUGCUGCCGCCGCCGCCGCCGUGGCAGGCCCCGUGCUAGGCCCCGCCCCGCCCGCCGCCUGCUCCUGCAGCCGCGCGGAACGCCGCGGCCCCUCACCCGAGUGCUGGGACGGGGAUGCAUACAACUGCAGUUCUCUCGCCGGCGUGUUCUGCAGCCCGGCUGCCGCAGAGGUGCGGUGGAGCCAGGGGUGGAGGAGCACCUGAUGGAGGAGCAUGGGGAGCGGGGCACUCGCUGGUUCCAUCGGCAGGCUGACGAGCCAGCAGCCGGCGCGCAGGAGCCCAUCACGCACUUGAAGGUGCCGGGGCAACCGGCGCCUGUGGCGCUCACGGGGCCGGGCACGCGCAACACUGCCUCCGCAGCCGCUGCAGCCAUGUACAGCAGCACCAGCCCCACCGGCCUGUUCCGCGUGCAGCCGGUCUGUACGGCGUCGCAGCAGCAGCUUCUGGCGGCCAUUGACCGCAAGGUUCCGGCGGAUCUGCAGGCCGCCGCAGAGGGGUCCGGUGACGGCGCCCUCAGUGAUGCAGAGCUGAUGGCAGCGCUGGCUGGCUCCGCCAAUGGUAAAGCGCCUGGGUCGGACGGGGUCCCGUACGAGGUGUACAAGGUUUUCUGGGCGCUGCUGGGUCCGCGCUUGUGUGCUGCUGCUGCCGCUGCCUUUGCUGCCGCUGCAGACGCCCACGAUGGCGGUGAAAUGGCGGCGGCGCUGCCCGCCUCCUGGCGGGAGGGCAUCAUCACCCUCAUCUACAAGGGCAAAAGCCUGGACCGCGCCGAGCUGGCGUCGUACCGAGCCGGCGUCGUACCGGCCAGCGUACUGGCGUCGUACCGGCUGCUCAACUGCGACUUCAAGAUUUUUUUUUUUUUUUUUGAGGAAUCAUCCUUACAAGGUUGAACAGGGGCAGACGCGCUGCCCCCCUGCUGCCUGAAAGCAGCCUGGUCCCAGGACCAGAACCCUGACAGGGCAAGAAGAGGAGAGAAGAGAAGAAAAACAGAGAACAAACACCUCGAAAACCGCCACCAACCACCCCCAUCCAUCCCACCCCACCCCACCCCGACCCGGCAGACAGAGCAGGAGGCUGGCCCCCCCGCCCCCCGGGAGGGGUUGCACAAAAACACCGCCAGACCUAACCCAAGCACCAACCUACACCACAGCCUAACCGCAAGAACCACCACCACCGCGCGCCAGAAAAAGAAACACCAGCGCUACGCACUCGCCCCGCCCAAACCCACCCCACCCCCACAAGUCGGUUGCUUAAGCAACACCCCAGGAGAACCGGCAGAGGAGACACAAGCAGAAAACUAAACGGGCCAGAUGUGGCGCUGACUAAGCGGGCUCCAGUCCGCUGCAAGACGCGCUGUGCAGGAAGUCCCACAGCCGCCCAGGUGCUGCGACGCCAGCCAGAGCUAAAAAACAUGGGCGCCAGAUAAGCUGAUGACGAUAAUACGCCACGCCAGCGCCUGGAAAGAACCGCCGCCUAGGGGGCCUGCACAGGUGAUGCAAGUGUCAGCCGCAAGUUCAACUUCGGUGACCCACCCUGAACCUCCUCCACUUCACAAAGCGCGCCACCCGCCGUCCAGAUGGCAACAAAAUGCUCCAGCUUAGCCGCCUUGAGCUGUGCGGUGAGCAGCUGAGUGGGCAGAGCCGACAGGGUUUCAGGGGUUAGCGUGGCGGCAGUGAAACGCAGCCGCAUCACCCUGCGCAGCUCGCUGACCACCUCCCGAACCACAUGCUCCGACGUCUGCUUAGCAGGCUCGCAGGACCAGUACGCACACCAGACGGCGUACAAGAAGGUGGCCCGCAAAGUGCUCCACAGCAGCGCGCCCGCCCCCCGCGGGCCUGAGGCCCACAUACCCAUGCGGUCCCCCAGCAUGAAGCCCGCGUCCGUCACUGGCGGCGCCGCUGCCUGGGGCGCAACGCAGGCCCACAGCUGCUGCAGCCACGUCCUCGCCUGCGCAUAAGCCGGACACUCCAGGAAGAUGUGCGUCAGGCUGGCCCACGCCCGCGGGCCAGGUGGCCCGCAGGCGGGGUGAGGACAGUGCGCCCCCAACCCCCCGCACCCCGUGGUCACCCGUGGCCGAAUGCCCUUGCCCGCCCUGUACAGCCCGCAAGGCAGGUAAGCAUGUUGCAGCCGGUACACCAGCACCUUUGCCCCCCGACUGGCGUGGCUGUCCCACAGCCUCCGCCACGUACCCCGCAGAAGGGACGCAUCCGGGGGCGGCAUGCGAGGGUCGCCCUCCACCGCCGCCGCUGCUGCCGCCGCCGCCGUGGCAGGCCCAGUGCUAGGUCCCGCCCCGCCCGCCGCCUGCUCCUGCAGCCGCGCGGACCGCCGCGGCCCCUCACCCGACUGCUGGGACGGGGACGCAUACGACUGCAGUUCUCUCGCCGGCGUGUUCUGCAGCCCGGCUGCCGCGGAGGUGCGGUGGAGCCAGGGGUCCAGAGCCACCGGGUUAUUGUGGAAAUGCUGCGCCGCCGUGGUGGUCAGCUGCGCCGCUGCACGCUGCCACUCCGCCUCCCGCUUCGCCAGCCGCGACUGUGCCGCUGGCUGGGGCCCCGAACCCCCCGCCUGCUGUGCUGGCGCUGGGCACGGCAUGGCUGCGGGGCGGGCCGGAGCCGGAGGUGCGGCCGGGUUGGCCGCGGUGAUGGCCCGCCGCACGUCCCGCACCGUGUAGUCCGCUAAGCUGACACCCGCAAUCCGGCAGUGCUCCGGGUGCACCACCACCCCAGCCUCCGGCGCCAGGAAGUACGGCGCCCGAGGCCACGCCCCCGCCCGGUCCCCUGGUGAUGCUGCAUCGUACGCCGCCCGCUCUUCAAAGGUCCACAGGUGCCGCGGCUUGCGAUGCUGCAGCACACAGGCAGGCUGCCACGCCCCAUCCACCGCCGGGGGCAGCACGCCAGGCCCAGGCUCCAAGAGCCGCCCCGUGUAGUGGACGUAGGACACAGCCCCCGCAGCGUUAGCCACCCACAGCUGGUCCAGGCUAACCCGCCACUGUGGCGGCGCCGCUGGCGGCUGAGUGGCUGGCUGCGGUGGAUGCUGUUCCACGCCCGCGCUCUGCAUGUGGCCGACCGCGGCCGCCAGCCGGGCAGGCAGCCCCGCUGGCGCCGGCGCGUUGCUGUACACCCACGCCCACGUGGUGGCGGAGUCCGGGCGCACAUGAGUAAGCAGCGCCCGGGUGAGCAUCUUCCAGGGUUGCCGGCCUGGCUGGGCAAGGAGGGCGAAGGUCUUAGCUUGCAGGGCAGACAGGAACGCAGGCAGGUCGACGUGGUUGACACCCCCAUCCUUGUACGGCAGACAGGCCGUUUCCCGCUUAGGCAGCAGGAGCGGGUUCCCGUGCGACACCAGGCUGGCGUCCUCAGCGUGCAUGGACCGCGCAGCAAAGUGGUCCACCAGGUCGGUGAGUUCCUUCAGCUGCGCAGGCGACGGGUUGAGGAAGCUGAAGUGGUAGGCCAGCUUCGCCGCCAGCACCUGCUUCGCAAUGUGCACACGGCCAACAAGAGUCAGAGACAGGGCAGCCCACAGACGCGCCACAAACGCUAUGCCGCGAGCCCGCCGGGUGAACAAGUCAGCUGCAGCCGCAUCCGAGUCCCACGACAGGGGCACACCCAGGUGCGUCACGGCGCCAGUGGUAAACGGCACCCCCGUGUGUGGGCAAGGGCCCGUCAGGUGCGCAAACCUGCCAAGGCCCAUGGCCUUGCUCUUGUCCGGAUGGACACGGGCGUUGGACGACGUGGCACUGCGUGGCACUGCGACGACGCGGACGGCGUGGCACUGCGGACUGCAAGAUGGUGUCCAAGGCCGUCAGCGCCCGCCUGCAGCCCGCCCUGGAUGCAGUUGUGGAUGAGCUGCAGACCGCGUUCAUCACCGGCCGCUGGAUUGGUGACAACGCGCUGUACCUCCAAGGCCUGAUCGAAUGGAUGCGCCUGGACGUGGGCGCGGACGGCACGCCACGGCAGGGUGGUGCGCUGUACUUCUUGGACAUUGAAAAGGCGUAUGACCGGGUGCACCGGCAGUGGCUGUAUGCGUCCGCGGAGGGACUUGGGUUUGGGCCGCGCAUGCUGCGCUGGAUCCGCCUGCUCUCUGCCAACGGCUCUGCCCGCGUGUGUGUGAACGGGAUGCUCUCUGACGCCUUCCCAGUGCUGAACGGCUUGCCGCAGGGCAGCACCGCCUCACCACCCCUGUGGGUCAUCCAGAUGCAGCCACUGACGUCCUUUCUGCGGCGGCAGGUGGCGCAAGGGGCACUGCGCACGCCCCUGUUACCCAGCGGCGAGCAGGCGCCACCGGCUGCCCACCACGCUGACGACACGACCCUCACGGCGCGCGACCCGGCGGUGGACGGGCCGGUCCUGAUGGCGGCAGUACAGCUGUUCUGCCGCGCGUCCAACGCCCGUGUCCAUCCGGACAAGAGCAAGGCCAUGGGCCUUGGCAGGUUUGCGCACCUGACGGGCCCUUGCCCACACACGGGGGUGCCGUUUACCACUGGCGCCGUGACGCACCUGGGUGUGCCCCUGUCGUGGGACUCGGAUGCGGCUGCAGCUGACUUGUUCACCCGGCGGGCUCGCGGCAUGGCGUUUUUUUUUUUUUUGAGGAAUCAUCCUUACAAGGUUGAACAGGGGCAGACGCGCUGCCCCCCUGCUGCCUGAAAGCAGCCUGGUCCCCGAGACCAGAACCCUGACAGGGCAAGAAGAGGAGAGAAGAGAAGAAAAACAGAGAACAAACACCUCGAAAACCGCCACCAACCACCCCCAUCCAUCCCACCCCACCCCACCCCGACCCGGCAGACAGAGCAGGAGGCUGGCCCCCCCGCCCCCCGGGAGGGGUUGCACAAAAACACCGCCAGACCUAACCCAAGCACCAACCUACACCACAGCCUAACCGCAAGAACCACCACCACCGCGCGCCAGAAAAAGAAACACCAGCGCUACGCACUCGCCCCGCCCAAACCCACCCCACCCCCACAAGUCGGUUGCUUAAGCAACACCCCAGCAGAACCGGCAGAGGAGACACAAGCAGAAAACUAAACGGGCCAGAUGUGGCGCUGACUAAGCGGGCUCCAGCCCGCUGCAAGACGCGCUGUGCAGGAAGUCCCACAGCCGCCCAGGUGCUGCGACGCCAGCCAGAGCUAAAAUACAUGGGCGCCAGAUAAGCUGAUGAUGAUAAUACGCCACGCCAGCGCCUGGAAAGAACUGCCGCCUAGGGGGCCUGCACAGGUGAUGCAAGUGUCAGCCACAAGUUCAACUUCGGUGACCCACCCCGAACCUCCUCCACUUCACAAAGCGCGCCACCCGCCGACCAGAUGGCAAGAAAGUGCUCCAGCUUAGCCGCCUUGAGCUGUGCGGUGAGAAGCUGAGUGGGCAGAGCCGACAGGGUGUCAGGGGUUAGCGUGGCGGCAGUGAAACGCAGCUGCAUCACCCUGCGCAGCUCGGUGACCACCUCCCGAACCACAUGCUCCGACGUCUGCUUAGCAGGCUCGCGGGACCAGUACGCACACCAGACGGCGUACAAGAAGGUGGCCCGCAAAGUGCUCCACAGCAGCGCGCCCGCCCCCCGCGGGCCUGAGGCCCACAUACCCAUGCGGUCCCCCAGCAUGAAGCCCGCGUCCGUCACUGGUGGCGCCGCUGCCUGGGGCGCAACGCAGGCCCACAGCUGCUGCAGCCACGUCCUCGCCUGCGCAUAAGCCGGACACUCCAGGAAGAUGUGCGUCAGGCUGGCCCACGCCCGCGGGCCAGGUGGCCCGCAGGCGGGGUGAGGACAGUGCGCCCCCAACCCCCCGCACCCCGUGGUCACCCGUGGCCGAAUGCCCUUGCCCGCCCUGUACAGCCCGCAAGGCAGGUAAGCAUGUUGCAGCCGGUACACCAGCACCUUUGCCCCCCGACUGGCGUGGCUGUCCCACAGCCUCCGCCACGUACCCCGCAGAAGGGACGCAUCCGGGGGCGGCAUGCGAGGGUCGCCCUCCACCGCCGCCGCUGCUGCCGCCGCCGCCGUGGCAGGCCCAGUGCUAGGUCCCGCCCUCCCGCCGCCUGCUCCUGCAGCCGCGCGGACCGCCGCGGCCCCUCACCCGACUGCUGGGACGGGGACGCAUACGACUGCAGUUCUCUCGCCGGCGUGUUCUGCAGCCCGGCUGCCGCAGAGGUGCGGUGGAGCCAGGGGUCCAGAGCCACCGGGUUAUUGUGGAAAUGCUGCGCCGCCGUGGUGGUCAGCUGCGCCGCUGCACGCUGCCACUCCGCCUCCCGCUUCGCCAGCCGCGACUGUGCCGCUGGCUGGGGCCCCGAACCCCCCGCCUGCUGUGUUGGCGCCGGGCACGGCAUGGCUGCGGGGCGGGCCGGAGCCGGAGGUGCGGCCGGGUUGGCCGCGGUGAUGGCCCGCCGCACGUCCCGCACCGUGUAGUCCGCUAAGCUGACACCCGCAAUCCGGCAGUGCUCCGGGUGCACCACCACCCCAGCCUCCGGCGCCAGGAAGUACGGCGCCCGAGGCCACGCCCCCGCCCGUUCCCCUGGUGAUGCUGCAUCGUACGCCGCCCGCUCUUCAAAGGUCCACAGGUGCCGCGGCUUGCGAUGCUGCAGCACACAGGCAGGCUGCCACGCCCCAUCCACCGCCGGGGGCAGCACGCCAGGCCCAGGCUCCAAGAGCCGCCCCGUGUAGUGGACGUAGGACACAGCCCCCGCAGCGUUAGCCACCCACAGCUGGUCCAGGCUAACCCGCCACUGUGGCGGCGCCGCUGGCGGCUGAGUGGCUGGCUGCGGUGGAUGCUGUUCCACGCCCCACAUACCUGCUGUUUCACCCCUCGCUGCGUCUGGAGCUCGAGCAGCGCUUGGAGGCGCACGUUGCCGCAAAUCCUGUGACCAGUACACCCUACUUUACUUUACUUUACUUUACUCUCUUCUCUUGCUAUUCUUGCAUCCUCCUUUCCUUCUGCACAGCUUUGAAACAGUCGACGUCAUUUCUCUCGCGCUGUUUGACUUGCUUCCUUUUGUUUUAGGCUUCUUAAGGCCUAUGAACCACUGUGAAGCAGUCUGCAUUUGUGGGCGUGCUCGUUUUUCGUCAGUCCACUUUGCAGCUGUAGCGCGACACUCCCUCUCCAGCGCCCUUCAGCCUAUGUCGGCUUGUGCUUUGGAACUCGACACAGCUAUGGAAUAGGAUUCUGGCGGUUCAGGAACGUCGCCGUGGAGUUGGCGACAUUUCGCUUGUCGGCAUUUUAACAUCUCGGCGAGCACCACACUCACCAGCUUGGAGCAGGCGGCGUAUCAACCUUUGUGGUUGGUCCUUUGCAUCUGCGCGUGCAGCAGGGUGCUUUGGGUGUGGCGGUCGGGGGAGCCCUGCAGCACUUGGGUGUUUUUUUGGGGUGUGGCUCGUCUUCGUGCCCUUGUUGAAUAAUAAUAAUAAUUACAACACCGGCCCAUAGGGCCUGGCAUGGAUUAACGGGGCAAGGUGACUAGGGCGAGAGGGCCCGCCCCCCUCACGCUGACGCCUCACCACGAAAGAGUCACAACCUCCGAAACUACAACCUCCAAGUCCUAGGCCGCUCUUCAAAGUCCACUACAUCCAAGCCUGCACACCUAGCAUAUCGAGCUAGGGAAACGCCGCGUUAUAGUAGUGGAGCACUGCCAGUUCGUGCAAACCGAGGAGCCAUGGCGCUCCUCCUCGAGCCUUGGAUCUUGAGCCUUGUCUUGAACCUUGGACCUCGCCACUAAAUCGGACUUCUGCACCACGACCUUUCUAGGUUGUAGCGGGCAUAAGCCCGCAAUUGCCACUAAGGGCAAUUACCUAUCGUUCGUGGGAUCACCAAUCGGUUUCGCACCAAUCUUUCGCCUUUUGCGUAAUUGGGCUUUUAUCCGGAUUCAUACCCGGGUCCCUUCUGCCGUAAGGACGAGUCAAAUCGCUAACUGAGUUAGCGAUCCGGUGAUUUCGUGCCCUUGUUGCCUGGUGCCUGGCUGCCUGGCGCCCGCCCUGCUGUGAUGCCCUGUGAGUGCUGAUCUUGGGCAGCUAUGCAGUUGCUGGGUGAUCCUGGUCGGUUCCGCCUGGUGUCUCAGCGCAGCCAAGCCACCAGGGGCCAACACCAGCCAUACAGCACACCCGCACACGGCGCGGCCACAGCAGCACAUGCCGUGCCGUGUGGGGGGCCUGCGUUUGGGCAUCACCGCCCACUGCCAGACUUGGCAGCGGACCGCACCCCUGCAGGUGGGGGCAACACUGCCAGCCCGUUCUUCAGCCCCGGGCUGCAGCUCCACCUUGCCCUGUCCACGCAUAGCCUGGCGCACGGCGUGCAGGACCUGACGACGCAGCCUCAGGGCCCCAGCCUGCCUACCUACCCAGUCCUUCUGGUGGGUGCCACCACGGGGCUCCCAGAGGGCGAGCAGCUGUCCUCAGCCGGCGUCCGGGAAGUGACCAGUGCUGCCCUGUCAGUGCUGGACACCAUGUGCCGGCAGGGCAACCAGCCGCAGCUCUUGCAGGGCCACUCUCUGCACAGCACAGGCCACCCCUCCCGCACGUUUGCGGGGCUGGCCUUCAGCCGGCGCGCGACCAGCACCAGCAAAGCAGCCUUCACAGCGGAGCUCAUGCGCAAGUCGCCGCUGGCGGUACCGCUCCAGCGCGGUCAGGCUGUCCUCACGGUUCACGUGCCAGUGGACACCCGGCCCAUCAUUCCGGGCACCUACACCGUCACGGUCAAGAUGGUAGGGGGCCCUGUGUGGGGGGCUUUCCGCGGUCGCACCGAUUUGGUGCUGCAGGCGGGCGGCUAUCCCACCACCUCGGACCCCUCUAACCUGGCGUGUGCUUAUGUGGUCUCAGAGCAGUGCGCCAAAUCGGUGGGCCCCAAGGGGGAGCCCCAGGCCCCCGCAGGCCAGGGCAUCACCAACCACAUCUUUGCCUGUGUGCGGGGCCCAGUCUGGGACCCGCAGCUCUCUCACCUGCACUGUGCCAAGUUUGAGAUGCCCGGUGAGGAGCCCAUGCAGGUGGAGGUCCGUGGCGCCCCCCAGGCGGCUGGGGCGGCCACGACAGCUGCGGCAGGCAGCCCUGCUCCGGCUGCAGCCAGGGUCGCCGACCUGGGUGGCAACACCUUGGGUGUGGCGAGGCCCGCGGCUGCCAUGGCGACCGCAGCGGACAUCGUUGACCACGUGGGGGACGUGCAGAUGCAGGAGGCGGCGGGUUUGGGUGACGUGGCGGCUGCAGCUGGUGGCGCCAGCGGGCCACACAGCGGGGCCCCGCCCCCGCUGCCAGUUCUGGUGGCGGGGGGAAGCAACCGUGCUGCUGCGGCUGCCCUGCGGGCCAUGCUGCAGCAGCAGCCCUCUUCACAGCAGCGGGUGACAGCGGGAGGGCUUAGCGGGGUCCAGCCGGCGGCAGGCGUGGGGGGGCCGCCGGCGGCCAGGCCUCCCCCUGCCGGUGCUGGGCCGGCUGGCGUGCAGCAGCAGCACAGUGGCGUUCCCGCGCCACGGCCGCCCUUGGAUCAGCAGGCAGCCGCUGGGCAGGAUCAGGAGCAGACCGCUGUGAUGCAGCGGUACUUGGCCGAGCUGGCGGACCUCAAUCUCCAGCGGCAACGGCGGUUACAGGAACAGCAACAGCAGCAGCAGCAGCUGCAGCGCCAGGGGCAGUCGCCCAGGCCCCGGACCGGCUCCCAGGUUGUGGUCCUGGCCACGCUGGGGGGGCAGGACAGGGCGGGCGGUGGCCCUGGCGUGGCGGCGUCACGGCGUGGGCAACGUGUUGACAUAGUUGACCACGUGGGGGACGUGCAGAUGCAGGAGGCGGCGGGUGUGGGUGACGCAGGGGCUGCCGCUGGUGGCGCCAGCGGACCACCCGCCGUGGCCUCACCCUCGCUGCCAGCUCUGGUGGCGGGGGGAAGCACCCGUUCUGCUGCGGCUACCCUAAGGGCCGAGCGACAGCAGCAGCCCUCUUCACAGCGGCGGGUGGCAGCGGGAGGGCUUAGCGGGGGGCAGCCGUCUGCAGGCGUGGGGGGGCCACCGGCGGUCAGGCGUCGUACUGCCUGUGCUGGGUCGGCUGGCGCGCAGCAGCAGCCCAGUGGGGCUUCCGCGCCGCAGCCGCCCUUUGAUCAGCGGGCGGCCGCCAGGCAGGAUCAGGAGCAGACCGCUGUGAUGCAGCGGUACUUGGCCUACAUGGUGGACCUCCAUCUCCAGCAGCAACGGCGGGUACAGCAACAGCAGCAGCAGGAGCAGCAGCGCCAGGUGCAGCCGCCCAGGCCCCGGACCGGCUCCCGGUUUGAGGUCCUGGCCACGCUGGGGGGACAGGACGGGGCGGGCGAUGGCGCUGCCACGGCGGCGCCCGGGCGUGGGCGACGGGUGCAACCAGCCGCGCACGCACCGCCGCCACCGCUGCAGCAACAGCCCCGCUCCAAAGGGCGCUGUGGCCCCGCCCAGCUCCCGCAGCAGAGGGCAGGGCGCUUGGGCGGCGGGCUGCCUCCCCCGCAGGACGGUGCUAGCUCGCCGCCGCGCGUGCCCACUGGGCGGCCGACCGGGGGACAGCAGGCUGGUGGGGGCAGCGGGUUGGGGCGCCAGGGUGGAGGAGUGGGGCGGGCAGUGCCCCAGCCGCUACCCCAGGCGCGGCCGCCACUGCAAACGUCACAACCGGCGGGUGGUGGUAAGGGCAGGGACAGGGGCCUGGGCGCGCCGGCUGGGGGUUCGGCCGACACGGCUGGGCGCGCUGGUGGGGGUGCGGGCAGUGAGGCAGAGUACGGGGCCGUUUGCCUGACCCGGGACACGUGCGUUGCCAUUGGCUCUGACCUCGUGACGCACCAGAACCGCUGCGCAGAUGUGCAGGGGUUUGAGUGGGCGCAGCUGGGCCACGACACGCUUGGUGGCCGCCUCCUCGCCUACCUCCGUGACCAGGGCGCCACCGUACCGGACUGGGCCGUCUGCCGCGUGCCGGCCGGCCGUACCGCCGUCCUGGCACAGCUGCACGACGAGUUCACUGGCUGGUGGCGCCUAUACUCAGCCCAGCCUGCAGACACGCCCCUGCCUUCCGAUGUGACGGAGCAGCUGGAUGACGCCGCGCAGCAGGUGCAGACGGCCUACAUGGACUACGUGCUCCUAGACGCCCGCACCCUGCGGUCCGCUAAGCGUGGGCUGGCGGACCCCGGCGGGGCCAGCGGGCCCAGCCGCCGGCAACGCCAGCACCGCAGCCGCAGUACCUCCAGCCUCAUGAGCCUGGGCAGCGCUCCAUUGCACCCCGGCGGCGCCAGCUCAGGUGCCGCUAGCAUGAGCACCAGCAGCGGCGGCGCGCCCCCCAGCCAGGGUGGCGACCGCCGCGGCAAACGCCACAGCAGCAACAGCAACCGCACCCGCCACGGCGCUGCCGUGGCCGGCGGGGGCUCAUAAUGCGGCCACCAGUGGGAGCGGCGAACCUUCGGCUGCUGACAGUGAAUGUCAACGGCCUGGGCUCGCCGCUCAAGGCGCGGGCGCUGGUCUCGCACCUGCAGCAAGUUGGGGCGGAUGUGGCGAUGGUGCAGGAGACCCACGCUACUGACACGACGGUGCUGGAGUCUUGCCUUCGUGCCGCGCAGGGGGCGUGCCUUCCGUGGCGCCACUGCCUUGCUGCCAGCCCGGCAGCGUCGCCCCACUCCUGUGGGACGGCUAUCCUGGCGCGGAGUCGGCUGUCCCUUCCAGGCUGCGUACUGCAGCCGCCGUCAACGGAUGCGGCGGGCCGUGUGGUAUGUUGGGAUUGGGACGUGGGUCACCUGCGCCUGCGCUUCGUGUGUGUGUAUGCGCCCACGGCCGUGGCGGACAAGCCUGCUUUCUUUGCCGGGCUGCAUACCCACCUGGCCUCGGACAGGGUGCUUGUUGUCGGUGGGGACUGGAACUGUGUCACCGAUGCCAGUCAGGAGGCGGCCCCUAGCCCGUCACGUGCUGCAGGUGCCCCGCAACUUGCCAGCCUCCUCGCCCAGUUCAGUCUGGUGGACCCUUGGGCGAGCAAGCGUGGCGGCGCCAAGGGCUACACGCAUCCGGCCACGCCCAAGCCAGCCACUCCCGCACGCCUGGAUCGGUGGUAUGUCAGUUCCACCGCGGCGCCGUGGGUGCUGGAUGUCGCACGCACGUAUGGGGCGCCUGGGGACCACAACGGUGUGCUGCUCACCCUGUCCUUGCCCGACCUGCCACAUGCGCACCGGGAGCAGUGGCGCUUCCCCACAUACCUGCUGUUUCACCCCUCGCUGCGUCUGGAGCUCGAGCAGCGCUUGGAGGCGCACGUUGCCGCAAAUCCUGUGACCAGUACAGGUGACGGCGCUUGCACGCAAUGGGAGGCGGACAAGUUCUUCUUGCGGGAGGCCGCCACCAGCAUCCACCGUCGGCAUGCACGCCAGACCCGGGACGGGCUGCAUGGCGUGGUGCUGGCCGCAGACGCGGCCGCUGCCCUGGCCGACCGGCCGGGUGCCAGCGCCGCGCAGCGUCAGGCUGCGGCCAUGGCCAACUUGGCGGUGCGGGAGGAGCGGGCAGCUGCCGCAGCGGCCAGCCACAAUGCCCGCGCUGCACUGAUGGAGGAGCAUGGGGAGCGGGGCACUCGCUGGUUCCAUCGGCAGGCUGACGAGCCAGCAGCCGGCGCGCAGGAGCCCAUCACGCACUUGAAGGUGCCGGGGCAACCGGCGCCUGUGGCGCUCACGGGGCCGGGCACGCGCAACACUGUCUCCGCAGCCGCUGCAGCCAUGUACAGCAGCACCAGCCCCACCGGCCUGUUCCGCGUGCAGCCGGUCUGUACGGCGUCGCAGCAGCAGCUUCUGGCGGCCAUUGACCGCAAGGUUCCGGCGGAUCUGCAGGCCGGGGUCUGCCGGGUCGGGGUGGGGUGGGGUGGGAUGCAUGGGGGUGGUUGGUGGCGGUUUUCGAGGUGUUUGUUUUCUGUUUUUCUUCUCUUCUCUCCUCUUCUUGCCCUGUCAGGGUUCUGGUCCCGGGGACCAGGCUGCUUUCAGGCAGCAGGGGGGCAGCGCGUCUGCCCCUGUUCAACCUUGUAAGGAUGAUUCCUCAAAAAAAAAAAGGCCGCCGCAGAGGGGUCCGGUGACGGCGCCCUCAGUGAUGCAGAGCUGAUGGCAGCGCUGGCUGGCUCCGCCAAUGGUAAAGCGCCUGGGUCGGACGGGGUCCCGUACGAGGUGUACAAGGUUUUCUGGGCGCUGCUGGGUCCGCGCUUGUGUGCUGCUGCUGCCGCUGCCUUUGCUGCCGCUGCAGACGCCCACGAUGGCGGUGAAAUGGCGGCGGCGCUGCCCGCCUCCUGGCGGGAGGGCAUCAUCACCCUCAUCUACAAGGGCAAAAGCCUGGACCGCGCCGAGCUGGCGUCGUACCGGCCCAUCACGCUGCUCAACUGCGACUUCAAGAUGGUGUCCAAGGCCGUCAGCGCCCGCCUGCAGCCCGCCCUGGAUGCAGUUGUGGAUGAGCUGCAGACCGCGUUCAUCACCGGCCGCUGGAUUGGUGACAACGCGCUGUACCUCCAAGGCCUGAUCGAAUGGAUGCGCCUGGACGUGGGCGCGGACGGCACGCCACGGCAGGGUGGUGCGCUGUACUUCUUGGACAUUGAAAAGGCGUAUGACCGGGUGCACCGGCAGUGGCUGUAUGCGUCCGCGGAGGGACUUGGGUUUGGGCCGCGCAUGCUGCGCUGGAUCCGCCUGCUCACUGCCAACGGCUCUGCCCGCGUGUGUGUGAACGGGAUGCUCUCUGACGCCUUCCCAGUGCUGAACGGCUUGCCGCAGGGCAGCACCGCCUCACCACCCCUGUGGGUCAUCCAGAUGCAGCCACUGACGUCCUUUCUGCGGCGGCAGGUGGAGCAAGGGGCACUGCGCACGCCCCUGUUACCCAGCGGCGAGCAGGCGCCACCGGCUGCCCACCACGCUGACGACACGACCCUCACGGCGCGCGACCCGGCGGUGGACGGGCCGGUCCUGAUGGCGGCAGUACAGCUGUUCUGCCGCGCGUCCAACGCCCGUGUCCAUCCGGACAAGAGCAAGGCCAUGGGCCUUGGCAGGUUUGCGCACCUGACGGGCCCUUGCCCACACACGGGGGUGCCGUUUACCACUGGCGCCGUGACGCACCUGGGUGUGCCCCUGUCGUGGGACUCGGAUGCGGCUGCAGCUGACUUGUUCACCCGGCGGGCUCGCGGCAUAGCGUUUGUGGCGCGUCUGUGGGCUGCCCUGUCUCUGACUCUUGUUGGCCGUGUGCACAUUGCGAAGCAGGUGCUGGCGGCGAAGCUGGCCUACCACUUCAGCUUCCUCAACCCGUCGCCUGCGCAGCUGAAGGAACUCACCGACCUGGUGGACCACUUUGCUGCGCGGUCCAUGCACGCUGAGGACGCCAGCCUGGUGUCGCACGGGAACCCGCUCCUGCUGCCUAAGCGGGAAACGGCCUGUCUGCCGUACAAGGAUGGGGGUUGUUUUUUUUUUGAGGAAUCAUCCUUACAAGGUUGAACAGGGGCAGACGCGCUGCCCCCCGGCUGCCUGAAAGCAGCCUGGUCCCCGGGACCAGAACCCUGACAGGGCAAGAAGAGGAGAGAAGAGAAGAAAAACAGAAAACAAACACCUCGAAAACCGCCACCAACCACCCCCAACCAUCCCACCCCGACCCGGCAGACAGAGCAGGAGGCUGGCCCCCCCGCCCCCCGGGAGGGGUUGCACAAAAACACCGCCAGACCUAACCCAAGCACCAACCUACAUACACCACAGCCUAACCGCAAGAACCACCAUCACCGCGCGCCAGAAAAAGAAACACCAGCGCUACGCACUCGCCCCGCCCAAACCCACCCCACCCCCACAAGUCGGUUGCUUAAGCAACACCCCAGGAGAACCGGCAGAGGAGACACAAGCAGAAAACUAAACGGGCCAGAUGUGGCGCUGACUAAGCGGGCUCCAGUCCGCUGCAAGACGCGCUGUGCAGGAAGUCCCACAGCCGCCCAGGUGCUGCGACGCCAGCCAGAGCUAAAAAACAUGGGCGCCAGAUAAGCUGAUGACGAUAAUACGCCACGCCAGCGCCUGGAAAGAACCGCCGCCUAGGGGGCCUGCACAGGUGAUGCAAGUGUCAGCCGCAAGUUCAACUUCGGUGACCCACCCUGAACCUCCUCCACUUCACAAAGCGCGCCACCCGCCGUCCAGAUGGCAACAAAGUGCUCCAGCUUAGCCGCCUUGAGCUGUGCGGUGAGCAGCUGAGUGGGCAGAGUCGACAGGGUUUCAGGGGUUAGCGUGGCGGCAGUGAAACGCAGCCGCAUCACCCUGCGCAGCUCGCUGACCACCUCCCGAACCACAUGCUCCGACGUCUGCUUAGCAGGCUCGCGGGACCAGUACGCACACCAGACGGCGUACAAGAAGGUGGCCCGCAAAGUGCUCCAUAGCAGCGCUCCCGCCCCCCGCGGGCCUGAGGCCCACAUACCCAUGCGGUCCCCCAGCAUGAAGCCCGCGUCCGUCACUGGCGGCGCCGCUGCCUGGGGCGCAACACAGGCCCACAGCUGCUGCAGCCACGUCCUCGCCUGCGCAUAAGCCGGACACUCCAGGAAGAUGUGCGUCAGGCUGGCCCACGCCCGCGGGCCAGGUGGCCCGCAGGCGGGGUGAGGACAGUGCGCCCCCAACCCCCCGCACCCCGUGGUCACCCGUGGCCGAAUGCCCUUGCCCGCCCUGUACAGCCCGCAAGGCAGGUAAGCAUGUUGCAGCCGGUACACCAGCACCUUUGCCCCCCGACUGGCGUGGCUGUCCCACAGCCUCCGCCACGUACCCCGCAGAAGGGACGCAUCCGGGGGCGGCAUGCGAGGGUCGCCCUCCACCGCCGCCGCUGCUGCCGCCGCCGCCGUGGCAGGCCCAGUGCUAGGUCCCGCCCCGCCCGCCGCCUGCUCCUGCAGCCGCGCGGACCGCCGCGGCCCCUCACCCGACUGCUGGGACGGGGACGCAUACGACUGCAGUUCUCUCGCCGGCGUGUUCUGCAGCCCGGCUGCCGCAGAGGUGCGGUGGAGCCAGGGGUCCAGAGCCACCGGGUUAUUGUGGAAAUGCUGCGCCGCCGUGGUGGUCAGCUGCGCCGCUGCACGCUGCCACUCCGCCUCCCGCUUCGCCAGCCGCGACUGUGCCGCUGGCUGGGGCCCCGAACCCCCCGCCUGCUGUGCUGGCGCUGGGCACGGCAUGGCUGCGGGGCGGGCCGGAGCCGGAGGUGCGGCCGGGUUGGCCGCGGUGAUGGCCCGCCGCACGUCCCGCACCGUGUAGUCCGCUAAGCUGACACCCGCAAUCCGGCAGUGCUCCGGGUGCACCACCACCCCAGCCUCCGGCGCCAGGAAGUACGGCGCCCGAGGCCACGCCCCCGCCCGGUCCCCUGGUGAUGCUGCAUCGUACGCCGCCCGCUCUUCAAAGGUCCACAGGUGCCGCGGCUUGCGAUGCUGCAGCACACAGGCAGGCUGCCACGCCCCAUCCACCGCCGGGGGCAGCACGCCAGGCCCAGGCUCCAAGAGCCGCCCCGUGUAGUGGACGUAGGACACAGCCCCCGCAGCGUUAGCCACCCACAGCUGGUCCAGGCUAACCCGCCACUGUGGCGGCGCCGCUGGCGGCUGAGUGGCUGGCUGCGGUGGAUGCUGUUCCACGCCCGCGCUCUGCAUGUGGCCGACCGCGGCCGCCAGCCGGGCAGGCAGCCCCGCUGGCGCCGGCGCGUUGCUGUACACCCACGCCCACGUGGUGGCGGAGUCCGGGCGCACAUGAGUAAGCAGCGCCCGGGUGAGCAUCUUCCAGGGUUGCCGGCCUGGCUGGGCAAGGAGGGCGAAGGUCUUAGCUUGCAGGGCAGACAGGAACGCAGGCAGGUCGACGUGGUUGACACCCCCGCUGCAGACGCCCACGAUGGCGGUGAAAUGGCGGCGGCGCUGCCCGCCUCCUGGCGGGAGGGCAUCAUCACCCUCAUCUACAAGGGCAAAAGCCUGGACCGCGCCGAGCUGGCGUCGUACCGGCCCAUCACGCUGCUCAACUGCGACUUCAAGAUGGUGUCCAAGGCCGUCAGCGCCCGCCUGCAGCCCGCCCUGGAUGCAGUUGUGGAUGAGCUGCAGACCGCGUUCAUCACCGGCCGCUGGAUUGGUGACAACGCGCUGUACCUCCAAGGCCUGAUCGAAUGGAUGCGCCUGGACGUGGGCGCGGACGGCACGCCACGGCAGGGUGGGCAGCACCGCCUCACCACCCCUGUGGGUCAUCCAGAUGCAGCCACUGACGUCCUUUCUGCGGCGGCAGGUGGAGCAAGGGGCACUGCGCACGCCCCUGUUACCCAGCGGCGAGCAGGCGCCACCGGCUGCCCACCACGCUGACGACACGACCCUCACGGCGCGCGACCCGGCGGUGGACGGGCCGGUCCUGAUGGCGGCAGUACAGCUGUUCUGCCGCGCGUCCAACGCCCGUGUCCAUCCGGACAAGAGCAAGGCCAUGGGCCUUGGCAGGUUUGCGCACCUGACGGGCCCUUGCCCACACACGGGGGUGCCGUUUACCACUGGCGCCGUGACGCACCUGGGUGUGCCCCUGUCGUGGGACUCGGAUGUGGCUGCAGCUGACUUGUUCACCCGGCGGGCUCGCGGCAUGGCGUUUGUGGCGCGUCUGUGGGCUGCCCUGUCUCUGACUCUUGUUGGCCGUGUGCACAUUGUGAAGCAGGUGCUGGCGGCGAAGCUGGCCUACCACUUCAGCUUCCUCAACCCGUCGCCUGCGCAGCUGAAGGAACUCACCGACCUGGUGGACCACUUUGCUGCGCGGUCCAUGCACGCUGAGGACGCCAGCCUGGUGUCGCACGGGAACCCGCUCCUGCUGCCAAAGCGGGAAACGGCCUGUCUGCCGUACAAGGAUGGGGGUGUCAACCACGUCGACCUGCCUGCGUUCCUGUCUGCCCUGCAAGCUAAGACCUUCGCCCUCCUUGCCCAGCCAGGCCGGCAACCCUGGAAGAUGCUCACCCGGGCGCUGCUUACUCAUGUGCGCCCGGACUCCGCCACCACGUGGGCGUGGGUGUACAGCGACGCGCCGGCGCCAGCGGGGCUGCCUGCCCGGCUGGCGGCCGCGGUCGGCCACAUGCAGAGCGCGGGCGUGGAACAGCAUCCACCGCAGCCAGCCACUCAGCCGCCAGCGGCGCCGCCACAGUGGCGGGUUAGCCUGGACCAGCUGUGGGUGGCUAACGCUGCGGGGGCUGUGUCCUACGUCCACUACACGGGGCGGCUCUUGGAGCCUGGGCCUGGCGUGCUGCCCCCGGCAGUGGAUGGGGCGUGGCAGCCUGCCUGUGUGCUGCAGCAUCGCAAGCCGCGGCACCUGUGGACCUUUGAAGAGCGGGCGGCGUACGAUGCAGCAUCACCAGGGGACCGGGCGGGGGCGUGGCCUCGGGCGCCGUACUUCCUGGCGCCGGAGGCUGGGGUGGUGGUGCACCCGGAGCACUGCCGGAUUGCGGGUGUCAGCUUAGCGGACUACACGGUGCGGGACGUGCGGCGGGCCAUCACCGCGGCCAACCCGGCCGCACCUCCGGCUCCGGCCCGCCCCGCAGCCAUGCCGUGCCCAGCGCCAGCACAGCAGGCGGGGGGUUCGGGGCCCCAGCCAGCGGCACAGUCGCGGCUGGCGAAGCGGGAGGCGGAGUGGCAGCGUGCAGCGGCGCAGCUGACCACCACGGCGGCGCAGCAUUUCCACAAUAACCCGGUGGCUCUGGACCCCUGGCUCCACCGCACCUCUGCGGCAGCCGGGCUGCAGAACACGCCGGCGAGAGAACUGCAGUCGUAUGCGUCCCCGUCCCAGCAGUCGGGUGAGGGGCCGCGGCGGUCCGCGCGGCUGCAGGAGCAGGCGGCGGGCGGGGCGGGACCUAGCACUGGGCCUGCCACGGCGGCGGCGGCAGCAGCGGCGGCGGUGGAGGGCGACCCUCGCAUGCCGCCCCCGGAUGCGUCCCUUCUGCGGGGUACGUGGCGGAGGCUGUGGGACAGCCACGCCAGUCGGGGGGCAAAGGUGCUGGUGUACCGGCUGCAACAUGCUUACCUGCCUUGCGGGCUGUACAGGGCGGGCAAGGGCAUUCGGCCACGGGUGACCACGGGGUGCGGGGGGUUGGGGGCGCACUGUCCUCACCCCGCCUGCGGGCCACCUGGCCCGCGGGCGUGGGCCAGCCUGACGCACAUCUUCCUGGAGUGUCCGGCUUAUGCGCAGGCGAGGACGUGGCUGCAGCAGCUGUGGGCCUGCGUUGCGCCCCAGGCAGCGGCGCCGCCAGUGACGGACGCGGGCUUCAUGCUGGGGGACCGCAUGGGUAUGUGGGCCUCAGGCCCGCGGGGGGCGGGAGCGCUGCUAUGGAGCACUUUGCGGGCCACCUUCUUGUACGCCGUCUGGUGUGCGUACUGGUCCCGCGAGCCUGCUAAGCAGACGUCGGAGCAUGUGGUUCGGGAGGUGGUCAGCGAGCUGCGCAGGGUGAUGCGGCUGCGUUUCACUGCCGCCACGCUAACCCCUGAAACCCUGUCGGCUCUGCCCACUCAGCUGCUCACCGCACAGCUCAAGGCGGCUAAGCUGGAGCACUUUGUUGCCAUCUGGACGGCGGGUGGCGCGCUUUGUGAAGUGGAGGAGGUUCAGGGUGGGUCACCGAAGUUGAACUUGCGGCUGACACUUGCAUCACCUGUGCAGGCCCCCUAGGCGGCGGUUCUUUCCAGGCGCUGGCGUGGCGUAUUAUCGUCAUCAGCUUAUCUGGCGCCCAUGUUUUUUAGCUCUGGCUGGCGUCGCAGCACCUGGGCGGCUGUGGGACUUCCUGCACAGCGCGUCUUGCAGCGGACUGGAGCCCGCUUAGUCAGCGCCACAUCUGGCCCGUUUAGUUUUCUGCUUGUGUCUCCUCUGCCGGUUCUCCUGGGGUGUUGCUUAAGCAACCGACUUGUGGGGGUGGGGUGGGUUUGGGCGGGGCGAGUGCGUAGCGCUGGUGUUUCUUUUUCUGGCGCGCGGUGGUGGUGGUUCUUGCGGUUAGGCUGUGGUGUAGGUUGGUGCUUGGGUUAGGUCUGGCGGUGUUUUUGUGCAACCCCUCCCGGGGGGCGGGGGGGCCAGCCUCCUGCUCUGUCUGCCGGGUCGGGGUGGGGUGGGGUGGGAUGGUUGGGGGUGGUUGGUGGCGGUUUUCGAGGUGUUUGUUUUCUGUUUUUCUUCUCUUCUCUCCUCUUCUUGCCCUGUCAGGGUUCUGGUCCCGGGGACCAGGCUGCUUUCAGGCAGCAGGGGGGCAGCGCGUCUGCCCCUGUUCAACCUUGUAAGGAUGAUUCCUCAAAAAAAAAAAGGGGUCCAGAGCCACCGGGUUAUUGUUUUUUUUGAGGAAAUGAUGCGCCACCGUGGUGGUCAGCUGCGCCGCUGCACGCUGCCACUCCGCCUCCCGCUCCGCCAACCGUGACUGUGCCGCCGGCUGGGUCCCCGAACCCCCCGCCUGCUGUGCUGGCGCCGGGCACGGCAUGGCUGCGGGGCGGGCCGGAGCCGGAGGUGCGGCCGGGUUAGCCGCGGUGAUGGCCCGCCGCACAUCCGGCACCGUGUACAUACGUAGUCCGCCAAGCUGACACCCGCAAUCCGGCAGUGCUCCGGGUGCACCACCACCCCAGCCUCCGGCGCCAGGAAGUACGGCGCCCGAGGCCACGCCCCCGCCCGGUCCCCUGGUGAUGCUGCAUCGUACGCCGCCCGCUCUUCAAAGGUCCACAGGUGCCGCGGCUUGCGAUGCUGCAGCACACAGGCAGGCCGCCACGCCCCAUCCACCGCCGGGGGCAGCACGCCAGGCCCAGGCUCCAAGAGCCGCCCCGUGUAGUGGACGUAGGACACAGCCCCCGCAGCGUUAGCCACCCACAGCUGGUCCAGGCUAACCCGCCACUGUGGCGGCGCCGCUGGCGGCUGAGUGGCUGGCUGCGGCGGAUGCUGUUCCACACCCGCGCUCCGCACGUGGCCGACCGCGGCCGCCAGCCGGGCAGGCAGCCCCGCUUGCGCCGGCGCGUCGCUGUACACCCACGCCCACGUGGUGGCGGAGUCCGGGCGCACAUGGGUAAGCAGCGCCCGGGUGAGCAUCUUCCAGGGUUGCCGGCCUGGCUGGGCAAGGAGGGCGAAAGUCUUAGCUUGCAGGGCAGACAGGAACGCAGGCAGGUCAUCACCGGAUCGCUAACUCAGUUAGCGAUUUGACUCGUCCUUACGGCAGAAGGGACCCGGGUGCGAAUCCGGAUGAAAGCCCAAUUAUGCAAAAGGCGAAAGAUUGGUGCGAAGCCGAUUGGUGAUCCCACGAACGAUAGGUAAUUGCCCUUAGUGGCAAUUGCGGGCUUACGCCCGCUGCAACCUAGAAAGAUCGUGGUGCAGAAGUCCGAUUUAGUGGCGAGGUCCAAGGUUCAAGACAAGGCUCAAGAUCCAAGGCUCGAGGAGGAGCGCCAUGGCACCUCGGUUUGCACGAACUGGCAGUGCUCCACUACUAUAACGCGGCGUUUCCCUAGCUCGAUAUGCUAGGUGUGCAGGCUUGGAUGUAGUGGACUUUGAAGAGCGGCCUAGGACUUGGAGGUUGUAGUUUCGGAGGUUGUGACUCUUUCGUGGUGAGGCGUCAGCGUGAGGGGGGCGGGCCCUCUCGCCCUAGUCACCUUGCCCCGUUAAUCCAUGCCAGGCCCUAUGGGCCGGCGUUGUAAUUAUUAUUAUUAUUAACGCUAUUAAC
rnacentral:lncRNA from 1 species